UUUUUUUUUUUUUGUUGUUGUUGUUUUUUUUUUGUGUGUGUCGGUAUACACUAAGACAUUUGUUAGAUUAAGACAUUUGUUAGAUACUUACAUUUAUCUAGCAAGAUCCUUAAAACAUAUUCUUAUUGGCACGGGAAAAAUACAAAAAGGGUUCUUCAAAUCUGAUAUAAGACAUAUAACAACUUCCAUAAUAAGCAAGUCCACCAUUUCUAUUCUUUCUUAGAAAUCAUGGCUUGUUGAAAAGGAAAGCUGAAAAUGAAAGAAAAGCAAAGAAAUAAACCCCACAUAAGUUUUUUGAGGCUACAUAUUGUGAUAUUGUGAUACUGUCAUAUUGUGUUACUGUUGAUUGAGAGAACUACCCUUUCUGUAAUAUGCUCUUACAAAGCUAGCACGAUCCCUUCAACAAUCAUGAGAAUGAUUGAAGCAAAGUAAACAACUGUAUCUGAUUACAUGAUAGUGUCCCAAAAUUCAGUAACCCAAUAACCAUCUUUCACUGCUAUAUGCCUAUAUCAAGACAUGUCUUACAAAAAUCUCUUGAAAGUUCCUUGGUGCACUGAAGAGUCUACAGGACUAUAGAAUUAAAACAUCGAAUUAAAAAAAAAAAUACAACUCAAAUAACUAAGGCCUUGAUCUCCUCCACCGUGCGGGCCAUGAGGUUUCUGGCUGGUGUCACAGACCCCAGGGAGACUGUUGCGGUGGGAACUGCAUCCACCAGGAGCUGGAAUGACACACUCAGCAAGGACCCUCCAGCUUCAGGAUCUGGGAGUAUAGCAACCCCAGAUGGCAGUCCCGCGACUCAGUCAGGGUCGCUGCCCCACCGCCCCGCACGGCGUUCACUGCAUCAGUGCAGCUCUCUUGCAAUAUGAGCAUGUUGCUCUGUGUAGGAUCGGUCUUCUGCAAACGAAAAUCAACAUUCAUUAGGGUAAGUCUUAAAAGUAUUGUAACAUUGUAACUAUAUAAGCAUCAACAAUAAGAAGGAAGAUAUGGACGUACAUUUAUCUGAAGGAGUAACACGCAGUUCCCAGUGUCACGUCCGGUGGCUAUGUGCGCCAUUUCGCGUACAACACCACCAUUGCAGAGGAUAUCCCACUGCAAAAAAUAGAUCUGGUAAAUUAAAUUUAUUCGUGGAAUAACAUGUUUUUAUAGUCUCAUUUCAGCAUAUGCAGCGUACGCAGAGGUUUCGAUAUUAAGGGUCUUGAAUUUUCAUCCACAAAAAUUAUUCCCAUAUUAGUUGGGAUGUGAAAUUGAUUUUCUUCCUUUCUUGUAUAAUUACUUGAAAUGUGCAUGGCUCCUAUAUGAUAUUGUAGGGUUGGCAUAAAAACCCGAAAUCCUGAUCCCGUCCCGAAAUUUGACAGGAUGAGACGAGAUUUAAACCUAAAUUAUUGGGUCAAUCCCAUCCCGUUCUGUUAGAGAAACAACGGGACAGGCCGCAGGACUAAAAAUUUGAGGCCUGUAAAAGCCCGUCCCGUCUCAUAUGUAAAUCAAGUUUAAUCUUAGUCGUUGAAUUUUAGUCAUUUUACAUCUCUACCCUUAGUUUUUGCCCUAAUAUUAAGUUAUUAACCCAUAUCCUCAUCUGUUUUGCGCAACCCUCUCUUACUCUCUGAAUCUUGUUCGCGAAACCCUAUCUCACUCUCUCACUUUAGUUCGCUAAACCCAAAUCAUUCUCACCUCAAUCCAACAAAACACUAUGUAUGUAAAAUCAAAAUUGAAAUCCCCAAAAUCCUAAAUCGUUCUUCUUCUGGUCUUCACCCCAAAACCCCAUUCCGUCAUUCUCUCCAAAAACACGAUGGCUAGAGCAACAAGAGCUGUUCGACCGUGCCACUCCACUUUUGGGCUUCAUAAAUUGUUGUUUUAUCAGUUAGUGAGUGCUUUCUCUUAAGGUUUGCUUGUAGCUUCUAAUAUUGUUUAUGCAAGAUCCCGUAGAUCUAGAAGAAGCUUUGGCGCGACCUCUCUUCUUUGACCUUACCGACUUGCUACCUGCAACAGGAGACCGACUGGGACUUUCCGGUCUUUCUCUCUCUGAUGAUUAAGUUAGUUGAUAGUUUGGUAAAGUAUAGUUAAUGCUAGGAGACUUUCUUACCUCUUUGGUUGACCUUGGCAUUGUAUUUAUAACCUGACAUUGACUUAUAUCUUGCCUGCUAUACGAUGUGUGCUAUUGUGGUCUGUUUAUUUGGCCCCCUAUGGUGUGCCUCCUGCCUGGCCCAGACUGCUAUGACCUCCAGGACGAGGCAUGCUUGGUCAAUCUCAUGUUGGGCUUCCGGUAGCAUCGUGGGCCGAGAAGGUAUUUAUCGAUUACCGACUACAAAUAUAUUCUAAGACAAUGAAGUUCCUUAUGAGUUAUGACAAAUUUGGUGUAUAAAUAGCUUUCAUUCCUAAAGGUUCAAGGCUGCAAAGUCAUUGGUCAUUGUUUCUCUUGGAGUCUCUAGAAGAUGAGUCUGAUGUAUAUCAAAAUUAGAAUGAUUAUUUCUUCCAAUAUACUUAUAACUCUUUCACUAUGCUGUCCAAUUUCUUAGAAUUUUUUUGUUUUGGAUAAUGGAUAUUUGGAGCAUGUUGUAGUUGUAUUUGUAUUGUCGUGCUAUCAAUGCUAUGUUUUCUAGAUUGUUUGUUGAACAUUAUGAGACAUUAUGGAUGAUGGAUUAUGGUUGUUUUACCCACAAUCUUAAGAGAAUGCUAUUUAUAUUGAUAAUCUGUAUUGAGAGCUCAGAGCUCCGAUAAACAACACACCUCUAAACCUCUGCUCUAGAAAAAGACAUGGGUAUGGUAUGAUUUUUUUUUUAGCCCCCACGUCAAAAAGUUUCUACAUUCGCCACUGAGUACAAUUAUGUAUGGUUCACCUAUUUAUAAGUUAUAUUUUUGUCACUCUUUGACGUGCCAUCUCUCAUCUCCAAUACAUUUGAUCAUCCAUGCGUGUAAUGCAAUAGCAUGCCAAUACAUGUUAAACAUCUGUUUUUUUUUUUUUCCCGAUGACAAAAGGAAAAAUACAAAGUAAAACCUUUAACAUGUUAAACCCUUGUUGACAAUAUUCUCUUGUAACUCUAUAUCAGAUGCUCCCUCCGAGAUAACAUCGAAGCCUCAAACAUCUCUUCUCAUGCAUAAUUGCAUACUAUAAAAUGAGAUUAAUACAUAAUGUCACCCACGUAUCUUAAAAUUUCAUUAGUAGUCAAGACUCAAGACUUGAGAACAACCAUUUCCCGUCCCUUGUAAAUACGGUAAUGACGUUAAAGCUAUAAUACUGCAUUGACGUCUCAUUGUGGUUAACACGAUGCUCAUUCCAUUUUUUGGACUCCAUUCUAAACAUGCUUACGGGAGAAUGGACAGACAAACAGGCUUCAAUUCUUUGAGGUCCCUCAACCUCAGGGUGCCUUGAUUGAAAGCCUUCCUUGAAAACUCAAGUCGUGACGGACAGAUCUUUGUAGUCUUGUUAUCCAUUUGUAAGUAUGAGAAUGGACAAUCAAGUUUCAGUUCUUUGAGGUCUUUCAACCUCAGGUUGUCUUCAUUCACAACUCAAAAGAUUAUCACUGACAAUCAAACAAAAUUCAAUUCUUUGGAAGCGUCACAACACACAAGUGUGACCGAGUUUGAGGUUGCAUACUUCUUCGGCUCCUAUUGACUAUACUGUAAAACAAACUGCUCUGUUAAGCUUUUCCUUAACUUCGUCUCUAAUCCAAUCUAACUAUGUCAAAGGUAAAAUUUAUUAAAGUAAACCAAUUAGAUUACAUUCGAAAUCCGUCAUCCUACCACAACUCUUUAUCCAUGAAGCCCCUACAAUUUGUUCUGCACUUCCAAAGAAGUUGGAUUGCCAAUUGAUACUAGAUUGCCGAUUGAUACAAGAUGUCUGUGGAGUUUCCCGGAUCAAAUGGCAUUGAAAAUCCACAGAUCAGAAUGGCCACAAUGUCAAUUUGGCGUCCAAGCCAUUAUAUCAAGUGAAACUGAUAAUUCACUAGAAUUGGUAAAGGACGCAUACUCGGUCACACAUUGCAAAAAGGACCUAUACUCUAUUCUAAACACAAAUGACAAACAAAAACACAAGACUCAAUGGUGGGAAUAGAAGCUCAGUGGAAGGAGAAGUCGUUUUUGUAUCGAGCUCACGGCAAGACCCUAAAAAAGGCCUCGUCCACUGCCCAAAACACGUCCAAGUGCUUUACCUCAUCACAGCAACCACAACCCAACAAUUUCAAAAUCGAUUUCUAAACACAAUUAAGACAGACAAACACAGAAAUUGAGCCUCAGUGUGUGUAACAAUCAGAUCAUUGAUCCUAAGACCUCACUGAAAUCCGCUAAGAUAAUUAAACUUUUCAUCAUAAGCUCCAAAAUAAUUCAAGAAAAACAUAGCCAAAAGAGUAAGCAUUUUAAGUGCUAAAACACAAAACAUGAGAUGGGUAGUUUAGAAAAACAAGAUCUUUGAAACUAGAUUGGAUGAGAAGAGAUGAAGAGUGCUCAGACAGCCAAGGGGUUGUAAUCAAGUCCUGGGAGAAGAGCCCAGAUCAUAAACUCUAGUCCACAAAUGAUAUCAUCACCGCACACUUCAGACUUACACAAAGAAAACAACUUGGGAAGAAAAAUAUUGCACUGAAAAACCCUAGAUAUCUGAUUAUGAAGAACAGGGGGAGGCGGAGGAAGAAGAUGGGGAUGACGAGACAGUCUAAGACGGGAGGUAUAUAUAGGGCAGCGACUUGUGAAUUAGGGUGUCAAUUACUUUGGGCUUUCGGGCUUCUAGUAUGUUCAAAAUUUUGGGCCUAAUGAAAACGAGCCGAUACUCCAAGCUCCAAAGGUCUUGGACCAAGGCAAUAUUCCUAGUUAAUUAAGCGUAGAGAACCCUAACCGAAAUCCUAGUUAAACUGGAAUAUGUAUCGGUUCGGUCUUUAAAUUUCAGUUUUGUUAUUGAGAUUUCAGUUUCGUUAUAGGUUUGGUUCUCUAAAUUUCAAUUAGGCUAUAGUAAGUAUGAUCUAAAGGCAGCAGUGUUAACAGUAACGUAUAGCAAUUUUGCUAUUAUGUUACUGAAUUGUGAACAUGAUUAACAAAACUUGUAGAGCUUCGGACUGACGGUGGAGUAACAUUUUAUUUCUCUAAGUCUUUUAAUGUUAAGUGAAAUUGAGCCUAACUAAAUUACCGAAGUACUUUCAACGUUUGUUUGGAACAUAUAUAAGCGCCAUAUAUUAGCUUCUAAAAGCAUGAAUUGAUAGAGAGAAAUUAAGAAACAUUUUAUAUAAUUUAACUUGUUGGCUAUAGCAAUUACAUCAUUUACAUGUAUAAUCGAACUUCAAACCCGGACCUUAUUUCAGAUAAUAUCAAAAUUGAUUUUGUAAUAAUCAAGGAAGCCAAAUGACAAAAGAUAGCAAAGAUGGCCGGUCUUAUAGGGAAUCGGACUCCGCCUAUGUUUUGGAAUAUGUAUUCGUAUAGAAAUCAGCCAGCUAGCUAUAGCUAGGCAGGCCUCAUAUAUAUAUCAUCAUAUAUAUAUAUAUACCUCUUCAAAACCCUCGAACUAUUCUAUAUAUGGCUGCCGGCGAGCAAUUUGUUACGAUCAGCAUGCAGGCAACAAUGGGAGACGAAGAGAUAGAGAAGAAGAAGAGAAGAAACGAAUUAGGGCGUCGUUGAAGUUGAAACUGAUCCGCUUAGAGAUUGUCCUCCUCAUAAUUGAGAACCUUGCAGUGUGGUUUCUGCUAAUAACCCGCCCCCAUCACUUUAAAUUCCCUUGCGCCCCCAUGAUUUCUGCUCUGAUAUAUGGCGCCUUUACGACGAUCUAUACUGUAGUAAGAUUCUUGGUCCUCAGCUGGCUACCGCCGGAUGACAUGAAACGGGAUUUAAGUGCAUUGAAUCAUUUCUUGAUCGAUCGAAUUGCGGUCUUUUUAGCUAUCAAGUAUUAUUGGACCGGACCUCUUUUCGGUUGGUAUGUGAUCAUCGUCGUCAUCUCCGCCAUGUCGACCAUAUGCAGUGUCACCUGUAUUUUCAAGAAGCAUUAUUUAGACAGAAGGAGAAAGAGGCUGAUUUUUUGAGAAGAUGAAACCAACCAUAUAUGCAACCAGCAACAUAUUUAGAGAAUGAAGAAGCUGGCAUGGCCGGUCAUAGAACUUAAUAUUUUAUUUUUGAUUUUAUGUUGCGAUAAUAUAUGCACAUUGUAACCUAGCUACCUCUUUUAACAUAUAAUGAUAUGUAUUUACAUACUCAUUUAUCAUCGUUAUCUUUUCACAAGUCUCAUUUGAAAUCAAUAGGCGUUUUUCAUGCACUUGUUGAGAUUUGGUCUUGCAACUCUUAAUAAUGUGCUAAAGUUGUUCGAUUCUUCAACUCUUUAAAAGUUCGACUCAGAUCUGAAAAUCUCAUAUCCGGGUCUGUAACAUUGUUUGGAACAUAUAUAUAUAUAUAUAUAUAUAUAUACCACCAUAUAUAUUAUAGCUUCUAAAGCAUGAAUUGAUAGAGAGACAUAAACAUUUUAUAUAAUUUAACUUGUUUGCUAUAGCAAAUACAUUAUGAUCGAUCUUACUCUGAAAGACUCUCAUUUAUUCAGACAAACCGAUAUGUCAAAAUGCACACACAGAUAGAUAAUCACACGGAAAAGUUGACAGUGUGGUACAUGAACAAAGGUUUCUAGCUAUUCACCACUGCACAAUGCUUCCUAAUCUCACCAGAUGAACCCGUCUUAACAUUAAUCCGACCCAUUUUCUCCAUAGACUUGGCAAAUUCGGCAUGGAAGUUUGGACUCGAACCCUGAAUGAGCUGCUUGAUAUAGUUGUAAGUGGUUGAGCUUUUUGUUAAAGCCGAAUCAGAUUGGAAAAGCCCCCUUCUCUUGAGCAAGAGUGCGUAGUAGCUAAGGUCGAAUGUCCUAUGGCUCCCAGGAUCCAUCUCAACUAUAGUUGUGUUAUCACUUAGACUUUUGCAUUUCUUUGCCUUCAGAUUAGCUGCAUAUUCACUGUCCAAGUCUGGGUCUUGAUCACCUUUUCCAGUGAAAUUGUAAAGACGAUUUGUAAACGAUGUGCAAUGAGAGACACCAAUGGUGUGAGCACCAGAGAGCAAGACCAAGUCCUUCAAAUUAAGCCCCUGAUUAGCGAAAUUUGUUUGGAGGGUGGUGAAGUUGCUAAAUGGGGAUGGGAUGCUUGCUAAAGCUUCUGACGAUUUUGAGAUCACCCCAUCUCUUCUCCCUGUUGGAACAUUCCAAAAGGGACCUCCCUGCAGCAUAAUUAACCGUUAAAAACCUUAUGGGUUAAAUAUUGUAUAGUCUUAAUUUGUGGUUUGAAGUCAACAUCUGUUUAGUCCUUGUGGUUUUAUUUUAAUCUGAAUGGUUCUUAAAGUCACGAUUUUUCAUCCAAAUAGUCUUUCCGUCAAUUUUCUCAGUUAAAUUACUGACGUGGCUGUUAAAGGCCACGUCAGCAAUUUAACGGCCACGUCAGCAAUUUAACUGAGAAAAUUGACAGAAUAACUAUUUGGAUGAAAAAUCGUGAUUUUAAGGUUCACUCAGAUUAAAAUAAAAUGACAAGGACUAAAUUUCAAUUCAUCUUUGUCAGGUAAGAAAAACCAAGUGGGACAAAAAUAACCUUGUUCGGAGAAGAAAAAGUGUUCAAUACGCCAGAUUAAAGAGAUAAACGUCUAACAAAUUUAAGUAGGUUCUCUUAAGAAACAAAAGUGUUUUAUUUGGUUUUGGUACGUUUUGAUGGUUACAGAACUUACUGUGGUUACAACGGAAUCCCUUGCUGCCAAAGCAAUAACAUCAGCACACGAAACUACUCCAGGGCAUUGAGCUUCAACUAAGCUCUUUACUCUGUCAAUGAAGUCAAACCCUCUCAGUGUUAGAUUUGGGGUAGCAUCCUUUUCAGCUGUGUUGCUCGAAGUUGAGUUCACAAGCACCGAAGCAUCGCAGCCCUGUAAAGAAAGCAAGCCAUUAACUUAAAUUAGUAACUAGUUUAGCAUAGCUUAGAAAAUACAUGUUUUAAAUGGAGAAGAUAUAUAUCGGACAUGAACUCACCCUGACGAAGCAAUCAUGGAAAUGCAUUCUAAGGAGUGCUGCUGCAAGUGAUGGAGCAUUUCGAAUGUGCUCUUCGACAAAGUUCUUCACAAUCUUCUCCGCUUUUGGGCAGUUCUUGGUGUAGAAACCCAACUGCAACUGAGCAUCAGUAGAUCCUAUAACGAACAGAAGACACACAGCUAAAAUCCCAGAAACUCGAAUUCCUCCCAUCUUUAUCAACAAUGCGAUGCCGGUACGUACUUGAUCCCAAAGAAGCAACUUUGACGAGUUGAGGAUUCCAGUACUGUGCUAGGAGAUUUAUAGAUCUCAACCUGAGCUGCAAGAUAAAAAGGAAGGUGACGAAAAUAAUCCAGCUAGCCCAACUAACAUGUUCUUUUGGCAAUGCUUUCAACAUAUUCUAUACAAUAAUAAAUUAUAUGAGUAGUUAGGCUUAUACCUCACAAAGUCACAAUGAAGUAAGUUCCAAACAGCAAUGGUAUUCAUUUUGAAAGUGGAUUAUGUUUGACGAGUGUGACAACGCACAUCUUUAUGGUCAAAAGCCACCAUUAAAAUGGUUCUUUUUCAUGGUAAAAAAAUAUCAUCCCGAAGAAUAUUAAUGUUCUAAAAUUUAAAUUCGAGACCAAAUGAUCCAACAAUGUAUAUGAAGCUAACACUUCCAUUUACGAAUCUUUAACCUCCACAAGAGAUAGAGGUCACGAACUAGGACAAACGAAUAGAACUCAAGGAUAGAGGACUCGAACCCAUAAUAAAGAAUAUUUAGAAGUCUAAUAGACCUUCUAAAUAUGCCUUAUUAUUUCCAUCUCGAUCUUAGCUGAUCUGUCCGGAAAGCUUUUCACAUCCGAGAGAUUACCUUCACUCCAAAUUGGCUGUGGCUGCUAUAUGAUAUCUACUCUAAUGUGGAUUUGGUGAGUAUAAUUACCUGCUCCUAUACCAGCAAUGCUAGGUAUCACAUUCGCAUAAUUCAACUGUUCCAGUUCUCUUAAUAAUAAUUAGAUAUCUGCUGCCACCUGCAUAGUUGCUUAAUAAAGAAGCCUGGAAUACUAUGCAAGGAAUGACAAAAUCAGAAAGAAAAAAGAAAUGAACAGAGUGCAUCUGUCUUAUCCUCUGUUGUGUGUUCUAGUCCGAUCCAGAGUUCCUGUUUAAGGAAUAAUGGAAUGUAUUAUUCAUGACAAUUAUUAUGUAAAUGAUGUAUUAGACUCCAUAAUUGCGAUGUUUUGGAGCGUCAAAUUAAACUUAUCGGUGAGCCGUGACUUGGUUGGUUAAGGUGUUUAACUGACAACUUUAAGGUCAUGGGUUCAAACCUCAUUGACAUAUAUAUGAUGCGUGAGUUAUUAAUAAAAAAAAUUAUAAAAAAAAAGAAGCGUCAAAUCAAGCUUUUAAAUUAAGCACCAGACCAUUUCAUUUUAUAUCUUUCAAUUGUUGAAGUUCAACUUAAUAAUGUUAUUGAGAAAGAAAACGAAAGUUUAGAAAAGAAGUAAAGCGAUUCUGCAUUUCUGCACCAGAUGACUAUAAAUCUUUGUUAGCUACUCAGCUAGCCUGUCAAAUUCUUAAGCACACAAACGCUGGUUCUAAAUUUCUAAUAUGUAUAUCAUUGAUUCAAAUAUUAAACAACUGGUUAGAGGUAUGUCUCAGUUUCGUUUCAGUUAGUCUGUCAUUUGUUUCGGAAGGUUUUAGUUUUGAUCCCCUCUUUUAUUUCUUUUUCUUUUAUUAAUAAAAUAGAUUGAUAGGCAAUUUAUUUACCUAUCCUAGAUCAUUCAACAUAAAAAAUAAUAAUAAUAAUAAUAAAAAUAAAAACUUGUUUUGCUUUAAAACGACUCUAAAAUUAUUCUGUUAUAUAAGUGGAGACCAGAUUGGUUCAGAAUAAUGAAAUGAUCGAACAGAAUCAGAAAGUUGGCCAACUGUAAUAAUGAAAUUGUCUGUGACCCUUUAUUUCCCUUAUUUUGCCUCUACGUACUACAGCUCGAAUGCUUACUAUAAUAACAAUGGAACACUACAAAAUCCCCAGAGAGUGAGAUCGAAUAUAUCAGAAUGUUCUUUAACAUAUGGCAAUGACCAUAAAAAGAUUAACUCCACCUAAUAAUACACCAGAUUGGAGCAGAGACAAUCGUUCUUUUGAUCGAAGAAGCUAUAGUAAUCAGGAUCAUAACUAAGGUGAGAAACUAAUUAUACUCAGUUGUCACAUAAUAUCGCCGAGCUAUUCAUGGUCCGAAAAUGUUUUUUUUUUUUUGGUAAUGAUGUGUUUGUUUGCUCAAAGGAAAUGACCUACAAUGAUUUGUAUCUCAGAAAAUUAUUGAAAAGAUAGAGGAGAUGGUGAAGUCUCCACCAUGGAAUUGCACUCAUGACUUCACUAUGCAACCCAAUUUGCAAUUGGCUGCAACCUUUUGGAAAGAACAACGCAAGAUUAUUACAAGAAUAAUAUACAAACAAACUUCAAAAAGAGACGAGUGUAGUAAUUAUCUUCAUCGUCUUGAUUCUUGAAGCUUCCUAGCUGGGUCCAUCUCAACAAUGGUGCAUGGUACAUAGUGGUGUCUCCUGGCAUAUGGCUUGCAUUUGAUCUUCAACUUAGCAGUGUAAUUUUUGUCCAAACUUGGAUCUGUCAUCUGUCAUCUGUCAUCUGUCAUCUGUGUCACCGCGCGCGGCCAGUGAAGUUAAACAAUCGAGCUGUGAAGGAUCCACAAUGAGAUAUUGAUGUUCCAAUGGUGUACGUGCCCUGCUGAUUAAGAGUUUAAGACCAAAUCAGAUGAGCUGAUCAGAUAAUUACGAUUAACAAAAUCCCUAUAGUAUGAACUUAUAAGCAUUUUUUCGAUGAUUUGAACUUAUAAGCAUUUCAUCCAUGACUCCAUGAGUGCUUGAAAGCUAGAGAUCGAAGUGAAUCCCUUAGGGGAAGGGGUCGUCUAUGUCUAUAUGUAUCACAUACCCUUAUUUAUCACUAAAUAAUUACUAUUUAUUUGAACCAAAUUUACAACAUUGGCAACGAAUUUACCAAUACAUUUACAUAUAAUUAAACCAAGUUACUAUAUCCAAAACAGUUUCUUUAUAAACUUGUAAAAAACUAUAGAUUGAGUAAUUACCACUAAUAGAACCAAAUUGCUCAAAUUAUGACUCAAUUUACUUUAUUGGUAACAAAAUUGUUAUCAUAUCAAUAAAUAUGAAUAUCGUAUGCAUGUAGGUAUUUUAAAAAAUUAUAAAGAGGAACGAAAAUUCGACUUAGCAGAAUAAAAAAGAAUCGAAAAAAUUAUGGAUUAUUCCCAUCUCAACAACUGGAUUGCCAUGCCAUAUAUAUAUUAACAGAAUCAACGAUUAGAGAUGUGUGUUCACCUUAGUCCCAAAGUAACAUGCAUGCUAGCUAGCUAGCUCAUGCAUAUUGAUGAUUGAUGUACUAAUUAAGUUUUAAUAAUACAAUGCACGCAUCAUGCAUGUAACAUUUGUUCCUAUGAGGGCAUAAAUCAAACAGAUCGAGAUGCUAAAGAUAAGUGUAUGAGUUCACGAUGUGUUAUGUGGUGGUAACAAUAUGUUACAAAUUUAGCAAACUGAACCGACAAAUUAUGCCUUCGAUCUGGAGAAUAAGAUAAAUUAACGUUACAGAUCAAAUCAAAUACGAAUACAGAAAGUAACAAGCGGAAAGAGGUCGCUUGUUCAUGCACGUACUGUGUACACUGGCGGACGCACGUAGGGGCCGCUGGGUGCAGCUGCGCCCAGUCGGAUUUCAGUUUUGCCGAACUGACGCUGCUGGGUUUCGUAUUUUGAUGUUUUUUCAAAGUUUUUGCCCCCACAAUCAUAUCAAAGUAACUCUCACAUCCUUUCAUCUUCUCUUUAACCACACAGUCCAAGGGGAAUUCAUUUUAUAUUGGUCAUCUGUGUUAAGAGCCCCAGUAAACAACACACCACCAAGGCACCAACGCUCACCCUACUCUAGAAGAAGGCAACUCUGCACUAGGAUAAGACAUGGGUACCGUAUGAAAUGGUUUUUUUGCCCCCACGUCGAAAAGUUUGUGCGCCCGCCACUGACUCUGUACCUAUCAUUUCUGGUACACCAUGAAUCCAUGAUCGGGUAGUAAUCAGACAUCAGGAUGCUGAAGAUCAACUUAUCAUUUCUGGUGUCAGAGUUGGCGUCAACAACAUUGGCUAUUCGCUGAUGUUUAUACUACUCGCAGAUAAUUCUGGGAAACUUAUAAUCGCCUUCAUUUCUUCACAUGCAUCGAUGUUCUUGGAGCUCUUGAUGAUUAUAAUUCGAAACUUGAAAGCACUUUUGCAGCAGUUCUGCCCCAGUUGCUGCGGUAUGAAAGAUAAUUACAAAGAAAACGAGAAAGCUCCAAUGGAGGAGAUAUUCGGCACAGAGAUAUUGAUCAUGAAGGAGGAGAUACUCGGCACGCACAGAGGUGACAAGCUAAGUGUUCCUGGCCAAAUAUGAAUUACUAGGCAAACUUCUGAAAAGAAAAAGAUUUUUUCUUUGAAAUAAAAAGAAAAAGAUUUUGAUUGAUGAGAAAAUUAUAAUGUGGCAAAUAGCCAUUAGCCAUACACGAUUUAUUUUCAGCAAAAUAAACAACAGAUGAACAGAUUGUUACAACAUCAAACAAACAACUUUAAAUUUACACUUGCAAAUUCAUUCACCAGCCGAAACAAAAAGAAAACAGACGAAUAAAAAUUAUCAUCAGUUGACAAAAGCACAUUGCUUCCUUAUUUCACCAUUUUUGCCUGUGAGGACACCAAUGUUACCCAUUUUCACCAUUGAUGCUGCAAAAUCUUUUGCAAAGGUGGCUCCAUGAGUGAUGGCUUGGGUUGUCACGUAGGUUUUCGUCUCGAUAUCAUCUAGAAGAGCUGCAUCAGAUUGGAAAAGUCCUCUUCUUUUGGCAACAAGAGUGUAGUAAUCUUCAUCAAAUGUUUUGAAGCUUCCAGGGUCCAUUUCAACAAGUGUGUUUGCAUCCCCCGGCUUACAUUUGAUCUUCAACUGAGCGAUGUAAUUCCGGUCCAGUGUGGGGUCUGUGUCUCCUUUACCGGUGAAAUUGUAUAGACGAUUGGAGAAUGAUGAGCAGUGAGAUGUCCCAAUGGUGUGUCCUCCUAGUUAGAAUCAAAGGAGCUCGAGUGAAUUUAAGUUUCUUGAAGCAUAAGAAAAGGAACAAUGAAUAACAGAUGUUGAACAAAAUAUAUUGAUCACUACCUGAUAGGACCACUAGGUCUUUAACAGUUAGACCCUUUGAAGCAAACAUUCCUUUGAGCUGAGCUAUGUUAGCAAAGGGAGGUGGUAAGCCUGUCAAGGCUUCCGAGGCUAUUGACACUCUUCCAUCUCUUCGUCCGGUAGGAACUUCCCAAUAUGGACCAUGAAGCUAGAAGAAAAAUAAAUGGCUAUUUUAGUUUCUUGUUAAACAAACUUCUGAAAGAAAAAAAAAAGCGAAUUAUGUGGAUGAACAUGUUUUGGUACCAUUAAGACUGCGUCGCGGGCUACUAGGGCCAAGAUAUCAGCACAAGAAACAACACCAGGGCACGCCUUUUCUACUGCAUAUUUUACAGCAUCUAUGACUUGGAACCCUCUUAAGCUUUGGUUUGGGAUUGCGUCUCGCUCGGCUUGAUUUUUUGCUGUUGAUUUCAAUAGCACAGAGCCAUCACAACCCUGCAAGAUUAACCAAAAUUUAAUAAGCAGGAACUCCUCAAAAUGAAUGUAGUACUCAAUAAUUGAAUGUCAUGCACCUAAUAAAAACACAAUGGUACUUCUAAUGGUGUUUAUUGCAUUAUAAAUAUUCUUCAAUCAUACUUAUUUGUGUAUGCAAGACAAAAACUAUUGCAGCCAGUUAAAUACAUACCCUAACAAAACAAUCAUGGAAAUGCAUUCUUAACAGAGGAGCAGCAAGAGUUGGUGUCCGAGAUACGUAGUAAUAGGUAGUGUAAUGGACAAUAUCCUCUAAAUGUGGGCAUGUAUACUUGUAGAACCCAACUUGCAGUGCAUUAGUAGUGGAGUCUAAGGCAAACAGAACAAGCAGGAGUUGAAGUGAAAUAAACCAGACAAGCUUUUGAGUAUGAGCCAUUGUCUUUAGGAAGACGUAGAGAACAAUUUAGAUGUGAGAUAUGAUGCUAUAAGAUAUAUGUCUGGCUUUUAUAGCACUUCUAAGGCCUUUGAAUUGUCUUCAACAAACUGUACCAUAGUAUUUUAUAAAUUUUGUUUAUAGUUCUUGAAAGUUGAAACGAUAAGACAUGGAGCACGAGUUGACAACUCCCCCUAUCAAAAUAUAAUAAGAAUGGUGAUAGAGAUGAGAAAAUAUAAUCAGGGUUAUAUAGAGUCAUAUAUAGAUGAGGAAAGAUAAGCUUCACCAACCCAGUUUCUAAGAAAAUAGGUAUUUUCAGUUGCUGUAAUCCACAAAUGUCUUUAAUUUCGAUUUUCUGAAAGAGCAAAGCCUUUUAAGAAAUGAGUACGUACAGAUUUGAUAGGAUGAAACUUUGAGUCUGUUUCUCAACUUAUUAGCCUUUAAAUUUCCCCAUAUAUGUGUUUCACCUUUGUCCUAUAACUUGUGCGCAUCAUAGAUUUUACAGUAAACAGAAACAUCAGAAGUUUCAAAAGAUAAAAGUUGAAGGUAACUAUUUGACGAAAGAGCAAGGGAAACAAAGCAGCAAUAUUGUUGGGGGAUUUGGGGGAGUAAGGAAAGUCGAACUAAAUUUGUUUGAUGAAAUACAGAAGUGCAUUGCAGGAAGCAAUUGAAAGAAUCAAGAAUAUUCACAACUUGUUUUUCCAGUACAACAUAAUAUGAUAUCCAAGCCAGAUCAAUAAUAAGUAUUUAGCUAAAAAUACAUGUUGACCUUCACCCCCUGAAUAACAUGCAUGCUCGUCUGAACAAAUGAGAUUCUAAAUUUAAUAAACACUGUUUGCAUUUAACAAUCUUUUCCAUGAAGUCAAUGAAAUUAUUUCAAGACACUCAUCAAACAUAGAUAUUCUAGUUAUGAUCAUCAAGGAUUGAUUGCUCACUGUGGUUCGUGAAAAGACAAUUGCCUUCUGGAGGAUAAAAUGACAUCAUCCUACAGAAAGAUCAGGUCUAAAAUUUUCGCCAAGAUAUAGGCAACUCCAUCAAUCAAGAAGAUUAAAUUACACGCUUAAUUGUUCAGCGCAUUCUAGCAAAUACCUAUAUUUAAGACAUGAGGAAACAUCCUGUUCCAUUUCUGGGAAUAUGAUACUUGCGCAGAGCAAGUAUAAUAUUCCAGUUGGUUCAAAAUGAACAGCACGAAGGCUUGAAUGAAUCUGAAAACAAAGUCAAAGAUUGACAGGCAUCAAUCUAAUGUAACUUGCAGGUUAUAUAUCUAUAUGUACAGCCAUUGAUGACCUAGCAAUAUUCUCAAAGGAUAUAUCUAUAUAUUGUUUCUAAGAUAGGAAACGUUGAUGGCAUACAGUAUUCUUUGUACAAAGUCUCAGAAUUUGGUAACAGCUGCUAUUGCGAACCCAUGACUCUGAGUUCAUCACUAAAAUAUUUGUAGUUGGCUGAUAAUUGGCCAGCUCCAACCAAUACGCGGCUUCCGAAUCACCAAACUGUAAGAUCAAAAAGAAAAACUGAGUUUUUGACCAAAAAAGAAAGGAUUUAGUUGUUGUAUAUAUUCUGAUGCUUCCCAUGCCUUUCCGGUUUUUCUCAGGAGCUUGUUCCUGGUGGUUUUGAACUUUUGAUGGGGUUUAGAAACUUGUAUUCCUUGUUUGUUAUUUGUUUUUAUUAACCUGUUGUUAGCCAAAAACAAAAAACUGUAAGAUCAAAAAUAAAUUAACAAUCAUCGCACCGUGUUAAGGACAUAUUUAACUCGUUGAAUCAUCAAAACUACAUGUAGUUGUAUAUCAGUGUCAGUAGUGUCAAUUUACUACUGAUGAACUUCAAAUUCUCCCUCCCUGCUCAACUAUUUUUCCUUUUUCUUUUUUCUGUUAUAAGAUUCAGUGUCCUCUCAGAAACGCGGAAAAAAAAUAUAAAGAAAAAAAGAAAAAGAAAAAGGGAUCUUGGUUCAGUUUUAGCAUCGUCAGUCCAGAGUUUGGUUAGAUAUUUUGACAGUGGUAACUAAUUUCUGAAUCCUGGCAAUCAUCUUGCUUAGUUGUGCUGCCAACUAGCAGUGUAUACUUCAUGACUAAAAGUGCACAUUAUCAGAGUUGAGAAUACAUACCAAAUGAAUUCCACAUACAAAUGGUAUGAUGAGAAUACUCGUAUGUUUUACAUGACUCUGGGAUCUAAAUUUUAUCCAUCAAUUCUGAACUUAAAAGCCGGUCUGGGAGAAAUAAGUUUCAACCAAUUUCAUGUUUGGCUGGCACAUAAAAGCACAAAACCCAUCUUUUUACCUCCAGUGUUCUUAUUCUUAUUUUUCAUACCCUUACAGAGCAAGGAAAAAACUAAAUCAGUCACACAAUGAGAGUCAUCAUUAUUGAUACCUGGGGACAUGCAUUCACCAUAGAAGUGGGUCUGAAAGAACCUGUUCUGGACAUCAAAAGGAAGGUGGAACAAUUCUUGGGUGUCCCCGCGGCUUCACAAACCCUUGCAGUGUCUGAAUGGGAGUUAGAAGACGGACUAGACAUGGAAGAUUAUCCAAUUGUCACUGAAGGUACGAAAAUUAAUCUCACCAUCAAAUGUAUGGAACCUCAUGUAAAUCAGUCCAGUAAGAUUCAGAUUAUCGUAAAAUCUUCAACAGCACAACAUCAGUUAGAGGUAUUCAAAACAGAGACAGUUGGUAGUCUUAAAGAAAAAAUCCACAUUAUUGAAGGUACACCAAUCAAAAGAAUUUCACUCUUCUUUUCUGGAAUUGAGUUGGAAGAAGAUUUUCGCAAAUUAAGUGAGUACGGGAUAUGCGAAUUUUCUGAGAUUGCUUUGUUCCUCAAGACCAUGAAUUGUCUCAGAGACGGCCCUCCCUCAAGAAGACUGAGUAUAGUGGUACAAACUUCCUCGAGUUUACUUAAUUCAGCAAGUAUUCCUUUGAAAAUGGAGGAUUCAAGCACAGUUAAUGACUUGAGGCUGUUACUUUUGAGCAGUAAAUUUCUUCCUGCUGAUGAUUAUUUGUUCAUACACAAGCAGAGGACCAUGCGUGAUAAUUGUAGCCUCAAGUGGCAUGGUGUAGAAGAUGGAGAUUCUAUAUAUGUAUUUAAAGGGACUGUCUAUCGCAGUGGAUAUUAAUAUGCAAGAAGAGUAAAGUGGAAAAGCUGAAAAUCAAAUUUUGAACUAGUUAUAAUAGAAAACCUAUAGAAGAGUAAAAAUUACAUUAACUGCAGCUAGUAUUUCAGUUAUUAUCAUUUUCUAUCAAGUAUUAACCAUCUAUAAUGUCACCGUGUACCAGAGGCUUAUUUUAAUUUCCAAUGACUCUAGCACCAGCCUUUGCUUUCAGUCUUGGCUCAUUGUUUUCUGGAGCAACUUUCAAGAAACCAUCCCUCAGAAAACGGAACUUUCUCAGCUCUCACAUGCUCCAAGUAAUAGUGUAACACUGGCCAUUUUCACUGAGCUAUCUUCAUAACUCAUUGUUUGAUUGUUAAUGGAAUAUCCUUGCUAAUGUAUGUGUUAAACAGAAGGCUGGACCAAUCGUCAAGGUAAUCAGAAAUGAUAUAGAUGCGGAUAGCAUUUCAGACUCCAUCCCCAUUAAUCAGAUGGCUACAAUAGGUGUGAAUAAUCUAUAUCAGAAUGUCAUAGGGAGCUUCUUUGAGGCUUCAACUUCCACUUUAGAUUACUAUCCAUCUCAGUUAAGUAAUUGUACAUAAGGGAGCUUCCUCUGGAAAUCAACUUCCCACGGUAUCAACUGCAUUUAAACAUGAUUUUUCAGAUGGAGCACCCUGUAUGGUUCUGUCUGGUUAAAUGGCGGAGGAGGUAAACCUUGAUUUACAUUUCCAGUUAAACCAUCCAUUUUCAUCAUACAAUGAUACUUUGUAGGCACAACGGCACCUGCCUGUGAGCAUAGUUCUACUACUGCUGGAGCAUGCCCGUAAUAGCCCUUUCCUUCAUUCAAAAGCACAGGAGGAUCUUGAUGCCGCUUCCGCCAUACGAUGUUUGGAGGAACAAGAUCAUCUACAGAAGGUUUUCUCCAAAAGUGGGUUCCUUGCCAACGCUCAUACUUAAAAAGUCCACACAGCCUCGCCUUAUGCCCAGAUGGCCCAACAUGGACUUCUGAACAGUCUUUACACACUUUUGCUGGAUAAACCAUCAACAAUUUCUUCACACCAUUUCUAAGUACUUCCCAGGCCCUCAAAGUUCCAUUGGCAACCAGAGUGAGUUCAGCAGGUGACAAGGACUCAGCUCCAUCAAGAGCAACACAAUCAUUUUCUGGGUCCCAAGUACCAGAAUACAGAUUUUCAUCAUUUGCCCCUGCUUGCCAGCACAGCUCAACAACUGCAGAAACUCGGUCAUAAUCAAACCUUUGGUUAUGUUUGAUUACAUCCUGGAACAUGUGCUUCAAGUGAAAUGCCUCUACUGGAACAAGUACAUCUUUCAUACUACCAGUUAUCCACUCAUGAACCCGAUUUCUGCCACGACGUUUGAAACCAGGACAAGUCUGAAUUAAGUGCCCUUUAUCGCCAAUGUAUACUUCUGGACAGAACCUGUGAAAAUUAUAGAUACCAGUUCAAUCUUGAAAUGCUUACAGUUCACUGACAAUAGAUAAUAAAAUGCAUAUAGUCCGGUAAAGGUAUAAAAAAAACACCCAGAGAUACCCCUCGUAGGUAUCUAUUCAACUAAAUGACAGCCAUUUUCUCAAUUCAAUGAUCCAACAUUUCCUUGGAUUUGCCAGAUAACAUAGGCAUUCAGUACAUGAAUGCACAGAUUUAAGUUGAUCUACUUCGAUGAAAUAAACAUAUAGCAUUGUAAUAGAAAAGUUAUAAAUUCAAAGGGCAAGUAGUUGAAAACAUACAGAUCCCAUCCCCACAACUCAAGAAAUACACACCCUUACCCUUGGCAGAUGAGCGACUUACUUGCAGGCCACAACUGGGACCGCUUUGAGGAGGGUAGACACACCUUGGAUAAGAAGCCUCCGGGAAUUCAGGACUUCCUCAGCCACUGGUAUCAUCCUGUGCACCGGAUAGUCCUUUGCUCGAUCUUGGAUUCUCUUCAGAAUCAUAGGCCUCAUCUUCUUCAAGUCCACCUUUUUUGAGCUGUAAUAUCUUGAAAAUCUCGACAUCAUUUUGCAAUUGAUAUUCAAACUCUCCCCCAAUUUUCUCCUCACCGCCAUACCUUAUUGUUAUGCCUAAAGUAAACCAGUCCAAACAAACUCAGUAACAAGCUUAGAACAGCAGAUAUAUAAAAGCAACCACAUUUCUUGCAAAAGUAACAAGCUUUAAUCGAUUCAUGACAUAUUGACAUUACUUCUACUCAUUAUCUAACACAAUUCACCAUGACCCAAUUCCAUACAAAAUGCACAGAACCCUUUUAAGUUAUGAAGCAGAAAAAGUAAAGGGCAGAUCUCAACGCGCAACUUUGUGUAAAAAAAAGGAAGAAGAAGAUUAUAGGCCGAAAAAUUGAUAUCUAUAAUUUGAAAUCAAUCAGUGGUAGCCAAAACAACGAAUUGCCAACAUAAAGAAAUGAAAAAGAGAAAGAAAGCACCUGAAUCGCGAAGGCAGUUAAGGCACUCUUAUGUAUAUCGGUAUAUGUAUCAGAAGAACAAGAACUGAAGCGGAAGAGAUGGCCGAGCGGAACAACGGCUUCUCGGUUCUGUUGUUUAUGGGCGGACUGACUGAAGUACCCUCAUUUGUUUUAAAGGAGUAGUUCUCAACUAAUCUUUAACCUAAGGGUGUGCUCGUUAAAAAGGAAUUUAAGCCGGGAGUUCUUAGCUAAGGACUUUUCGGUAAAUUAGUUAAAAAACCAAUUUUUCGAUCAUAUUUUGACAUCUUGACCGUUCAGUUUGUAAGUCUAUAUGAGAAGAUCAUUUAUGUAAAAUUUUAAUUAAAUUGGUGAUCGUUAAGGUAUCGAAUUAGAUCAAAUCAAUAGACGAAUCAAAUCUGUCAAAUAUCAACCGUUCAAGUUCAUAAUUUAUAAAUCACAUUUACGAAUAUCUUAAUUAUUUUCAAUUUGGCUGAAAAUUUGCAUACAUGAUCUACUUAUAUAUACAUAUAAACUAAACGAUUGAGAUUUUAAUAUGCAAUGGAAAAGUAGGUGAAACAAUGAAGUCAUCAACUUAAGAGUCCUCAUUUGAAUGGAUUUUGAGGUUGUUUUGGUAAAUGGCAAAAGUUUUCAGGUAAACAUUGGUAGCGGUAUGCACAGUGCGGUGCGGGGCGAGUUUUUUCAAACCAACUCCCGCUAAGGUUGGGAUUGGGACCGGACUGGCCACUGUUUUGAAGGGUCCGGGACCGGAUGAACCAAAAAUAUGGUAAUUCCUCCAUCUGAAAAAAACUAGGAUGGACAUAAGCCUAGACCGACCAAAACCGGCCGGUCUUUAGGGCCUUCAGGGCUUGUUUUUAGUCAUGUGAUCACCUCACAUUUUAAGGCUCUAAGCUAUUUAACAUUCUAACUUUUAGCACAAUCGAAUACACAACAAUUUUUUUAUGGGGCCAUACAAAUAAUUUCAUUACUCAAGCCAUAAUAACACGAAUACAUAUAUUCCUUUGUCAUAUCGAGGGCAAGUUAAGGACAUGGCAUAUUAGCACCAUUCAUUGCAUGUUGAGUGAUCACAACACAACAAACUUAGUUCAUAUAAGGUGCUUAGUUUCAUAAUACAUGAAUUUAUUGUAAAUUAGACAAAGCUGAAAACAUAGAGUUGGACCUAAGUUAAAAAAUGUAGUUUAACACAUAAGACUCGAGGGCCUAAUGGGCUAGUUAACUCUAAGCCCAAGAGAUUCGUCUGGUUCAUAUCACAUUCAAGAGACUUUUUCCGGUCCACCAUCGAUUAGAACCACGCGGGAUUUGAAGAAGCCCAUUAAAACCUUCAUACAUGGAUGAAGCCAUAAACUAUGUCGACACUGCCUGAAAACUUCUCUACACUCAUCAAGCUUCCCCUCGAAAUCAAAUGGGAUACCAUCCAGCAACACUACCAAGACCAGUGAGGCUUAAUGCCAUCACAGAUCUGGUCGCCGUCGGACGAGUAAUUUGGCAGAAGUGAAAAAACUAGUUCUUAGGGACUUAGGGUUUUCUAUCGCGUUGAGAGCGUUCUUUACACACAACAAAAACAUGCACGUACGCUACAAGAUACAAACAUCAUGUAACCUUUUUUUUUAAAAAAAAAAAAAUUUAAAGGGCAUAUAUACCAAAUUGGAUUGUCGAAAAUUAGCAUAAUAAACCAGAUUAACUCCAGUAUAUACCGGUGAAAUUUGCUAAGAAAAUAAAAGUUUAAAAACAAAAUGAUCCCCAAAUUGGGUUUAGGGAAAACCCUAUUAAAAGUCUGAAAACUAUAAAACGGAAAAAGGCGGUGCGUUUUGGCGCAAAAAGGAAAACGACCACAAAGCUCCCUUGGCCUUUCGUCGCUUAAACUAUACGCAUUACAAUCAGUCGUCCGUGCAUUACACGCGCCUCUCCUAACCGCCGAUGUCCGCGACCCCCAAAGAAAAACCAACCAGCCGUACGCUAUUCUCUGCGUUACGAUAACAAUAAGUAAACACCGACUUUGUGUUUGUGUGGUUCUCACGACUUUUCGUCUCCUCUAUAUUAACCCACCCUUCAUUCUCUCUUUUCUUCCCAACCCCUCUACAUCCAUAUUUACCGCGUCUUCGAAUCAGGUAACUUCAUUUUACCUCUGUACGUGUUCUUGUAUCUAUUUUGUUUUGAUCAUAUGAACUUUUGGUAUCGUGGAAAUUGUGGGUAGGUUUUGUUUAAAACUAAACUGCAUGUUUACGUAAUUGGGGUCAUGGUUGAUUUUGGUUUUGAUCAUCAUGCAUGAAGCAGUGAUUCUUGAACAAAGAUUAAUUGUGAUGUUAUUGUUGGAAGUACGAAACUGUGGUUUUUGUUAUAUUGUGCUAUAUGAAUUUGGCUGAUUUUUCCUUGUGGUGCAGAUUUGAUAUUUGAUAUUUAUUUGGAGAAAAAAGAAAUCAUAUUGUUGGUUGCCUUGAUCAUCUACAUCCAACAGUCCAGUUUCAUGUCUGAACUCGAAACCCAGGUCCCAUCUACUUUUGGUGAGGCUCUCUUCCUUAUCAAAGCUUAUGUGUAUAGAUGUUUAUCAUGUAAUGUGCAAGUGUAACUGGAUGGUGUGUGUAAUGUGUGUGCAGAUCCCUUUGCUGACGCCAAUGCUGAGGACUCAGGUGCCGGGACAAAAGAAUACGUGCACGUUCGUGUACAGCAGCGUAACGGGAGGAAGAGCCUGACCACGGUGCAAGGAUUGAAGAAGGAAUACAGCUACAACAAGAUUCUUAAGGACCUCAAGAAGGAGUUCUGCUGUAAUGGUACUGUUGUUCAGGAUCCUGAGUUAGGCCAGGUUUGUUCCUCGUAUUUUGUAAAUUACGAUUCUAGUUGCAUUCUUGUGUUUGUUCUUUGAUUGGUAACAUGAUCAUGGAAGUGAAUGUUAGGAUAGGCCAUGCAAAGGCGGAACCAGAAAUUUAUAAUUAGGGGAGCCGGCCAAUAUAUAUGUAGUAAAAGAAAAGUUACGCGUUACCGAAAUGAAAAUUAAACCUCUAGACCUGUUAUAAAAAAAAUUCAUUGUGCCCCCACGAAUUAUAUCAUUAUAUGUAUCCCAAAAAUAUAAAUCUGGAUAAGAUAAACAAUUAGAACUUUUAUCAGCUAAUCUGGUUAUGAACCUGGAGAACUACCACAUAAUAACAUUUCUAUUUAUUCAUUCAUUACGGAAAAAAAUAAGGGAGACUUGAAUACAAACAAGUUACUUCAUGAUGAAGUAACUUCCUAAAAACACAGUUAUUCAUUUGUUAGGGGUGCCAGCAAGCACAAUAAGCUAGGAAUUUUCUCCAAGUUAAUAAGCUCAUAGCUUCAAAUCACAUAGCAACUAGAAGACUAAGGGGAGCCAUGGCACCUUUUGGCCUUGGCAUAGCUCCGCCACUGGCCAUGCUAGUUUUGUUUUUGUACUUUUAGUCAAUCUAGAUUCAUGAUUUGUAGAAGGUAUUGUUCUGCUUCAUAAACCAUUGAACCAUUGGUGCAAUUAUUGGAAAGUAAAUAUAUGAUUAGGUCAGGUUUUGUUCUUGUCUGAUUGAUAUUCAAGAUGCAUUAUUUUUGUAUAUAAAUGUGGCACCAUGAUUCCAAAGUAAGUUAGUGAAUCAGAUUCAAAUUGUGAACAACUGUUCUGCAGCAUGUGUUGAGAAAUUGGUUGCAUAAAUAGCAUAAGCUUAAAAGUAGAUGUAAGAAUGGGACAGGUCUGUAGCCCUCCAGUAAGUAUUAGAUCGAAGAUGCAUUAUUUGGACUGUGUUCUCUAUGUAGCUUUGAAUACUUUGCUAUCAUUAGCAGAACAGUCUAGGUUUGUUCCUGUCAUUUGGUAACUUGAAAAUUCAAGGUCUAAUCUUUUGGAGAAAAAUUUCCGUUAUGUAAUUCUUCGAUCAGUUGGUACCAUGAUUGUUAAGCAGGCAUAGACAUGGUGCAUUAACCAUAUGAUACCAUUGCUGUUGUGGUUCCCUGAGAAUGGUUUAUCUACCUCGUUGUGAUAUAAUUCUCCGAUCCUUUGCAGCAUGUGUAGUGGAUUUCUCUUUUCUUGAGCAGAGAUUGAUGCACAUUUAGUAUUACCUUGUUCCAGAUAUUGCCCAUAGCUUUGCAAGUAUUGAGUGCUUUAUCUAUAGUCCUCGGAAACAAAGCUUAUACAUCAUUGUUUCAUGGCUGCAGGUAAUACAACUCCAGGGGGACCAAAGAAAGAAUGUUUCCUCCUUCCUUGUGCAGGUAACUAGUUUGUCUAUCUCUCUAAUUAGGUAUCAAUUAUAUUGUGUUGUUGCUUCAUAUUUGUAAUUUGGCCACCUUCCUGUUCUCUUAAACAGGCCGGCAUUGUUAAGAAGGAGAAUAUCAAGCUUCACGGUUUCUGAAUAGCACCAGCACCACUCGCUACCCUAUGUAGUUUGCACCACCUCAGUGUUCGAUUGCUAGCAAUAUAUGAUCUGAAAUUAAAUGUUGCUACAAUCUGUUCCUUUAUAUUCACCUAAUUAUAAAGGUCUGAUGCAAGACUUCUGUUUUUCUUCUAGUCCUUCUGCUGGUUUUGGUGUUAUGUUGAAGGAUAACGUGGAUACAAAUAACAUAACAAGUCUAUUUUCUAUAUUUCCAAAGAUCUGCUUGUUGCUAUAUAUGAGAUUGGUGUCACCUCUCCUUCUUAAUAAGGAAGUAGGUGCAUAUAUGAGAUUUAGCGGCUUUGAAAUGUUUUUGGAUGUGACAAUGUUGAUGUCCAUGUUUCUGCAUAUUCAACAUCUACACAAGUGAGAUUGUCCUUUAUUCGAUUCACUCAUGUGAUUUUAAGCAUUCACCAUAGAGAAUGCAGCAGAAGUGCUAGCAAAGGAGAACUUUGAUGGCUGAGCUGACUGAGUUAGUCAUAUUUGAACUAUUGGGAUAUGACAAAGUGCUCUCUAAUAAUGCUUUUCUUGGACUCUUAGUUGAGAAUGUUACAAAAAUACAAAGUACUUGUUGUACAGGUCCAUUGAAGAAUAAUCGCCUUAUUUAGUCUUCAAGUUUAAGCCUAAUAUAGUCAGUCUCUCUUACUCUCGUAGCUGUCUAAUACUAUAAUAAAUUAACUAGAGUACCCUUUAUUUGAUGAAUUAUUCUAACGGUUUUGUAAAGUUUAUUCACCAAAAAAUGUACUCCUUGUUUAAAAUUUGUGUUUUAAUUUGUGUUUUAUACCAAUUUGCUUUAAUAUGACUUGUGGGAUGACUUCAAGUCCUUCAGUAUACAGAUCCUCUUUUUUUCCAACUUUCUGCAAAUCUUCCUCAGAUGUCCAAGUUCAGAACAAUAGGUAGCUUAAAAAUCCAUAUUAAACAACGAGUACACAGCAAGUAACCAGUUCAAGAUUGGUAGGAAUUCUAUUAUUAUUCCUAACCAUGGAAAAAUGUGUCACAUUCCCCCAAGUGGGGGAGUGAGAAUUUCUUUCAUCAAUGUGUCAUUUUUCUUUUUUCUUUUUUCUAAUGCAUAAAAAAAAAGGUGUAUAUUUCAGGUCGGCGACAAAGUUAGAUAAGAAUCUGAUAGAGAAAGAAAUGGAUGGAGGAGGGAAUUUGCGGUUCUUUAAUGUCCACAACAAACAUGCUGUCAAUUCAUAUCCCGUUGUUUUUGUUUCUUCAUUUGGCACUUUCUUAAUUACUGCUAAAGCAUACCCAAUCUAAUCCAUUUGAUAAUUCAUCCCCACCAAACUCAAUUCCUCUAGGGAGCCACUUUAGUGUAUCUGCCUCAUUCUGAAACUAACCUGCAUUUUUGGCUACAUAAAACAAAAAUUCAUUUUGUGAUUUAGUUCAUCUAUUCUAUGAUCGGAACAAGAGGGAUAACAUCACAAAGGUCAGCUCAAUUGGAAAUCGUUUAGUUACACAAGUCUUGUUGUUUUCGUUGUGAUAUUAUCUGAUCGAUUACCGAUAUAUUUAUAUUCAGUCGAAUGUAUCGAUGAAGUAGUCAAAAUGACUUUGAGUUAUUGAUUUUCAAAACUAUAAUUUUGAAACAUAACUUAAACGUGUGAUUAUUUUAAUUAUUAAAUACAUUAAAAAAAACAAAAAAAAACACACACACACAAAAUAGACCGAAAAUUUGACCAUAGAAAGAAUAGAACUUUGGAGGAGUUGGAGGCCUUAUGCUUUUCUAUACAAAUAUAAAGAGGUAUGAGCACAAAUACUCGAGAUCUUUCUUAUCUUGAAAACUCUAUGCCAACCAACAGUUAAGUAUUCAACUACCUAUCAAAGGUGGACCAAGAAAAACAACCCUCUUCAACUACCAGUCUUCUCCUGCUCUUUCUCUUCCUCACUCUCUCCAGCGCCCGUUCUUCCCUGUCAAUGGAGAACAUUAUCUUAUUGACAAUCUUCUUCCUAUUUAUACCACUUACCAACUGCCUUCAGUUUCAAAAACACAGUUCCUGCUCUGCUUUACUAUUAUACUUAACAACAACCAAUUGAAAUUUGCGGCUUCUGUUUGUCUCAUAUUUCAACACCAAUGGCUGACUUGGAUCACUCUUCUGAAGAAAGUUCUGUGGAUUCCAGAGGUACCCAUUUCAACUUAGAAGUUUUUCCUAAUCAUUCUAAUUCUUGGUUUCUGCCAUUUUUGAUUAUCUAUUGGCUGACUUUGAUCAAAUCAUUGAUUACUUGUCUCUGAAUUCUGGAGGUAACCUUUGAAAGUAUUAAUCUUUCCAAAUGAUUUCAACUAGUUGUUCAAUUAUUUCCACUCUUAUGAUACUUUGAUAGGUAAACCUUUGAAAAUCUGUGUUUCUUGGUUUCACUUCACGAAAAAGUUCUCAAAUUUUAUAUUUAUAGCAUGUUUUGUUUUCUGGGUGAUUAUACAUGAUGUAAUCUCUCUUUAAUGAUUGCUUUGGGGAUUUCUGUUUUAGUUCUACUCACAAGUCAUGCAUGCUUUUUUCUCUAUUUGCAGCAGAGGAUACUAGUCAAGACUCUAAGCUUGACUUUUCAGAAGAUGAGGAAUUUCUUAUCACUAGGAUGUUCAACCUGGUUGGGGAGAGGUAGCUAUAGUUUUCAGUUUCUUUCUUCUUUUCUGGUCUAAAAUUUUUCCCACUUUGGCUGAAAGAUUUUGUGUUUAUUCCUUAUACAGAUGGUCUUUGAUUGCUGGAAGAAUUCCUGGAAGAUCAGCAGAGGAGAUUGAGAAGUACUGGAAUUCAAGAUACUCAACAAGUGAAUGAAGAACCAAAACCAUGAAAUUGGAGUACUCGGUCUCAAUCAGAGCAAGAAAUUUUGGGGGUGUUAAUGUUAAUGUAACAAUGUGUGGUUGUAGUUAUAUGCAUGGAAUUAGUUUUGCCAGUUUCCUUUGCUUAAAAUUAAGGAGAAGGGUUACUGUUUUGUUUCAGGGUUUUGCUUGCAAUCAAAUGGGGGCAUUCUGCAAGUGAUGCCCAUCUAUGUAAAUUAGUAAUUGGUAUGAUGUUGUUGGGUUGAAGCUUUCCAUUUUUUCCUUUUACUUCUGUUUUCUGAACAUUAAACGAACUCUAGUGGAAGUAAAUUUGGUUGGUUAAUUAGCUGCUUCAUGUCAAAGUGCCAUUCAGGUGUAUUCGCUUUUCAGAACCCAAUCUUGAACACCCUAUGCUUCAUUUUCUUGAACAGAAUUUAAUUUUCUUCUGUGAAUGGAAAGUUGGAAACCGAUGGUGUCUUGUGCACACCCUAUGUUCACCCUAUGUUUUACAAACCCUAUUACAAUAUUAUUUCCGAAUGAGUGAUUCGCAGUUAUUACAAUAUUAUGAGAUGGGAAAUGUAUGUAAAAUAAUAAUGCACUUAAAGGCCAGUAAGUCACUAAUAAGUGACAAUCUUGGACAGUUGGACAGACGUACAUGUUUCAAAGGCCAUUCUGAAGAAUCUGAGCCUUUUCAGCUGUGUCCUUAUUGUUUGAAUGUAAAGCUAUCUUCCAAGCCUCCUAAUCCCGGAAGCAAGAUAAAGAAUAGUUUCAACAGUAUGAGUAUCACACACACCAAGAACACCAUAUCACAUAUAAGCUUUUUCCUCAUUCCUUUCUUUGAAUAUGAAUGCAUGCAAUGGUUAAAGUUAAUUUGCUCGUCAAGGAGUAUCUAGAAAUCGAUGAAUUUUACUGGAGUUGGUCAUUUGUAAUCGGAAAGUCUGGUAAUUUUCAUUAGAAGAUGGCAAUCAAAACUGCUGUAAGCUUCCCAGUUCUUCACAACCUAUGUUCAUUGUUCAAUAUAAAGUUAGAGAAGACUUAACCGGAAACUCUUCCUUACUUUUCUAUAGCACUGUCAGAAAAGAUAGAGUUGCCAACUCAUUUUUGGCAGAAAGCGAAGGAAUUUUGACAUAUAAAGUGAAGAGAUCUAUUUCCACUCAUGUGUUCAAAUAUUUAUAGACGAAUUGAAAGCUAAGAACAUCGAACAUAAUGAUUUAAACAUGAUCUAAGGUCAAAAGGCACCAUUUAGAAAGAGGCGUAAAGUAAACAGCACUACAUAUACUAGUUGUACCAUUCGUGAUCAUAUCAUACUAUAGAAUGUCAAUGAUUUAUAAUGAAUAAGACCGUUUGUUCAUAUGUAAAGACCGUUAGUUCAGUUCCUUUGCAUCAUCAUUACAAGGAUCCGCAUGCAAAAAGAUCAAGAACUCAUAAAAAGAGGACAACUCGGAGAGGAUAAGACAAACAUACCGGUGUUGAUAUACACAAUGUGAUGAUGCAUUUUGUCGAUGCUUACCCUACUCGCAAUCGGAUGUGAAAAUAUGAUCGGAAAGUGGGUUAAGGAAAUCCGUAUCUUAGCUAAGGUAAAGAGGUCUUUAUUAUCCAGAGCGGGACACCGCUUUUUUAAAAUUAAAAUGUGGGACUCCUUAUUUGGCUCACUUUUAGGUCACAUUUUCAUAUCUCCACCGUUCAGUGUCUAGAACUUAGUGUGUAGAUCAUUCAUGAAAAGUUUCAUUUAAGUUGGAUAAAAUUUGAGUACUGAAUUAGACUAAGUGAAUUAACAUAACAAAAUCUGUCAAAAAUGAACCGUUCGUGUAAAUCGCGAUUACAGAAGCUUAAAUGAUAUCCAAAUUGGGUGAAACUUUGCAGAAAUGACCUACAAACUUUAUUCUAGACACUGAAUUGUGAAGAUGUGAAAAUAUGACAUAAAAGUGAGCCAAAUAAGGAAUCUCAUAUUUUAAUUUCAAAACGGUGUCGCGCUCUGGAUAAAUAAAUCUCCUUCUACUUUUGAUGAAUAUGAUUACCGUUAUUGUUAAUGCUAACAAACAACAUUAUUGUUAACUAGGAAUAACAGAACGAAGUUUCUCUAGUGAAAUUUGUACAUUGCGGAACACUUAAUUAGAUGAUCUAUACAUUCACUGUAUUGGAAUCUCCUGUUCUAGAAAUUCUAGAUCUUUGUUACAAAAUUUGAACUGAUCCAAUUUAAGAUCAAGGUCUGAUCGAUGAGAGCGCAUAUGGGCUAACCGGGCCACAACAAUGGGCUCGUAGGCCUAUUCUUGAGCUUAGGUUUGUCCAAGUAUACAUUUGGUUUUGAACAAACACCAUCUCACAGAAAGAAUCUGGAAGCUGAUGAAGUUGUCAGCCAAUAUCUAGCUUGAAAAAUAGCACUGAAAGAGUCUGUAGAAGAUAAGAGACCUGAACCAAUAGCUGAGGCAAUAUGGCCUAAAUCUGACAAGCUAGUCUCAAGCCAUACUCGUUAGAAAAUUGACUAGCCACCUUCCCUGCUAGAGCCUCCACUGGCCCCGGAUCAUAAACAUGUUGAUCGAGUACAUAUAGCCAAAGAACAACCAAUCAAGCAGGAAAGAUCCCAAUGGCUUAUGUCUCUGUUGCUACCUCACCUAUCCAUCCAACUGUGAUGAAACCAUGAAUCGCUCGCGCGGUUGAAACCAUUGAGAUUUGAGAAACCUAACCAAAAUUUUGUUUAGAAAGAAAGAUCUUCCUAGUAAUUAAAAUUGACUAAAUUGUAGAAUAAUUCUGAGAUAUUGUUAGUACAACGACAACGUACACUCGAUGAGAUACUGAACUCACAAUAGGAUUGCAGAACUUCAUUAAGGUCGACUAACUUGGUUACGUACAGCCAACGCAUACUUAUUUGAACAUUGUUGAAUUAAAGUUUUCAUGCAUCCAAUCCCGAUGUGAAACCCUAACCUAGAUAUGAAAGAAAGAGUAACGGGGUACCAGACAUAACUUUUUCGAGAUGUGAAACCCUAUAUUCAGUUAGACCCUCAAUCUGUUCAAACAAUAUAUCUAGCUCACUGUUUGAUCAUGUCAUUCCACGAUAUAGAUCAUGGCCUGGAUUUCAUUGAUUUACACCUACAUAUAUCUGGUGAACAUGUUAUGAGAUAUGAGACAUCAGUAAAGGAAUUAAUAUUGCUUAAUUUGACAAAACUAGCUAGUCCAUCGUCACCCAGUUUUUUGUAAUUUAGCAGAUUUGAUUACUGUCGAGUACAAGUGAUACAGCAAUCGGGGAAAGAAGAGGAAAUCGAUGAUGAGGUCCUCAAAGAUAUGUGCGGAUAAGAAGGUUCUUUUUUCUGCCUCGAAAUGCUCAAAACCCAACCCUAGCUGCCUGCUAAGAUUAGCCGUAGCAGCAGCAGCAGCAAUUGAGGACCACCACCCCAAGUUGAGUCUAAACUAGAACAAGCUGCGAGAAAAUUAUUCAUCACUGUUUGUCACCAAUCGCUGCGAGAAAAUUAUUCAUCACUGUUUGUCACCAAUCCCUGAUGGCCUGGGAUUAUUAAGUUUAUCUGGAUAUCAAUUUGGGACGGUGCAAAUGUAUCACUCCAUGUUCAUGACGUCCGUUAAGUUCUAAUACCAAUCUCUUAUUUUCUAUACAUAUCGAUCACCAAACCAAUAAUCUCGUCUCCUAGCUACUGCAAAUGCUAUAAUUCUCAGCUAUUAUAUUCCAUAUCUACGUGUGUGCUACUAGUUCCACAAGGAACUUUGUAAAAUAAUGGUCAAUAGUCAAGCGAUCCAUGGAGGCAUAUGCUUGAAGGUAGAGAUUGAACAAGGCAAAAGUGUGUACCAAGAGAAAGUUACAUAAAUGAGACUAUGAGAGGAUAAGACUGUUCAACUAGUUUAGAACUUUAGAUAGAAGAUAGGCUUAUCUUCCUUCACCUCACCUCCUUGGGAGUCCGAAUUCCCAAACCCUCGCUGCCCAUUUAUACAUAUCGAUGCCCAGUUUUACUACUAACUAGUCUAACAAGUAUCACCCCUGCAGAUUAUUUAUAACUAUACGUAGAGUUGUGUAGAAAAACUACAUCAAUACAGAAGACAAAACCAAAAAACUUCCAUUGCAAUCCAUUUGCCUAAAAAUGGCACUGACAUGUAGUAUCAUAUCAAUUCCAUUUAGCUACAAAUGUCACAGCCGUGUCACCUAAAUUUGUUGCCACUUGGGAAGAAAUUAAGACUCAUUUCCCAGAUCGAAGAAGAAAACAGACAACCCUAACCUGGUUUAAUUCAUCUUUGUAAUUAACUCCAGCUAGCAAAAUUUUUCAGUUUCAAGUAAACUGAACCGUGUAUAUCUAUUUCCUGGAUUCACUCACCGGUUUCUUUUUUAUUGGCCAUGAACUCAUGAUUCAUCAGCACUGCAAACCCAGAAAGCGUAUUGAAAGAUGAAGAGGCCAACCGACUAGCUUACCUUGGCACAACUGAGGCAGUUAAGUAAUUAAAAUAAUAAUAAUGAAACUGGGAAACAGAAUCAGUUAUAUGCAAAAAUAGCUUGGUGACAUCAUUUGAAAGUGGAAAAGAAGAAGACAAUUAAGCAUGGUGACUCUAAGUGCAUGGCAUCACCCUACGUGCCUGCAAAUGCAGCUCCCAGUGGACAAGUUCCGCUCUUUUUCUGCAAUAGAUAAGUUGCAACAAAGAACCAUAUUUACUAGCUAGAAGUAAAUAAUAAUAUUCAAAAAGCUAGCAUAGUUGGAAAUUUUCUUGGGUUUUGUUUCUUUCUUAUCCACAACGCCACCGGUUUUUGCAAUUGUCACAAGAAUUGUUAUCCUGCUCAGUGGUGACCGUGGUGUUAUAAAUACAGGCACUUCUAGGAGGUUUUCUCACCAUGAACUUCUCACUAGUCCUUUAGCAAAAGCCUAUUAUACAACACCCAAGUUCUUGCCAUGGCUGCAUCUUACUCAGUGCCUUCGAUGGUAAUUAAACCCUUUACUUCAACAAUUUCAUCUCCCUUUCAAGCUAGCUAGUUCUUACUUCACUUCAGUUUCCUUUUCUGUUCUUUGCUUCUAAUCUCAAGCAAUUUGGUUUUUGUCUGGUUUCCAGUUCAUUUAAAGUUUUCUUAAUUAAGGGUUCAGUUUCAUUUUGCUAUUGAGGGUUAAUGUAGUUUUAUUACUGUCGGUGGGUUCAACACAUAUGAUACAUCGGUUCUAAGUGCACUCGUGUUUAGUAGAUGAAAGACCACCGCAUGCGUAUCUAGUGGGAAAAAUAUUGGUGUAUUUCAGAAUUAGUACUGCUUAAUGUAUUUGGAUUCUUCGGUCAGUUGCAAAGCCUCUGAAAAUCUGAUGAAUCUGCAUGCAUGUCUUAAUAUAUACGAUUAUAAUGAUCUUGAUGUUGUUUUGAAGAAGCACCCUUAUAUGAAUUGUCCAAUUAACACAGAUAAUGGAGGAAGAAGGAAGGUUCGAAGCGGAGGUUGCGGAGGUGCAGGCAUGGUGGGGAUCCGAGAGGUUCAGGCUAACAAAACGACCCUACUCAGCCAAAGACGUUGUGGCACUCCGAGGCAGCCUCAGGCAGAGCUAUGGCUCUAACGAAAUGGCGAAAAAGCUCUGGAGAACUCUCAAGACUCACCAAGCCAACGGCACAUCCUCAAGAACCUUCGGUGCUUUGGACCCUGUCCAAGUCACCAUGAUGGCCAAGCACUUGGACACAAUCUAUGUCUCCGGUUGGCAGUGCUCGUCGACACACACCAGCACCAACGAGCCGGGUCCUGACCUAGCUGACUACCCCUACGACACUGUCCCAAACAAGGUGGAGCACUUGUUCUUUGCUCAACAAUACCAUGACCGUAAGCAAAAGGAGGCGAGGAUGAGCAUGAGCAGGGAAGAGAGGGCUAGAACUCCUUAUGUUGAUUACUUGAAGCCCAUCAUUGCUGACGGGGACACCGGCUUUGGUGGCACCACCGCCACGGUGAAGCUCUGCAAGCUCUUUGUGGAGCGUGGCGCUGCUGGUGUUCACAUUGAGGACCAGUCCUCCGUGACCAAAAAAUGUGGUCACAUGGCUGGCAAAGUGCUUGUUGCUGUGAGUGAGCACAUCAACAGGCUCGUCUCGGCGAGGCUGCAGUUUGAUGUGAUGGGAACCGAGACGGUUUUGGUGGCCAGAACUGACGCCGUGGGAGCUACCUUGAUCCAGACCAAUGUGGACACUAGGGAUCAUCAGUUCAUUUUGGGGGCAACGAAUCCUAGUGUCAAGGGGAGAAGUUUGGCUACUCUUUUGGCUGAAGCAAUGGCUGCUGGGAAAACAGGAGCUGAGCUUCAAGCACUUGAGGAUGGCUGGAUCUCAAUGGCACAGCUGAAGACAUUUAAUCAAUGUGUGACGGAUGCGAUCAAUGCAACGAACAUUGGUGAACAUGAGAAGAGAAGGAGAUUAAGCGAAUGGGCGAACGAUGCUAGUCAUGAGAAGUGUUUGUCCAACGAGCAAGGCCGCCAGAUUGCUGAGAGGUUGGGGCUUAAUAACUUGUUCUGGGACUGGGACUUGCCUAGAACCAGAGAAGGGUUUUACAGGUUCCAAGGGUCCGUGGAGGCUGCAGUUGUCCGAGGAUGGGCUUUUGCCAACCAUGCUGAUAUUAUCUGGAUGGAGACGGCCAGCCCCGACAUGGUUGAGUGCACGAAAUUCGCACAAGGAGUAAAGACCAUGAAACCAGAGAUAAUGCUGGCCUAUAACCUCUCGCCCUCUUUCAAUUGGGAUGCUUCUGGAAUGACUGAUGAACAGAUGAGGGACUUCAUUCCGAGGAUAGCCAAGUUGGGGUACUGCUGGCAGUUCAUAACACUGGCUGGUUUCCAUGCUGAUGCACUAGUGAUAGAUACUUUUGCAAGGGACUACGCGAAGAGGGGAAUGCUGGCUUAUGUGGAGAGGAUUCAGAGGGAGGAGAGGAACAAUGGAGUCGACACGCUUGCGCAUCAGAAAUGGUCUGGUGCUAAUUUCUAUGAUAGGUACCUCAAGACUGUCCAGGGAGGCAUUUCUUCAACUGCUGCUAUGGGAAAAGGCAAGUCAUCUUACUCUAAUAUCUUGCUCUCUAUUACAACCUUUUGGCUCUUAUUUCAGUUUCUGUGUUCAACAUACAAUCACAACCUUUUGGCUCUUAUUUCAGUUUCUGUGUUCAACAUACAAUCAUACACUGGAGUUUUUCACUUCAUACUUCAUCCCAAAACAUCCCUCUUACUACAGUUGUCUGUUACCAUUUGUUUUACAGGAGUGACUGAAGAGCAAUUUAAGGAAUCAUGGACUAGGCCAGGAGCUACUGAUCUGAGUGAAGGCAAUGUUGUGAUGGCAAAGGCUAGAAUGUAAGGUUAUGGUCCUCAGGAGUACUAUGGACAUUAAACCCAGCUCAUAUAUUGUGGGAUCUGGGGUUAGAAUAAUGUGUUGCAAUUUGCAAUCAUAUAAUAGGUGAAAAUUGGAACAUCCUGGGGGUAUAUCUUUUUUGUAUUUGCCGUGCCCUUGUUUGUGUGUACUGUAAUGGGAUAAUUCCCUAAGUAUGAAUUUGUAUCAUUUCAUUUCUAUUAAUUGCUUUCCUACAUUAUCAAUAGUAUAACAUGAGUACAAACAAGAUACUAUCCUGCAAUGUUUCUGGAUAUUGGGUAUUAGAAAUAGAAUACAAAAAAGUUCAUCCCUCAAGGAAGAAUCAAAAAAUGAAGAGCAAAGGGACAGUACCUUAUUAUUAUGGGUAAAGUUGUACAAGUAUUAGGCCGAGUAUCUGUGUGGAUGAUUGUUAAGCUGGCUUGGAGAGUUGUUACUUCUUCCAUGGCUUGAGAAUAGAGAGGACAAUAAUGAGUGCAAUGAUCAAGAGCAAGAUUAUGGAAAUGAUCAUGCAUUUUCUCGAUUUCUUUUGCAAGCUCUUUGCAGUUGUUAGAGCAUCUGUCCCUGAUUGUACAUGGUCCACUGCAUUUGUCACCUGCACCAGAUUAAGAAACUUGUAUCAACUCAGUUUGAUUUUAAUUUUCUUAAUUGUAGCUAGCUCUGUGCUUAGGUUUCUUACUACUGUGCGUGCAAAGCAAGUGUAAAUGAAAAAUGCAUUGGGCUUGUUGAUGCAAGAAAGAUGGAAGAAAAUCUAAAAUCCAAGCAGGCAAAACAUCAAGAUGGAAGAAAAUCUAAAAUCCAAACUAACCCAAAGAUAUUCAUAACCAACUUCCACAUUCCACUCCACCUGAUCGACACUAUCACACACAAAAAUAAAAUCCCAUAAAAUAGUUUUCCUAACUAUGUGAGGAAAAAGAUCUUAAUUAUAGACCCUCAAAGUUUGUUCCUCCAAAUCGAUCCAUGUUGUAAACUUUCAAAAAAGUUUAUGAUGAUGAUUAAGGUGAAUACGAAUCUUCUUGUUAUUAUCUCUGUAAAUGCUGUAAAUUUUAAGUCGACAACAAAUCUACCAGAUUGACACAGACCACGCAUUAGGAAGAAAAAUAUGAUUAUGUAACAUUUUUCAAGUUAAAGAGUAAAAUUCUGGUACAUGAAAGCAAUAGAUUGAUGCCAUAGCGCGUUACUGUGACUUUAAUACUAGAUAUGCAUGUGACUGUUAAUCUACAUGUCUAUAUAUUUUUCCACAUAAAAGAAAAGAAAAACAGAAAACAACUACCAGUUGCAAAAUUAUAUCCCCAAUUUCAUUACAUGUCUGAUGCACCAUAUAGUCUCAUUACAUGCACCGGUUACCUAUAAUCUCGUUACGAUACAUGCAACAUAUACUUUGUGACAGUAUUUUGCAUACACGUGAGAAGGUUAUAGAUAACCGCUGCAUGUAAAACAUCAAUCUGGAAGAAGAUAUGACCUCAAAAUUUUUCGGCUAACGUUUUUGUAUCAUUUUCCACCAAAGCAAAGUUGAGCCAUUUUUGGUCAUAAACAAGCGUAGUCUGAAAUAAAAACCUCCACAAGGCUUGGGCUUGGUGAAGGACCAUCCUGUAGAACAUUUCUCAUUUAGCAUACCAAAAGAAAACAACCCCAUAUGGAAAGUUAUGGCUUGCUGGUAAACCUAAUGAUGUUCUAUCUUUGCUCUUGAUAAAAAAAUAAAAAAAUAAUAAAUAAUAAAUAAUAAAAAAGAUUUAUAGUUCAAUUCCAUUUUGAUAUUUCUUAAAAAAAUAAAGAGCAUGAAAAAGUCAAUAUUUUCACCAGGUGAGACGUGUUUUUCUAAGUGUGACAAUAUUACUCAAAAAAAUAAAAAACAAUCAAACUGAAGAUUCAAAUUUUGUUAAUUUCUGCAAGGAAACUGAAAUUGUUAACUUCGAACCAAAAUCAUCCCUCUAUAAGUCUUAGGACAACUAUACACAUAAUAUAAUUCCGUACUCUGAAAUGUGCAGCACCAUCAAUAAACCAAACCUCACAAGAAUACACAGACAAAAUGAAUCACUCAAAAACCAGAAAGGAAAAAGGAAACACCAUAAAGAAUCAAAACCAAUUACCAAGACACACUCUUCGAUCCUCACAGAUCUGAAUUAUAAAAUAAUCCCCAACCAACUCAUUUACGGUCCUAUAUUACAUGGCGAAAAGACUAGGGUAGACUCGAGCACCCUAGCUGCUUUUCCAUGGUUUGAGGACACCAACAACUACAACAGCUACUAUAAUUAAAAGAAUCAUGAUGGCAAUGCACGUCCAUUUUCUGGAGUUCUUCUGGAGUUUCUUUGCAUUUUGCAGUUGAGUUGUCCCAGAUUGCAUAUAAUCAACUGUAUUCGAAACCUGAACACGAUCCCCAUUAACACAGACGCAAAGUGAUACACAAUCACACAUGCAGUACACAGAUAUCAACACAUGCAAAAUUAGAAUCAAACCUGAGUUUCAAUGUUAUCUAAAACCUCUCCUUGAGCAUCAACCAAGACUGCCAUAUCGAGGUAGAUCUGAAAAGUUAACACUAAACCAUAUCAGACAUGUUAGCUACAGCCUACAGGUACACAAGACCUUAUGCCUUGUUGCACAGUACAAACCUGAUGCAAGUCGAGAAGCUUUUUCUCAAUUUCUUUUACAGUGUCAUGCCUCUCUUGAAUUUCUUCCAAAGUAUUUAGUACCUGGAAUCAGAGUACGUGGUUUACUUCUCAUUUUAGGCAAAAGUUCCCAAGGUGGAAGACAAGAGGAAGAUUAUAAAAAUUCUACAUUAAUAGAAUAUACCUGUCCCCGUCCUUGUUCUUGGACUGCCUUCUGGAAUAUUUGCUCACUAUUUCCAGUUUCUAUUAAAUUGUCAAUUGUCUAUAAAGAUGAAAUGAAUUGACAGGUUAGAAACACACUCAAUACAUGAAAGGGCUGAACUCUACAAUUAGGAAUCUGGCUCACCUCUUCAUCUGGUCUAGUUCCCGUAACUGUUUGACCAUCAAUGAGAAAACAUAAGACCAACCAUUAAUAACUGUGACAAUAGAACUAUAACACAAGUAUCUUAACAUGAAAUGUAUUUAAAAGGCAUUCAAACCUGUAAUGACUCUUCUCUCCACAACCUCACGAUAUUCAUCUUGGAUUCUUUGUCUAAGAGUCUAAACAUAUAUAAUGCAUUGAUAAGAAAAGAGUGGAGUUAACUGAAUCAGAGGUAACAAACUGAAUGUGCAGAGUACAUUUACCUGAAACUCGAUCAUUAUCUCCCUAAACUUUUUCGUCAAGGAACUGCCAUGAAAUAAAAUUACUUUACAUCAGCUUAAUAGAUUAUUAAAUCUAAUAUAAGGAGUAAAGUGCUCUAUAAUUUAAAACAUAAGUACUAUAUACAAACUUUGUCAUGUUCAUCCUUGAUCUGUCAACACCCGUUCCCUUCUCACAUCCAGGCUUCUGUCGGUUGGCUAAGUUCUGGGGGAGGAUAAUGGGAAUCAGUAAAUAACAGAGAAAAUAACAAGAAUAUCACAAAGCUGAUAUAUCAAGGAAGAGUUAUUAGAGUAUUACAUCUUUGCUUAUUCCUUCUAGUUUUCCUUUGACACCACGGGCAAUCUUUCCCACUUCAUCAAUAUCUUUUUCCAUCCGCUUUUUGAUUGCUGAAACAAGGGUAAUUGUCUCAGUCUCUCAGAGUACUGAGCAUGUAAAACUAUGACAAGAGUAAAUAAAAUAAGUAAAUGAAAAAAUAAAAGAGACCUGGAACAACAAGUAAAACAUCAGAAUACACAAUGCUCAGGAAACAGUUACUGACAGUAUUCCAAGUUCUGAGUAGUAGGAUAUGUUUGCUGAAAAUUCUAUAUUUAGGUUAAAGCUUUUCAAAAUAUGGCCGUUGGAGAAUAGUUUAUACCUUUCAUGGCAGAUGCUUUUGUAACAGAUUUUGACUCCUCAUUUGCAUCCUACAAGAAAAGUUCACGGUUAAUUCACGGUUAAUUUCUACUUACUAUUCUUAUGCAUACAAACAUUUUCAACCGUCAAAUAAAAUCCAAGACCAGCAAUGUUCAAUUAGUCUUAGCGUAAGGUGGACUAUUUCGUAGGACGAAACGUAGUAACCCAUAAACACUUUCUGUCAAAAUGUGUGGCAGAGAUGAGAACGCCACAAGUCUACAAGAGAUCAUAGGUUCUAACAUAAAGAUGAAAAUGCAGAUAUAACAUAGCCAUGAGAAUAGUCAAUACAGAACCAAAAGCCGGUGAAACGUAGAUCUUCAGACCCCAAUUUUAGAUAUGAAAAACACAUAUCUAUAUUAAUACAAACUAAAACAUAGGUAUCGUAAAAUAGACAUGUACCUUAAGUUUUUUAAGAAGCCCGGAUAGUUUCUCCACCUGUUUCUCAACCUCUUGGAUCUACACCAAAAUAAAAACAUUGAAGAGCAGGAAGGCCUGACUUGAGAAGAUAUGAACUUAAAUGAAAAAAAAAAAUAGUCAACAAAAAAGAAAAAAGCAAACUCUUCACCACAUAAAGCCCAUAAUGCAAGAGGAAUAAUCAAUGUAUGCAUUUGAUUAGGGAUUUCUUCUUUCAUGUAUUCUCUUGAUAAAAAAUAAUGAUAGAAUGCAAAAAUCCCAAAUGAUUCACUAUUUAUGUAGUCUGCAACCCAAAGAAUGAUAAUUUUGUGUUGAGGAAAAACCUGCUUAUUGAAACUAUCCAUUCCGGCAUCAGACAUGCUACGAGGAAUUCCCAUUUCAAUAUCAUUUGUUCCAGAAGGCUGAGCUCUUGCCUCACUGACAAACGAAUCCUAAAGCCAGAGAAAAAUCACACAAUUUAGCCACUGACUACAGAACAUUGAUAACCAAUCUGGCAAAGGGAGAUGCAAAACAGUUACAAAUUUAGCGAUCUGUUGAACUCAAAUUGAUGCCUUCUUAUUCAAAUUUUUACAUGAACAAGGCUUUGAUGUCAAUAAUAUUUGAUUCAAAAACAUACUCCUGCAUAAAAAAUAAAAUAAAAAUUAUAACAGAAGCAAAUUAUAACAAAGGCACCCUUAGAUUCAAAGUUUGAAAACUCAGAACUCUGUUUCUGUCUUUCUACACUUUCCCUUUCAAACAGUCACCUCAUCAACUGGAGGGUAAAGUGUCACUGAAACUCAAUUGAUUGCGAUCUUUAUAGCAUCCUAUACAAAAUUUGUCUUAAAUUACAUCUGAUACUCACUAAAAACACGAACUUCACAUAAACAUCAGCAAGAAAAGAACCAUACAAAAGUCACCACCACUAAAAGAGCACCAAUUCAAAACCAACAGCAUAAACCCUUUUUCUCAAGAAAAGCAAACAAACCCAGAUCAGAACAUCUUCAGUUAUGAAACCGAAUUCAAUCAACUAUCACAGUCAAAAAGGUAGAAACUUUAAGGAAUUGAAUGAAAACCCAAUUACCGUAAGCAGGUCGUUCAUCUUGAACAAGACUCAAAACCCAGAAACAGAGAGAAAGAGUGAACUCUGAAGAAGAUGGAAGAGCUGUAAGAGUGAUGAAGGUGUCGAAAUCUUUUUGGGUCGUUGUCCGGCGAUGGUAAAUUGGAAAAACGGAAGAGGAAGAACCAAAAAGGACAGAGAGGCAAACGGAAUGAGGCCACGCGCUCAAAACGAAAGGCGUUACGUACGAAUUUUGCAAUUAAUUAUAUUUUACGUUGAUAAUGGAGUGAGAGUUUAUGCCACAAGGUUUAUGUUCUGUCUGACAGCCUAACUUACCCAAUGUCUACUGAGCUGUGAGAUUUUAUUUUUUAUUUUAUGAAGAAAAAAAAAAUUGUUCUUUUUGAGUCCAUGAUAGUAUUCAAUUGGAUUGAUAAGAAAAUAUAUAGUACUUCAAAUUAGGUUACCUGGUGCAAAUGUAAUGGUUCCAUAUGGAACUAUUAGUUGAGAAAAACAAAUUGAUUGGAGAAUUGGUUAUGACAUGGAUGACUCAUGAAUGUGAUAUAUAGGAAGGAACCCUUUGAAAUAGCUUGGGACCUUGGGGGUUUGAAAUGUAUUCUUUAAGGGUUUUCUUAGAGGUUUUGUGUAUGUGUAGAAUCAACGACUAGACUAGUAUUGGUAGAUUCAUGGCAUAUUUGUUUAUUUGGUAGGAAAAAUGUCAUGAAUCGAGGACAAUAAAAACAAAAGGACAAAGAAAUCAAUAUCAAAAAUCAUUUUUUUUAGUUCUCAUUCAUAGUCCAUGUAGUCCAUGUCAUCUAAGUACUCAAAUUCAAACCAAGAGGCCUAUAGUAAAUAGUUUGUUUGAGUAAAACAGUAGUUAUAUUAAAUCGAAAUUUGUGUGGCUGUAUUUGACGAUCUCCAAAAUUAGAGCUAGUUAGAGUAUUAUUUAGUUGCAUAAAAAGAUAAAAGGACUGAAGAACUUAAGAUUUUGUGAUAUUUCAAUGAAACCAUGACAUUCAAACUUUGACUUUAACUAAUUGAUCAAAAGAAAUUUGAAAUUAACUUUCAUAGUUGAGAGUAAUUGGUUACAAGAAACCUCUAAUCAGGACUGGGCCAAAAAUAAAAACAACUGGACUAAUGAGCUCAAAUAUAAUUCGAAGGCCUAAAAGAUAUAAAUCCGGACCAAUUUCCUUUCAUUUUCCUGGUACUGAGUUCCAUUUGGGCUUUAUAAGAUACUUGACUCAUCAAAAUGGAUGUCAAAGAUGGAACUCUGCAGUGUCCUGAACGAAUAGUUUAGUUCAUAUGCCCCAUAUUGUCACUGCCUUGGUGAACGUUUCUCUUCCGGCAUCUCAAGCAAAACAAAGCAAGUGUUAAUCACAUAAAAACCAUAUUUAGCAUUCAAACGUUUCUAUCUUAGCCACAAGGAAACAUAUCCUACCUCCUAUAAAUGAGUAUCUUACAUGAUCACCACUGCUUCUUCAUUAGCCAUCUUAUCUCAAGGUUAGCAGGUCUCAACUUUCUCAAGAACCCAGAGAUAUGAUUAGUGCCAGAAGUCCGAGCAGAGGUCUCAAAAUCUGUUGCCUUGUCACUACUCUUUUCUUAGUAGUCUCCCUGAUUGUCAUGACGAUAUUGGCGCUCACCGUUUUCAAGCCUAAACAACCCGAGAUCAGUGCCCGACCCGUCGGAGUCGAAAACAUUCAGUACACACUCUUUCCAAAUGUGACGCUAAAUGUGACACUAAGCAUGCUCGUCACGAUAAAUAAUAAGAACUAUGGAAGCUUUAGUUUCAAGAAUGCGACGGCAUAUGUUACUUACCACGACACAGUUGUAGCCUUGGUUCCAAUGGAGCAUGCUUUUGUCCCUGCACGAGGGAAAAUAAACAUUACCACCUCUGUAGAUCUUAUGGGCGACAAGCUGAUCUCAAACCCUCAUUUCAUGGAAGAUGUCACUAGUGGGAUUUUCAAUUUGAUCUCUACUGCUGAUUUACAUGGAAAAGUGACUGUGCUCAAGUUCGUGAAGUUUGGCGCUACGGCUUUUAGCACCUGUGACAUCUCAUUUUCCAUAAAAACCCAGCAAAUCGAUUCUAAAUGCAAAUCCAAACUGAAGAUGUAAUUCAUAUCUGGAAAACUUGGUAUGCUGCAUGACGUACCUGCUCAUCUUGUACUGCUUUUUGUAUAUUUUGGAAAGUUGCCGUUUAUGUAAGUUAACACUAGUGUCAAAACCUCGAGAGCUUUUUCUUCUGUAUAUAUAAAUGGAUGAAUUUCACCUUCUUCAGUCAACAAUCUAUCUAACAAACUCAUUCUCUUCACACUAGCUAGCUGCCUUUUUCAACUUCUCAUUCAUUAUUCUGAUGACCCAAAAAAACACCUAGCCUAAUAGUUUUGAGAAAUUAGUUGGAAUUCCAUGUGCAUGCUAUUCAAAAGUGUAGCUUUCAAUCACAGAUUUAGGAUUGCAACAUUUUCUAGCAAAACAACCAAAACGAUCCUUCAUGUAACGGCUAAAGAAAGAGACUUGUAAAGAUUGUGGUUGGAUGUCGAUAGUGAAAGACAAAAAGCAUGGAGCCUUUCCAACAGGAACACACACUUAUUUCCGUCUUAUCUUAAAUGAUUCAGAGAUUUAUAUGUUACGCGUUUGCAAAUGUAAUAACAGAUACAAUGAAUCAAACACUAAAUUCAGAAUAACACACUAACAGACACAUGAUAUAAUUUUAUCGAACUAGUGCACUACAACAAAACAAAACCUAUGUAUGAAAAACAAGCAAUGUACGUAGUUUCUUAAUAUAUCAAAAUAACGAGAAAUAUAUGAUGCAUAACUUGUAACUAACAAGACAACGAUAGAUUAUCAAAGUAUUUAAAUUAAGUUCUGAUUUAUUGUCUGAGGUGGAAGAAUCAGACCUGUGACUACAUUGCUCCUCAUUCACGUCAUAAACUUAAUUGUCCUUUCAAGACCUCAAAUUAGUAAAGAAGAUGAAUCAUGAAUGAAUGUAGACCAAGUUUUACACUUCCUUGCAGCCGUCACAAGCUUCUUCUUUCUCACAUAAACACAGACAAACACAAAUUUGUGCAUUGUUUAUAUGGUUGCAAAGAUAUGAAAUUAGGUAACCAGAUUAUAUGCUCAAUCUAAAUUCUUUUGUUUAUUAAUAGAUUAGAGUAGUUUAGGGCCGGCAAAUAAUAAGCUAAUAUUUGCGAGCUAAGAAAAGUAUAUUCAUGCUCUCGAUCAUGUUUGAGCAACGAAGUGUUCAUCAAAGUCUGAAUCAUCAGUAGUAUAUUAUUCGGAUUUGAUUGUUUUUUGGGGAAUAAUUAGUGAUCGAUUCGACUCACGGGGCCCUAAUUUCACUACUAUUUUCUCAUCAUCAUCACGGGGAGUACUAGUACUAGUAUUGCCUGCCGUAUUAGAUUAGAAUUUGGAAGAUAUCGUGUAUUUUCUAAAGUCAAUGCUAAACCAAAAUACAAGUCACCAUUUAAUUUGGUGGAAGAUUGAAUGAAUUCAUCGACUAAUUCUGAGGAGGCAUAUUAUGCAUCGAUUCGUGGCACAUGGCUCUAGUUCUAAUCGCCCUCUAAUUCAAAUCAAUUAUCAUUUACUCCAUCGCCGAAUAGAAUACACAAGUAUAGUAGUAUAGAAUUUUCUGAGACCAGUUUCUUGUAUUCUAUGUACAAUGGUAUCUAGGUGCCGGCAUGGCCUCUCAAUCAAAGACCAAAUGGUCCUAAUUAAUCAAGCAACGCAUGCAAUUUAGGAAUAAGGUGAUGUAUAAAUGUCGGAAUUUGGCAAAAUCUUGAUCUUUGAUUCCCUGUAUACAUACAUUGUUAUGGGAUGGAUUAUAAUGGUCUAUUAAGUUAAGACAACUGUUUAAGUUAAUUAUGUGCCGAUAUGCAUGUCUAGUUUUGUAUCUGAUCUGAUGGAUUGUAUACUCCAUAGAUACUUAUAUGACAAAUUACAUGUUACGAGAAGCAUGUUAAAUAAUGAAAACUGAAAGUGAGAGUACGUUCUCUCCUCUUUGUCCAGCUGCGAGCCAUUUCAUCUUCGUCAAGCAGGCGUCGUCGAGUCGGUGUAAGUCUGAUGUGAUCGCGGUGGAUGUCUGAAAGAGAGGAUCGAGCAUUACUUGUGGCCUCGAUCGAUACUAGUCGACGGAUUGGAUCGAUGUUGGGAGAUGGAAGGCAGUCUGGCGCGGCUGUCAUAUGACUCAAGAGUCUAUGUUAGAUCAUAUGAAAAUGGUUUGACAUGGGAUGCGCUUCAUGGAUCCGAUAUGGGGGAAAGAUGUGAUUGGAAACAACUACACUUAUCCUUGGUGCUGCGGGAAUGUGAUUCUAGCUUAUUGUAAUUUAGAAGUUCAGACUCAACGUCUCCACCUUAUACUCACUAGCAAGUUUCACUAACGACUAAAGUGUAAAAGAAAAUUUUGCAUUCCCACAUGAACUAAAAACCUGAAAUCCUAAAAGACAGAACCAAACCACAAAACAAAAGAGCCAAUAUUUAAACAUUGAAAUGAAAAACUUUGUGGGUGACAUGAUCCCAUAAGCGAUUUGCCCGAGUACGUGGAAUAGGGAAACGUACUAGAUGCUGUUUGCACCUACUUUUAGUAGUCCAUAAAGAUUGUCAAAAGAAGUGAGUUCAGCAGUUUGGUCGAGAAUGUUGACGUUCGGCCAAGAAUGAUAAUUCGGCCGAGGAUGAAGUUUGCAUUCGAACUACAAGAGUUGAGCCGUUGUUCCACGUUGGGCCAAAGACCAGAGUAAGGCGCCAAUAUUCAAAUAUUACUAAGAUGUAUUUCGGUCAUUUGGCCGAAAGGAGGGUCUCUUAGCGUCAAGAGAAAGUUUGGUCGGACUAAUGUAUACAACGGGCCAAAUCCAAUAGCUAUACGAGUCGGCCGAGCCCAUGCAACGAUCUCGGCCAUGAAUUGUUAAGGAAAGAGAGUCUCAACAAGGAAGGACUUCAAUCAGAUCGAGGUUUUCAAGCAAAUACGCAUCACAAACAUCAGUCAAAUCAGAACAUUCAUGUGUGAUUCAGCCAAGAAAGGAAAUAGGAUGUCCAAAAGAUUUCAUGACGUAGAGGAACGUACUAGCUAGGUUUUUUGACUUGUAUAUAUAGAACCUUGUAACUCAUUUGUAAAGGGUCCUGCACCACUCAAACAAAUCAAUACACAAACUUUACACACAACUUAUCUUUCUAUUGCUUAGGUACUUUACUUUCCCUAUCAACUUCAAACCUAAUUUUAUUUCUUUGUUUUAUUUUUAAUUCAGUUCUUUACAUUCUCGCACUUUAAUCUUCUUGUUCUUUAUAUUCAUGCACUUUAUUUAUCGCACAUAGGAGUAGUUGUAACAUAGAAGUUUCGUCCAUUGAUCUCUUUCGGCCAGUCCGGAUUGGGUCAAUGCGAUUCGCUGUUCACACACACAUCACAUCACAACGCUACAACAACCGAAUCCGUUUCAUCUUCGUGUUCACGGUGAUUUGCGAGUAUCUCCACCCGAUAGAUCUCUCGUCAGUCGCCUGAACAUUCGAGUUCACCCAAGAAGUAAACGUAUUUGAAGAUCCCGGCGACGCUUAGCCGAAAGUCCUGGUAACACAGGCACUAGAACCUAACGGCCGAGAGGGUUCCUUCCUCGGCCGACAAUCAUUUGAAGAAGUCAGAUCAGGCAUACUACAUCAAUCAAAACCUUGCUUGGCCGUCUCGGCCGCGAGUUGGCACGCCCGCGCAACAGAAGGACGUUUGUAGCCAAGGAUCUCGGCCUCAAUUCGGCCGAAACGAUUUUUGAGCAAACAGAUGCAAUUUAGAAUUAACACGGCAAAAAUUACCAAAGAAACGAGCACUUCCGUAAGUGUUGUUAUCAUCUCUACUUUUCUUUAGACACUUGAAAAAAACAAAACACUCACACAAAUUAAAACACAAAACCUCUCCGAACACCCCUCACGAUGUUACACUAUUAACAUCUUUUUUUUUAUUCUUUUUUUGUGUGUGAUUGAUAUUACACUAUUACCAUCUCUACUUGUAGGAAUCAUCUGAAAUAUAAAUUUUCAAUCCGAGUUGAGAAGAAGGUCUAAUCAAAGCUUCUGGAACACGGACUUGUCUAUUGCUUCAGUUGCUUGUUGGACCUGAUCGAUGUUACUAUUGCAAAUUGAUUGAGCACUGAGAUGGACUCUCGAUCUACCGGUACCGGUCCUCCUCCACAGGCUAAAAUCACAUUAUUAGUGGUCGUUAACUAUGUGAUUGACCACCUAACUUGGAUUUGCAUGCUACUAAUCAAAAUAUAUCCCAAGCCAAAAGGAUUGGCCGAUUAAGAUUUCUGAUAACUAGAUAUCACCAAAGAAAUCGAUUCAAAUUUAGUUUGGAUGCUGACGGGUAUCCCAUUCUCAGUUUCUCACUGACAUAUCCAACCGAGUCUGCAUAUAUAUUCCACAAGUCUGAUCGAUCACACUUGAAAUAUUUGGUUCAUGCAGAGCACAUAUGAAAAACUAAUCGCUACCAAGUCCACACUUCAAAUUAUAUUGUAUGUAAUUGAUUAAUAUAUACUAUUGAGGAGUGGACGAUUACCCUAAGCAAGGAAGGAGCACUGCACAUUAUCCGUUAUAUAUGCUCUUCAUCAAAUUCUUUAACUAAUGAUGAUGACGAACCAGAGAACUAUUGAUGACCAACCGAAGAAUAUUUACUUGGUCAAGACCAAAUACUAAGAUAGCAACAUUCUUGAUUAUUUGACUGCUAUUAUUCAACUACGACUUGCAAUCAAAAUUUUCAUAUUCUUUGUUAUGUAUGGUGUAAUUAUUAGAUUGGAUGAUCCUAAUUAAGAUUGAAGUUCAUGUACUCUUGCAACUGAAAAUUGAGUCUACGUUUCUUUUUCCGGUUAAUACUAUUUACGGAUGAAUUCUACUGUACUUUUGAAAACAUAGCUGCAUAUUCCGGAAAAAUAUCGGCAUUAGUUUGUACAUCCACUCUGUGAUUCAAUAAUGGAUAUUAGAAUUCGAAACCGCUUCAAAAAUCUCAGACUGCUUUUGCGUCUAGGGCUUAUCAGACUUCGUCUAUCUGGCGGUGCUCGCUGGCGUUGGCCGCCAUGCCGAGCUGGGCUGCUGCCGGACGGACCUUGAAAACCUAUAGAACUGGUCUCUUGUACUACUGUUGGAAAACAAUUUUUUUUUCUUUUUCAUUUUCUCUGAGCCAUUUUUUGGGCCUUUAAGUUGUAAAUAAAUUUUUUUUUUCUUAAUUUUGCUAGUUUAUUUUCUAAUAAUUUCCUAACUUUUCAAGAAGAGACAUAUAUGCACCGGUGUGCAACAAAUGUGUCUCUAGCACAAAGUGUCCGCUAGUUACCUCUACAAUAUGAAAUGUAUAACGAUAGGGUAAAAUACUGUAUAGUCCUUGUGGUUUGAAGUUAACAUUUGUUCAAUCUUUGUGGUUUUAUUUUAAUUUGAAUGGUCCUUAAAAUCACGAUUUUUCAUAUAAAUGAUUAUUCCAUCAAUUUUCUCAGUUAAAUGGCUGAUAUGGCUGUUAAAAAUUACAAUGUCUUUUUAACGGCCACAUAAGUAUUGUAACAAAAAAAAUAGACAGAAGAACCAUUUGGAUAAAAAAUCGUGACUUUAAGGACCAUUCAGAUUAAAAUAAAACUAUAAGGACUGAACAGAUAUCGACUUCAAACCACAAAGACUAAAUAAAUUUCAAUUCAUAACGAUAUGUCUAGUGUAUUAUGUGCCACAGUGAGUAACACAUUUAAUGGUAGGUCUGUCCAUUACGAGGCAUGAACAACAUGGUAUAUAACGGUCUAUCAUACGUAAUGAAUAUAUCAAUUUGCACCAUGGGCUCGAUUGAAAAAUUAUUAAUGGAGAUUGGAAAAUAUAUGAAGUUUAUGAUUUUAGUUGAAUUUUUGUUGAACUCGCUUAUAUUCUCUCCUAAAAUCUCUACUCUAUAUGAAUCAUAAAUCAUAUUUUUACUGACGAUGUUGCUCACAUUUGUAGAGGUCACUGACUCACUGAGUACAUUAAACUUAGUUAUUGGUCUAAUUCAUGGGUAUAUAUAUACCUAAUGUUAAGAAGUUUAUAUUAAGAUGAAUAAUUCAUCAUGAUCACCUCAUUAUCCUAUGAUGAAUGUAAUUCGGAUUAAUUAGCAAGUUGAUGUACAGAUAUUCACGCAUCAUUAAGAACUUUUUGUAGACCAUAGCUACAAGCAUCCCUAUAGAGCUUUAGCUAAUAUUGUCAAUUAGCAUGCACCAACUUCGGCACUUUGGUGGACAAGAAAACUAUACAUCAAUAAUGACAUGUUUGGUUUGCAUAGAAAAAAAAAAAAAAAAGAGCCUUAUCUUUCAUCCAUCACAAGCGAUUAAGAGAGGAAUAUAUAUGAGUUAUAUUAUAUAGUCGUUGAAAUGGUGGUUGUUGUACGAUUAACAUCAAGGCAUAUAUGUAUUUGCUUAAUUCCUUUCACCCUCUUCGCUAUAAGUCUAUAAUACCAAACAAUUAAGCACAUACUGUAGCUAGGUACAGCAUCUUAACCUUUAAUAAUGGUUAGAACAAUCUGAAUCGGAGACGCAAGAAGAAAGGUGUAGAGGAAUGUUGAGGGGAAAGAAAGAAAUUAAAGAGUCAAUCAGCAUAAGAAUAAAAUGGUUGGGACUUGGGAAUAUAGCUGAGCUAAAACUGCUCGAUGAUCACCUGCCUUUAUAAUCCUCGUGCACAUGGAGGGGUCUUCCAUUGCAGCCGUUUCUGGGUAUUUCUUUAUAUGAAUAUGGCCUGCAAGAGGUUGAAGAUGAAUCAAUAUUUAAACCUAUCAAUCUACUUUUUCCUAUUAAUUUAGAUAUUGUUACGACUGGCUGUCUUUCUUGCUUAGCUAAUUCCUAGCUAUAUAUAUACUGUUUGCUUUGAGCGUACAAGGAAGUGAAGGAACUUAAUUACAUCCUUUUGCUAGGAUUAUGCUGGGAUUCUUGUGCCCCCUUCCAUAUAUAAAUGGCAUGUUUAUUAACCUGGAAUGGAAUUGAGAGUGGUGUAAUUGAUUCCGGAAUGGGUGAAUUUCGGCGUUCACUAACAUGUCAAGGUAUUAGAAUAGAUGUGGGUCACACUUGCUUAUCAGGAAUCAAUUCCUGAUAAAACCCCUUAUUCGAUACCCAAGGGAGGAGAUGGGUAUCAGAAUCAAGGUAAUGGAAUCAAUUUUUUCUUCCCAAAAUAUCCUCACAUAAUUAUAAUAUUUCUAAAUUACUCAACCCUAAAAAUAUAUAUUGUAUUUUAAGGGUAUUUUAAAUUCAUUUUGUGUAGGGGUAUUUUAGUAAUCAAACUAGUUUUAAUUCCGAUUUCAUAUGAUAAGUAAACAACACCAAUCGUAAUUAGUUUCAUUCCUGUUUUGAUUCCUUAUGAUAAGUAAACAUUAAAAUGAUAUGAAAUAUUCUCAUACCGAUUCUUAUUGAUACCGAUUGUUUUUUAUACCGAUUCAUGAUAAUUUUCAUUUCAAGUUAGUAAACGUGCCCAAUGUUUGCAUAACUAUUAAGAAACUAUAUCAAUAUCUUAUCGAUCUGCAAAAAAGUAUUUUGUAUUGUAAUUAUUUUGAUAAAUUCAUUAAUUUAUAAGAAAACUUUGAUAACAUAUUCAGUAAAAUGUUGUUUGACAUGUGGACAAUGAUAAAAUUCGAACAACUUCUAUCUCGAAAAGAAUCAGUUCUUUUUUAACUCAAUCAAGAGCAAUUAUAUAAGAACAUAUACUUUGUUUGGCUUGAGUUUUACAUUAUGUAAACCUAAAAAUACAUAUACAUAUCAGUACAGGUGGUCGAGUUGAUAAUUUGAAGCCUUCAGGUGCUUAACUACCAACUAAGAUACAAAUUAUCAACUAAGAUACAAACCUGCAUACCCGGAUUCUAAUAUCGCCUUCGCUCGGAGUUAUACUUCAGUCUAAACUUAAACAGAUACACUGUCACUGGUGUGUAGGAUAUUUGCUCAUCAGUCAGGUUCAUUUAAGCACGACAAUCGCUAAAUAUAACUAUACGCAAAAGGGCAGCCUUGUUUGGUGACUGUAUUACCAGUUUACCACGACAAUCGCUUUCAUUUGCGACUUUGAUUACUUUAAGCAAUUCCUGCUUGAUUCUAGGGUUGAUUAGCUAAUUUAUCAACUUAGAGGGCAGCUUCAAAGAACAAUACUGUAAUUUAUCUCUUAUUAGCCAUCACUCUGCUUAUUACGCCACGUACUUACAUUAACGUCUUAAUUAAUAAGACACGUAGUGGCAUCAUAGAACUUUUACUAGAUAGUCUUGUACCUCAUAGGCUCAUACAAGUUCAAUUAGUCUUAGAUUAUGUUCUAUUGUAGUUGAGGAAUAUAAUACAGCCCUACAAGUUCAAUAGGCUCCUACUGCCAAUGAAAACAAUACAGCCCUAAUUCUUAUGACCGGUUACAAAGAAAAUAUAUAUAAAUAUGCAGAAAUCAGAACCAAUAACCAAAGAUAACUAUUUACAUAUAGCUCAUUUUAUGUGAAGAAAUAUACAACAUUUAUAUAUCCACAGAAUUUUCCUUUAGUAUUGUUACAAAGUAACUCAUAAGAGUUUGGAUACAAUGGAGUUCAUUGAAAAUUAAACAAGAUAAUUCACUAACAGAUUUAAAGGAACCAAACACAACCCUUUUUUCUUUAAGUCUGUAUUUUGACCAUUUUUCCCUGAACAAUCACUACUGUUUUCAUCUGCCUGCUUCAUUUCUGCAAAAUGCUCUUUACCCUACAAAAUCAACAGGAAUAAUACCAAACAAAGGGAAUUAAUCUGCUAACCAAUUACCAAUAUAAAUGAUAAAUUAAAAGAGGGAAUAAUUUAUUUUACAAGCUAAAAAGAACAAUUAAUAAUUGAAGAAUUAAGAACAAGAAAAGAAUAUACCAAAGAAUUAAUGUUGAUACGAUGAUCUUCUAUCUUUCUGGGAUUCAUAUGAUCAACUGGUCUGAAAUCACCAAUCUACAUAUUGAUAAACGGCAACAACAGUCAAUUAAUUCCUAGAAACAUGUAUAAGAUUAUAUAUAAAGGGAAUUCACAAGAAAAUUGAUAUAUACUUCAUCGAUCGAUCAUCAGACCUUGGGACUAUUAACAGGAGAACUAGCAGUAUCCUCCAAAUCAUGAUCCCCAAUCUUCUUGGUUCUUGUUUUCUUCAAUUUUUUCGGCACGCUGUUGUUAUGCGAGACUCUCCAUGCGGCACCAGAAGAAGCAUCAGAAACCAAAGAAGAGCAGAAACUAGCCUGUUCUUGUCUAUUAUUGUUCGAGAAAUCUUCGAAGUACUUAGUCCAACCACUCUCUUCCUCCUCAUUGCAGGAGAACGUCGCUGCUGUUUCAUUAGAAGGAACAGCUCUGAUCAUAGACGAUGAACCAAAAGACCUAUCCAUCGUAUCAAUCUUAUCAAAAAAACUAACCAGAAGAAACUCAAAUAAAAAAGAGAUAAGCUCUAGCUAGCUAGAUUUGGUCUUGCCCGAGAGAGAGAGAGAGAGAGAGAGAGAGAGAGAGAGAGAGAGAGAGAGAGAGAGGAGGACGGNNNNNNNNNNNNNNNNNNNNGAGAGAGAGAGAGGGCGGCCUCUUGGUUCUGAGAAGACCUGGGAUUUUAUAACAGGAAGUGAGAGAUGAUUAAGGGAAUGGAGAAAAUGGGGAGCCCAUAAUGUUAUUAGAAUCUGAUGAGGGUGGGCCAGAAGUUGAGGACGACGUUAAAACCAGAAGUUGCAACAUAAAACCAAAUGAGGGAGAGAACGUGCAGAAGAGAAAAAUACAAAAUUAUAUGAGAGGGGGAAGGAGUACGUUGACCUUUGUGGUUCUGAUCGAAUGAGAUUUUCACACACCAAUUAUAGGGUAACCUUUUUCCAUUGUUACGACUUCUGACUUGGCCUAAUUAAUAUUCCUUCCCAGUUAAUGAGGUCAAUAGAAAAACCUAACUGAAAACUUGGACUGGCUCUGGCUGGCCCGAGAAAUUAAGCUUCCAAGUAGAGACUUUCAAGAGAAAAUAAUUCAUCAGCCCAAGUAGACUUUGGCACUUUGCAUUUGCCUAACCAUGCUUAACCCUUUUAUUUGGUAACUCGUACUUCUUAUUGAAUUGGGGUUACAUUACACAGCAGACUAAUGUUUAUAGAUCAAAGGAAGUUGCGUCUCGAAGACUUACCCAGCAUAUAGUUCUGUCCUGCUGCAUCAUUAAGCUUUGCAUACCUGCUCGCACAGCUAACAUGUCAAAAACUUGAAUUCUAUAAGAUGAAUGUGUUUAUUAGAUUGGAUUUUUAUGUGACAGAGUGCAAAUCAAACUCGAUUAGGACUGGACAAAUAUGCAUUCAAUUGGUCUGAGUGGUUAAAUUUGUCCACAAAAGAGGACCAUGCAUUGUGAUGCAUAUGUAGGGAUAUGACCCAGACUUUUCUGUCUUCCUCGAUCAUAAGUAGAGAAUAAAUACAAAUCACAAUACCACGUAAAAAAAACAUGUGCUUUUACAUAUAUUAUCUGCGAUUCUGAGGUAUAAGGCGUAUAACGUUACCCAAGAUAGGAUAGGUUUGAAUUGGUUGAAAUUGAAUUGGAUCGAGACUUACAAGUUGAUAUGAUAAUCGCCUGCAUAACAAUGAAUAUGCGUCAUCUUGGCUCUCGGCACAUAUAUGCGCAUUCAUAUGCAAAUGAAGGAUCAUUCUGUUUGAGGAAAGAAUAUAAGAAAACAUCAAAGAACAGUACUACUGUAGAACAUUAGGAAGAUGUUGCAGAAAAUGAAAAGUUGUGUUGCUAGGCUUGCAUCUGGCGUUUCUAGACGAAGAACGUACACUAAGAGAGACAUUAUUGCUAAAUUAGACACGCCAUAAUUAAAAUUUCAAGGCAAAUUAUUGCCACCAGCAGGAGGAUUUGGCCACAUAGUACUGUUGUCAUGAUCCGCGAAGGGAAACAUCAUUUCCUCCCUAAACCCCAUAUGCUGAUGAUGAUCUUGAUGUGGCGGUGGUGCUGGCGCAUCCAUCAUGUCCAUGAGCCACGAGUUUUGCGGCUUCUGAGUUACCAUCUGCAUCAUUUGUGGUUGCAUUGCCUCCAUGUUAUGCCGCAUCUGAUCAAAAGCUUGCAUGUCCAGGGUUGCAUGUUGCAUGAUGCUGCCCUCAUCGCCACUCUUCAUCGCCAUGUUGUUGUUGCUUCCCUCACUGUUAGUCUUCAUCGCCGGCAUCCUAUUCUCCCUUGUAGCUGGCAACCCUUGUGCUCCUUGCACAUGAUUAGGGCUCUCCACAGCCUUAUUCUUAAUGUUCUUCAUCCUGAGUUGUAUCUCUUUCAGGUGCUGGUCAAUGACCCAGUUGAGGUCAGUUAGGUCUGACAUUGUUAAUUCCUGGAGAGACUUUCCAGUUAGGCUUUGAAACAUGACACGAGCCAUCUCCUUUUCCCGAUUAUCUUUCUUUUGCUUCUUGAGCUGUUCUUGAGACUUGUUGAUUCUUUGCCUCAGGAAACUCUCCUGAUUUACCAUCUUCUUGCUUUGCUCCAUUUCGGGCAUGGUCUUGAACUGCGCAAGUACGCGAUGGGCUCCCAAGAGGGAAGGCCAGACUUCAGGCUGGGAGUCAUAGGGGCUGUAGAUAAUAGCACAAGCAUCAAUGUCACAAAGGGUGCAGAGUUCACUCACCUUCUUCAUAAGACUCAUCUUCCUUUUUUUGAAUGUCGCUUUUCGAGCACUGUCAUUUGUGAUGUAGGUAAGUUUCACCUUCUUUCUAGUCAUGGCUUGAAAGAAAAGAUUAAAAUUUGCAAACUAGGAAGAAGGGAAUGAAGGAAUAGCCUUUCUGGUUUGCUCUUUGCUCUGAAGAGACUUUGCGCUAUAUAAAGCACAGGCAAGGGGCUACCUAAUCAAUGUUGCUUGAAAUGCUGCAAAUUUUCUGACGUUUUCGGUUGGAUGUGAGAUUUAAUGACCGCCAAUUGUGAUGCUUGAAUGAGAGACAAAUCCAUUUUGAUUUUGUUUGAGAAUUGAGCAUAUAUAUAAAUGUCAAUUGUGUUGCAAUGUGUUUGAGCAUGAGACAAAGAGGUCUAAAAGUAGUAAUACAUGAGUCCGGAUUUAUUUCCUAAUGUGUAUGAGAAAUGAGGAUUUCAUAUGAAUGAAUGAUAACGAAUGCGAGUUAAUGCAAAAUCUGUGUUGAUAUUCUUAGCAAAAGAGAAGAUUGCCAAGAUAGUGGUUUUAAUUAUAUGGAAAGGGAUAUGUUGAUUUUCAUUUGUUCAUACAAUGAAACAUAUUUGUAUCUCAGGCAAUCAUUGGAUGGGAGUUGUGCAUGUUCCUAUUUUUUUGAAUAUCAUAAUAAGGUAAACUUUAAGAUUUCAAUUAUAGUUAAUAAUAUGGUUUUAUUUGUCUUUGGUUAUAUGCUUUGUAUCUAUGUUUUUUGUAGAGAAAAAUCAUUGGUACGUUGUAUGCAGAAUAUGUUUGUGAUGGAAAGAAAAUGUAUAUCAACUCUAACUGUAUAAAUAAUAUGUCAAAGAGUUAUGCUAAAACUCUAUCAAUUGCCAAUAUAUGUGGUACCAUAUUCGAGUUUAUCUCAUCUCGUUUUCGUUUUGUUUAUAAAAUAGUGAAUGAAUAUGUAUUCAAGCAACCAUACUAGAUCAAUGACAAAGAACUGAAGUUCCCAACACGUACGACAGACAUCUUUCCAUACUCUUCACCUAAUUCAUAUCAAGGUUAAUGGUGAGCAAUGAUAUGUAUUGAGCGAACAGGUUAACCUGAGAGCAAUCUGAGAGUGUUGAAGAAUCGAAUAAUUUGAGCACAUUAUUAAUUAAGAGGAUUAAAAGACGCCUAUUGAUUUCAAAUGUGAAAAGAUGAUGAUAAAACAGUAUGAAAAGACAUAUCAUUAUAUGCUAAAACAGGUAACUAAGUUACAAUGUGCAUUAUCCUCUCAAAAAAUCAAUCAGCCAUGCAUCGAUCUCUUUCUCUUUCUUCUGUCAAAAUAAUGCUGGGAAAAAUUGUCAACUGUUCCUAUCGGAAAUAGGAUCCUGCUCCUCCUGGUAGUAUUUCAUAAUUCAUGUACAUAAGUAUUAUAUAGGGUAUCAUAUAGGAGCAAGGAUAAACUUUGAUUACUUUUUGCAAAAACGGAUUUUUGGUUCUUGAAAACACAAGCGACACUGCAUAUGGUCGACAUGGCGGAGAUGACGCCGAUGAUCAUAUCCCAACCGCCGGUCCAAAAAUACUUGAUAGCUAAAAAGAAUGCAAUUCGAUCAACCAAGAAAAUAUGGAAUGCACUUAAAUCCGGUUUCAUGUCAUCCGGCGGAGAUAGCCAACUGAGGACCAAGAAUCUUACUACAGUAUAGAACGUCGUGAAGGCGCCAUAUAUGAGAGCAGAAGUCAUGGGGGCGCAAGGGAAUUUAAAGUGAUGGGGGCGGGUUAUUAGCAGAAACCACACUGCAAGGUUCUCAAUUAUGAGGAGGACAAUCUCUAAGUGGAUCAGUUUCAACUUCAACGACGCCCUAAUUCGUUUCUUCUUCUUCUUCUUCUCAAUCUCUUCGUCUCCCAUUGUUGCCUGCAUGCUGAUCGUAACAAAUUGCUCGCCGGCAGCCAUAUACAGAAUAGUUCGAUGGUUUUGAAGAGNNNNNNNNNNNNNNNNNNNNAUAGGCGGAGUCCGAUUCCUAUAAGAAAAGGACCGCCGCGCCACACACCAUCUUAAUUUGCUAUCUUUUGUCAUUUUUCUUGCUAGCUUACAAAAUCGAUUUUGAUAUCAUCUGAAAUAAUUAAUUAAUUAUGAGAUAUAAGGACCGAUUACAAAUUUGAAUGAAUAGGUAUUCAAGUAACCCUAGCAUCACGUAUUUUGGCCAAUGAGUUUUGCAGUGUAGAAAAUAGAAAAUGGCUUGUAGGCUUCGGCUUAUAGCAUUAUACCAAAUCGGGCUUGGGCUCAUGUUUCGUAUCCACCCAAACCCGGUAACCCGUUAAACCUUCCUCUCUACCAAGCUUACAAGUUGCAAGUCACAACUGUUCCCAAUUCUCAGAGGUGAAGAGAAUCACAAUACUGGGAAAAGACCAAACCUUUGAGAGUCUUUAGGUAAGUAGCUUGGUAUUGAUGCAAAUUUUGCAUACAUUACCACCCAAUUGACUGUGAAUUCACAGAACCAAACUGAGCUUAGUGCCAUUGACUGAUACCCAUUAACGUUCACUGCUUCGAAUUUCAGGGUUUUGCAGUUUCAGGAGACGGAAGAUGAAAGUCAAGAUCUUGCGUAUCCUUUCUCACUCUUUUGUUAUGUUCAUCUGUCUCAGUUAUACUAUCUUUUUUCUUUUGUUUUACCUUCUGGUUUUAAGUCUUUUGCAUUAUAUCAUAGUAGAAUGACUCUCUGCUUGAUAGUAUUGGAUUAGUAUGAAUUGGGUUUAUCAAGAAUUACUGUAGUUGAUUGGCUUGAAAGUUGUACUUCCUAAGUUGUUGGGUUAGAAAACCCAGAAAACCCUGUAUGUUCUUGAUGGCAUUCAAGAUCUGAGCUUGAAAUGGAAUUUGUUAGCCUUACAUGUUAGACACCAUGUAUCUGUGUUUUGUUGGGUUUGAGUAUUCUGGUAAUAUUAUGAAAGGCCUAUGCUCUAGUAUAAUCAAGACUGGAACUUGCAAUACUUGCUCUAGUAUAUUAUUCAUGAGUCUCUAGCAUAGAUACUUGUAUAAAUUUAUUUUGUUUGAGUAGUGUGAUAAUAACAUGGAAAUGCUUGUAUGCUUUAGUUUACAUGUUGGCUAGUUAUCUAGCCUAAACAUGAUAUAUCUUUCUUAUCUUUCUUGUAAUUUGUGAAAUGUCAAUGCUGCAAGCAUUUUAAAGAAAGGGUUUUUUCUUGACCUGCCCUCCUCUUUGUGACUUUCUGCUGGGAUUUCAAACAGAGUAUGCCCUCUUCAUCCCUUUCCCAUCUCUUAUCUUUGAUUCUAAAUUUUGGAUAGUAUGAUCAAUUUCUGUAGUUUAUACCUAUCAUUGAUGUUCUCUUUUGUGAGGUGUGAUAUAUUCAUCUUAUUCUUGUGUUUUCGUUGUACCUGUAGGUGGCAUGCUGUUGCUGCAUGGACAUGGGAUGCACAGGACGAAACAUGUGGCAUUUGUAGGAUGGCAUUUGAUGGUUGUUGUCCUGACUGUAAGCUCCCUGGGGAUGAUUGCCCACUAAGUAAGUCACAAACAUUAUAUUCUAUCAUUUCUUUUAGUUCAUCAGAUAAGUUCAUAUAGGAGUUCAGACUUCGCUUUUGAGAAGUGGCUUGAAUUUUUCUGUAUCCACAUAUGGUCGUGCCUUUUUUUCAAGUGUAAUUGAUAUGAUUACUGUGGUACUUGCAAUGAUCUGUGCUAGAAUUGCUGGUUGUGUUAUGGUACAAUUUAUACAAUUGAUUAUUAACUUACAAGCAUCAAGAUUUGGGUUUUCUUUCUUUUGUCCUACUAAAUACGUAAAAUAGGAUUCAGAUACCUGACAUAGUCUAUGCUGAUGUGUAUCAAAAUCAGCUACCAUGAUAUGUUUCCAAACAAACUGUGAUAUCCAAUUUUGUGUUUUUCUUUUUGGGGACUAGAAUAGUAUAUUUAUGAUCAUGAAGGCCAACCAAAUUGCUUAUUAGUUAUUACUCUUUUCAUGGCCUAAACUAUUAUUCUCUGUUGAACCUGAACAUUGAGGCAUUAAUGGAUUCUAGUUUUAAGAUUCAGUAGCAACUUCUAGUUUGGAUUCUACUGGACAAAGGCCAGUAGCUCGCUUGAUGCAAUUAUACUGUAGUCUCUAAACUAUAGUCUGACAUAGGACAAAGAAAGUGAGAAACAGAGUGAGGUUUAGGGUCAGAGAAGAAAGAAAGUUAGAAACUUGAAAAAGAAAAAGAAAAAGAAAAGAAAAAAAAAGAGAGUAGUUUUAGAAGAAAGAAAAGGCGUAUGGCUGCUCUAGUUUCAGAGAACAUGGGUGAUAGAGAGAAAUGGAGGAGAGGAGAUACCAAGGAAUCCAGUCUUCAAAAACACUCAAUUUUUAUUCAUUCCAAGCUGAUUCGGCUAACAAGAGAUACCCUUAAUUAUAAGCUUCAGAUACAUUUGCCUUAGACUCCUAAAAUACCAAAUUACUUUAAUAGUGUCAUUGAAUAGGCAUCGUGUAUACCUAUUUUCUGACAGGUUCAUGUUUUACACUCAAGAUGUCUGGUUAUGUUUAUUUGUUGCAACAUUUGUGUUUCUCAUUAACUUUAGUCCAAGGUUGAUGCUUUCAGUUAUGAAGAUUUCCUUAAGCUAGCAAUGCUCUAUGAGCAAGUUUUUUGUGCUGAAGACUCCAAAAGCAUAUUCCAUGUAAAAAAUCAAAAUCCUUGCAUGUGACAUUAUACAUCAGAAACUGUGUGACAUGAUAACAACAUUAGUUCCUAUUCUAACCCUUGCCUGGUUGUAAGCCUUCAUCAGCUGACUUGCUUAGGCAAAAAUGACAGAUUUCUUAUUGAAUGAUCUUAAACGGUUUGAGUACUUGAACAAUCUGAAUAGCUAUGUCUUUCAUCAUGUUCCUUUUGGUAGUAAUCUGUACUACCUUCCUUUGGUUUAUCUUAUUUUGCACUCAUAAUUGAGAUGUACUAAACAUUCUGUGAGGUAGUGUUCAUCACCUGACUUGGGCCAAAUCGACGAGCUCUCCUACUGGAAGACCGUAAUUUGUCUGAGUAUUCAAAAUUUGAAAAAGAUCUCAUUUCUAGUCAGUUGCAAUUUACACUACCUACCUUUAGAUUUUCCUGAGCGCAUCAUCUUUUAGUCCUAUGUAGUGGUCAGUGUUGCUACUAGAUUGUGACAUUUCAUUCUGAUUGUUUUCCCAUUAUUUUUAGUUUAUCUUGUUCAUUAUUGUUACAACUUAAUCAUCUUCAUUGCAUCCUGAUUUGGUAUAUUUACAGACUUCUUAGGCACAUUCUCCCAUGUGCCAUAGGACAUUGUACAUACUAAAAUUAGAUAGACUCUUUAUAGCACUAAACUCAAGUUAUACUCUUAAUAAAACUCAACUUAACUCUUAGAAUGAUUCUUGACUUUGUUGUUUACUAUCUUUUAAUGACUUGGAUUAUUAAACUACCACAUGGAGAUGCUUUGGACCCAAAACGCCCAAGUUUUGGAGCUGGACCAAUGAGUUUAAUCUUUGGCUUCCAAAGAGCGUACAUCUUUCUUAACCAAGAUGUGGCUACUGCAUCACUUCUCUCCUCCAUUGAACUCAACUUGUUCAAGUAUGGAGCUAGACCAAUUACAGAGUUAUCAGUUUCACUCUGUUUAAGAGAACAAGUGCAUGCUAUCUACUUGAGUUUUGCAGAUGGCUUAACUUUAGUAGGCAGGUGCUUAAACUUAUACUCCCAUAUAUCGAGGAAUUGUACUGUUACACCAUAAUAGGAUAGAUCACCAAAACGGAUAUGGCAGACUUUCAUGGGCACAAAUCACAUUUCAGUAUCAACCAAUCCCGCAAUAUGUCACCAAACAAUGUUCAUUGAAGAGAUUUGUAUUAUGUACCCAUCUCACGUUAUAUAGAUAUGGAUGUGGUGCAAAGUCAACCCACUCUAGGUGGCAUGUUGUUCCUUCAUGGACUUUGAUUGCACAGGAUGACAUAUGUGGGAUUUGUAGGAUGACAUUUGAAGGUUGGUUUACGCUCCCUGUGGAUGAUUCCCACUGAGAGACUCUAUGGGCGUGAAGCCUUUGUGUAAUCUUUUGUCAUUUAUGUUGGUUCAUAGGAUGAGUGGCCUUGAAACUUGGCUGUGAGAAGCGACUAUAUUUUGCCUUACCUGUAUGAUUUCUACAGGCCUUGUUACUCAUUCAUUUAACUAAUAGCUUCUUACAUUGCUCUUUUUGCCUUGUUGUCUGAUAUUUGUGGUCUACUAAAUCUUCUCCGUUUUGUUCAUUAUAGUGAAACCUACUGUUAAUCUGUCAUUAACUAUUAUUUAACUUGCAGUUUGGGGUGCAUGCAACCAUGCAUUUCAUCUUCAUUGCAUCCUGAAAUGGGUAAAUUCGCAGACUUCUCAAGCUCAUUGCCCCAUGUGCCGGAGAGAGUGGCAGUUCAAAGGAUGAGAGAAAAACUGGAAACUCUUUCAAGGAAUUCCUGCCCACCUCUCUCUUUCUUGGUGUGCACAAAUUGCCAAUGCAGACUUGCAAAUGUUGGGUUGUAUAUCAAACUGAGGGGACUUACAUUUUGUGAAAUGGUUAUGUAAGCUGAGGCAACUCCUCAAGGUUUCAGUUCUAAUCAUUCCAUCCGAGUCGUGUAGUAAACUGCUCUAUCAUCUAUGAAGUAUCUCUAACCUCUCAAUGGUACCGGCUCUGAAUCUACUUUAAAUAACUUCCUUUUAUCCAAUAUCAAGGACAGUUGGAACAAAGUGUCCCUUGAAAAUAAGCUUUCGUCUGACUUGCUAAAUGUAAGACAUACUCCGCUAUGAUAACAAUGUCACCAAGAGUGCAUACGAUUCCUUUGACGAAACACAUAGAUCUGUCAGAACAUCAAAGCACCGUGCUGCAAAAUUUGCCAAGGGUUUUCCAGAAACUUUGGAGCCAUCAAAUCCUAGAUUGUCUCAAGGGAUCUGUAGCCUUAGAGACAACCUAGGAUUUGAACUCUAAUUGACUCCAUACUUCAUCCCAGCCUGAGAAAUCGCUGAACUCGUUAUCACACAUUUCUUCCUUAGCCACAGAGAUCAAAAGACAUCACGCAACAGAAACAACAAGAGUGCCAGGAGGGGAUAGCAAUACUCAUGCUCGGGUUAAGGUUUUUUUUUUGAGUUCUAGGGUUUGCUCUGAACAAUAUCAUAUUAAGACUACAUAUUCGUGUUUAACACUACAUUAAUAAGUGAUAUUCCUCGAAUCAUAUUAAGAUAUAUGGAUGAACAUAUAGGUAGUGAAUAGGAUAUGGGCACAUAAAUAUAGCUCAAAUUUUAUUAUUAUUUUUUUUUUUGAUCAAAUGAAAAAUAUAGCUCAAAUUAAAUUUGUAACAUAGGACGCCCGGCAGAUUGAUGAUCAUAUAUGAAUUUAUUUCCCAGGUCCUUAAUUAUAUAUACUAGGAUUACUAGCUAAUAUUUGCUUCAUGACAAGACCCUUUGAGAAGCAUAAGUCGGAGAUGAACAAAGCCAGGGACCCAACAAUACUAAACCCUUCAAUUUAAUUAUCAUCCAACAGGAACAUCUGGUUUGGCGGUCUCGUACGUCUUCAGUAUACUUCUUAAUUAAUAAACAGUGUUCUAUACAUGCAGCUUCAAUAUAUUCGAUCUGCAAAUGAAAAAGGUAUUUAAGUUUGACCUAGCUGAUCGAUCACAAUUUAAUUAUUAGGCGGCUUACUAUUUAUUAGAGGUAGCUGUGUGCGAGAAGAUCCCAGAACACAUCAAUAAUAAAGAGAGAAGAAGAAAGCUUCACCUGCGCUGAUGGCACUGCUAUGAUCAUAUUUAUAAUGGCGGACCUUGUCCAUAUUAGACACUGGAAACCAAGACUAUGGCAGACUGGUAGAACCUUUCUUCUUAAUUUGACCUCAUCAAUAUUCUGUGUAUAAGAAAGGUUGUUAUGAAUUCCAGUGGAGCUAGCUAGCUAGGGUUUACUUACUCGUUCUCGAUGUUCAAGUUUUUGGAGUCAAAACGAUGAUGGAAGAAAAAGCCAACUUCGAUCAACUUGUCUUUGCCCCCACUCUCCAGGUACAUGAAAGCUACAGAGGGAGAAGUCCGGAGGACACCAGUAUCGCAAUUCUGCUAGGACCAUUAUUGUGUAUAGCGCUAAUGAUAUUCAGCAGCGAGAUAGCAAUAGCAUGGCCUACGAGCAAUAAUAAUGGACAUGGUUUUUCUGCCAGCAGCAUUUGCUCUCUGUGUGACUGGAUAUAUGGGGCAUCAUGAUAGGCACAACACCAAGUUUGUGAUUCAGGAUUCGUAUUAAUUUGCUUCUUAUUUACAGCUUGGUUUUGUGUUGUUACCAUGCACAGCUCUCCAUGGUGAGCUUGAAAUUGAACUUUAGCCGUGUAGUUUGCGGAUCAAAACUAAGAAGCUAGCUAGCUUGCGGAAGUGUAAUCCUGCGCUUGGAAAAUGAAAGCUUUGCUGAGAAGAAGAUACCUAAGUAACGUAUUUGAAAUCCUUCCAUGCGUUUGGAAAGUACUGUGUUCAAAACAAAGAAAAUAAGAAAGAAACAACGUAUCAAGCUAUAAUCACUAUGUACUAAUAAUAAUAGACACUACCAGAAGAAAGGCUUUAGCCGACGAAAAUAAAAAAACCAGGCCGACAAAUUUUUUUUUCGUCGGCUAAUUUAAAAUUUUCGUCGGCUAUGGUCAACUUUAGCCGACGAAAUUAAUAUUUCGACCGCUGAAUAAUUUUUUUCGUCGGCUAUNNNNNNNNNNNNNNNNNNNNNNNNNNNNNNNNNNNNNNNNNNNNNNNNNNNNNNNNNNNNNNNNNNNNNNNNNNNNNNNNNNNNNNNNNNNNNNNNNNNNNNNNNNNNNNNNNNNNNNNNNNNNNNNNNNNNNNNNNNNNNNNNNNNNNNNNNNNNNNNNNNNNNNNNNNNNNNNNNNNNNNNNNNNNNNNNNNNNNNNNNNNNNNNNNNNNNNNNNNNNNNNNNNNNNNNNNNNNNNNNNNNNNNNNNNNNNNNNNNNNNNNNNNNNNNNNNNNNNNNNNNNNNNNNNNNNNNNNNNNNNNNNNNNNNNNNNNNNNNNNNNNNNNNNNNNNNNNNNNNNNNNNNNNNNNNNNNNNNNNNNNNNNNNNNNNNNNNNNNNNNNNNNNNNNNNNNNNNNNNNNNNNNNNNNNNNNNNNNNNNNNNNNNNNNNNNNNNNNNNNNNNNNNNNNNNNNNNNNNNNNNNNNNNNNNNNNNNNNNNNNNNNNNNNNNNNNNNNNNNNNNNNNNNNNNNNNNNNNNNNNNNNNNNNNNNNNNNNNNNNNNNNNNNNNNNNNNNNNNNNNNNNNNNNNNNNNNNNNNNNNNNNNNNNNNNNNNNNNNNNNNNNNNNNNNNNNNNNNNNNNNNNNNNNNNNNNNNNNNNNNNNNNNNNNNNNNNNNNNNNNNNNNNNNNNNNNNNNNNNNNNNNNNNNNNNNNNNNNNNNNNNNNNNNNNNNNNNNNNNNNNNNNNNNNNNNNNNNNNNNNNNNNNNNNNNNNNNNNNNNNNNNNNNNNNNNNNNNNNNNNNNNNNNNNNNNNNNNNNNNNNNNNNNNNNNNNNNNNNNNNNNNNNNNNNNNNNNNNNNNNNNNNNNNNNNNNNNNNNNNNNNNNNNNNNNNNNNNNNNNNNNNNNNNNNNNNNNNNNNNNNNNNNNNNNNNNNNNNNNNNNNNNNNNNNNNNNNNNNNNNNNNNNNNNNNNNNNNNNNNNNNNNNNNNNNNNNNNNNNNNNNNNNNNNNNNNNNNNNNNNNNNNNNNNNNNNNNNNNNNNNNNNNNNNNNNNNNNNNNNNNNNNNNNNNNNNNNNNNNNNNNNNNNNNNNNNNNNNNNNNNNNNNNNNNNNNNNNNNNNNNNNNNNNNNNNNNNNNNNNNNNNNNNNNNNNNNNNNNNNNNNNNNNNNNNNNNNNNNNNNNNNNNNNNNNNNNNNNNNNNNNNNNNNNNNNNNNNNNNNNNNNNNNNNNNNNNNNNNNNNNNNNNNNNNNNNNNNNNNNNNNNNNNNNNNNNNNNNNNNNNNNNNNNNNNNNNNNNNNNNNNNNNNNNNNNNNNNNNNNNNNNNNNNNNNNNNNNNNNNNNNNNNNNNNNNNNNNNNNNNNNNNNNNNNNNNNNNNNNNNNNNNNNNNNNNNNNNNNNNNNNNNNNNNNNNNNNNNNNNNNNNNNNNNNNNNNNNNNNNNNNNNNNNNNNNNNNNNNNNNNNNNNNNNNNNNNNNNNNNNNNNNNNNNNNNNNNNNNNNNNNNNNNNNNNNNNNNNNNNNNNNNNNNNNNNNNNNNNNNNNNNNNNNNNNNNNNNNNNNNNNNNNNNNNNNNNNNNNNNNNNNNNNNNNNNNNNNNNNNNNNNNNNNNNNNNNNGGGGAGGCCCUAUCAUCAGAAGGUAAAUGUCUCAAAAUUUUUAUUAUGGGCAGUUGCGUCUCAUCUACGUGAGAGUUUUUUGUGUGGAAGGUUUGACCAAACUACGUAAUAUAGAGGGAGAUAUGAGCGUUUUCGUGUGAUAAGUGACGAUGGAUUAUGGUUGACCGUUUCGAUCGAGCCCUUAACAUUGUCGGAUCCAGUUGAAUUUUUUACCAUAGACAUCUUUCGUCAUAAUGAUCAUAUCUGACGGUCGAAUUUUGGUUUGUGAAUUUUAGUCAUCGGAAUCACAACGUGUCUACUAAUGUUGUAUAACUUGUUUAGUAGGUUAUACAACUUUGUGAACCAACUCUACAUAGGAAGCAAAAUUAUCAAAAAUCUCGUGAAAUAAGAUGUGUUCAGAAUGGGGAAAUACGGCUAUGGUUCAAAAAUCACGUAAAUCGGGUAAAGUCUCGGUGCCGAUAGUAGCGGUCAACCCUAUUUACCGUUAUUAUUCCCUAUGGGGAGCCCUAUCGUCGGAAGGUAAAUGUCUCAAAAUUUUUAUAUAGGCGGUUGCGUCUCAUCUACGUGAGAUUUUUUCGUGUGGAAGGUUUGACCAAACUACGUAAUAUAGGGGAAGAUAUGAGCGUUUUCGUGAAUUUAUAGACUUUAGCCGACGAGAUAUUAAAAAAGUCGUCGGCUAAGGUAAAAAAAUUUCAAAAUUUUUUGGGUGGUAAACCAAAGUUGGAGGAAAAUUUUCAAAGGACUUUAGCCGACAAAAAUAUAUGAAAAGUCGUUGGCUAAAGUCGAAAAAUUUUCAAAAUUUUCAACCAAAUUUUUUUGGCGAUCAACCAAAAUUUUCAAAAGAGUUUAGCCGACGAAAAUAAAGAAUUUCGUCGGCUAAAGUUCUUUAUAUAGGCGAAGAUGGAUGGUAAGAAGUCUAUUAUCUGCCAGAUUUUCUUCUCGGCCUAGCUCCGCCGUUAAGCCACCGGAGACCGCCACAGUUGUCCCAAAAGCUUCGCCGUCGUCUCUACUUCAUUGUUGGAUAGGUGGUGCAUCGAGUGGCGCCGCCGUGAGGGAUAAAUCGAGCUCUAAAACUCCGCCAGUUCGGAUUCGGUGUCGAUCGAAUUUCUCCUUCCUUAGGUCACCAUUUGGUGAGUUCUAUAUAUGGAUAAGUUGAGUUUGAUUAGUACUACAUUCCCCUAGAAUUUGGUAGCUCGAUUCGGUGUGUGUGAAGAGAAUCGAAGAUUUGAAGUUUUUAGGGUUUAAAAUUGGGGAUUUUUAUAUUUUGAGUUGAUUGACCUGUUUAGGCUUAGAAUUGAGCUUCGACUUCUUCUAGAAAGUUGUUCGAAAUGUUGAGAGGAAGAUUCUGUCAAAUUUUGGUUGUGAUUGGAGGUGGCCGAAAGUUUCUGCAGUUUUUUUUUCAAAACCCAGCAACUUUAGCCGACGAUAUUUAAAUACUAUAUUCGUCGGCUAUAGUAUUUUNNNNNNNNNNNNNNNNNNNNNNNNNNNNNNNNNNNNNNNNNNNNNNNNNNNNNNNNNNNNNNNNNNNNNNNNNNNNNNNNNNNNNNNNNNNNNNNNNNNNNNNNNNNNNNNNNNNNNNNNNNNNNNNNNNNNNNNNNNNNNNNNNNNNNNNNNNNNNNNNNNNNNNNNNNNNNNNNNNNAAUAUCUUAAUUGUUUCGUCGGUUAAAGUCUGGGAAAAAACCGACGACAUGUUUUUCGUCGGCUAACUGUGGGACUAUAGCCGACGAAAAAAAAAUUUCGUCAGCUAAAGUUAUCGCCGACGACCUUUUCCCGACGAAAUCUUAGCCGACGAUGGCUGGUCGGCUAAGAUCUUAGCCGACGAAUUAAGUUAACAGGCCGACGAAAUUUUUUCGUCGACUAAAGUGCUUUGUCCUAGGUAGUGAGAUCAACUUAUAUUUAUGCAAUGGAAUGUCUUUUUGCUUGGGAUUCAUGCGCAGAUUUUCUUUUUUGUCUUCAGAUUAUUGCGGGGAUUGGAAUUCGUUGUUAACCUGGGGAAAAUAGAUAAUCAAAAUUCUAUAUGUUGGUUACCAAGGCAGCACGAGAAUAAUAAAUUAAUUGGUUUGAUGAUGUGGCUAGAUGAUACAUGAAUAUUAUUAUGGAUUAGAGAAGACCAUCUAAGACCCACAACGAAUUGAUCGCAAGAUAUGCUACUAAAGAGGACGAUUAAAAGAAGUUCAGAUUUGGCAAAGGUGUAUAUAAUUGCAUUGUACAUAUGCAGAUAAGGACUGUGGUGUAAAUGACACCACGUACGGUUUUGUACUGGUAGUUGGUAAUUUGGUAUAAUUGCAUCAACCAUUUAAAUCCAUGGCAAGCAGCCAAGGCAGAUGCAUUUGAUUCCCUUGGUAAUUUCCAAAUUUACGUCCACGAUACUUAGUUUCAUACUGUCACUAGAGGGUAACGAUCAUUUCCGUUCAUACUCAUCAAGGUAAGGUGUUGUCGGCGCCCUUGGCUUCCAGUGACUCCCCUCAAUGCGUUGAAGAGUACAUCUUCGUCUCGCACCUUAAACUGAACUAGUCAUCACCGGACGUCCGGACACAAGGUCAUUUAUAGCUCAUCCAACGACGACACAGUGAGGGUGUGCAGUCGAACCUAUCAGCCUCUUCUGCUUGACGACCAUAUGCGCCACUUAGGGUUUUAAGGAAAAAAUUACUCCUUCAAAGUCUAAAGUUAGUAGCAAGAAGAAUUCAAAAUUAGACUUAAAAAUUGUUUCUAAGAAAAAUAGGUUAAUAGAUUCAGCAUAAUUGUACGUACGAGUCGUUAUGGAGACUGAUCUAGUAAAGUUUAUUGUAGCCAUAAAAUAAUUGUGAUUUGGCCGGCUACAUCCUCAUUAAAUUAUAAAAGUGACAUUUUUGAUGAUAAAUGUAUAUAUACGUGAAAUGGAAUGAUGGAUAUAUUUUGGCCCUUUAUAUUCUCAAUCAGAUCAACAUUGCUCACUUGUUUGAAAUUCAUGACGAAGACAUGAUCAAUAAUUGAAUUAAAGACAUGUGGAUAUUAUUGUUUAUGAAUGACAUCAACUUUAUUCAUUCAAUUUUUUGCAUUUUUCUUUCAUUUUACCUACACAAUCAAUCUAUCUAUAGCCGCCUCCUCUCUAACCCUAGUGAGAGAGAGCACCAACAAAGAGAUCUUCUCCCUGUCCGGCGGCUUGCUUCUACACCAUCAUUGGACGGGGUCUCGCCAUCCCUUGUGGGUUAGGCAUGCGACCGAUGUUUUAGUUUUCUCUUCGGCUUGCAUGUGCGAUGGUGAUUGAGGUCGGACAUGUCAGGAUUGGAGAGAAGAAGAAGAAGAAGAGGAAGUCGAUCGGCGGCAGUAGUCUGGGAGCACUGGAUUCGUUCCAUUUGAUGGCGGAAGGGUUCCUCCCUUCUUUCUUUCCUCUGGUGCAGGGCAGUGAUGUCGGUGGCGGCGAGGUUGACCCGGCAUGGUGGUUGUCGAUGGUGAUGUUGGUUCUCUUUUACUUCCAUAUAUGGUGUUGGCUAUGGGAUUGUGCCUAACUUAAGUUGGGUCUAGUCUAUUUAGGGUUUUUAAUCUAGUUUUUUUAGGUUCUUAAUUUGUCAUUGUGGAUGAAAGCCAAUAAGUUAGUUUGCUAGCAAGUUUUGGAUUCAUGUUGUUCUUUGUACGUUGUAGUGUGCUAGCUUCAUCAAUUGGUGAUUGCAUUAUAUUACUUUAGGGUAGUCGACAUGGCUUGAUUCUUGCGUGGCCCAUCCGGGAUAAAUCGUGUAUGUGUAAUCUUCUUCUUUACUAAAUACAAGGUCAUACGUCCUUCCUCUAAAAAAUAAAAAAAAAUUUAAUUCAUUCAAUAUUAAUAUUCUCGAGUUACUUCCGGAAAUUAAAGAUAACUAAUACUACUACUUGAAAAUCUUAUAUAUAUAUAUAUUCACAAAUACGGGGAAUUCGAUCUAUGGAUUCAAAAGUUUUCUUCGAGGCUGAGAUAUGCAAUUCAUAGUUGACCUUUACUGCUUUCUUAAUUACUUUUACAAUGACCUCUUUCACUCUUUGGAGCAUUUGACAAAGCCUAGGCACCUAUUUUAGAUCUAGCAAUACGUGAAUAUAUAGUUUCGAUGGUUAUGGACACAAACAAAGUUCGGAUAUAACUAGCGGUUUAAAGAGUUCACUACCACAAUAUGAAGCAAAGGCCACAUAUUUUGUGUGGGCAAUAGAGGUGUUGCAAUUUCUUGUAAGUGUGGUAAAUAAGGGUAUUAGUAAAGAAUGAGUGAAAAUUGCCACAUAUAUGAGAUUUUAUGGGAUUGCAACACCUCUAUUGCCCACAUAAGAUGUGUGGCCUUUACUCCAUAUUAUGGUAGUGGUUGUAUUCGACAGUUUUAUUAAUGAAAGAUUAAGGACAACCGCAUCAGUCUUUUAUUAAAAAAAAAAAAAGGAAGUUGUUUUAGCAAUAAAACAAGAUUAACCUUCGUUAUCAUGCAUGCCACAUUCCCUUUAUCUAUAUCAAUUAAUUACAUACCUCGAGUUUAUGUUGUUUAAUUAAUCCCUAAAAAGUGAAAAUGGAAUAUUGAAAGAGAUGUUUGAGCUAUUAUGGCUACGUUUCCACUAACCCACCACAUAUGCACCUCAAAAUUUUAGAAUGGGACAGAUAGGAAUAAUAACUAAUUAUGAAAAAGAAAAGAAAAAAGGCUAACGAAAAAAUUGAUUAAUCUGAAGGGGACAGAUUCAAUAGCAGACCUUAUAAUCAAAUUCCUAAUUCGACAAUGGAAUGAAACAACAAUAUUAACGGGAACCAUAAGAUUAGAACUUUAGGAGUACUGAGUUAAAAGAUGUCACUGUCCCAUGAUAAGAUGCGAUGGAAACAUGACGUUGACUGGCUCAACUGGUCAACAACCCUAAAUCGACUUCGCCCUCAACCUGUGUUUAAUAUUACAGCUAGUGCCGGAUAUAACGAGUCAUAGAAGAAACAGCUAGCAAGCAAUGGGAUAUGUUCAGGAUGGAACUCAUUGAAGCUUGCAUUUUGUUUUGUCCACAUAUUUUCGGGUUGUUGCAAUGUAUGUCGUUGAUAUUGUAGAGGUCAAUCAUGUCAUCACUUCAAAUCUCGACGUAUAUAAAAAUGUGGUCGAUAAAGAGAAUUUAUUUUUAAAAAUAAAGAGAAUUUAUUUUUAAAAAGAGGUUAUCACAAUGCUCAUUAAUUAAUUACUUAUGAUUUUGUAAUCAGUUGUACUCGUAUUAGACUCUUUUGAGAUAAAUUAUCAAAUUACGAUCUUUCGAGAUAACUAACCAAAGUACAAAAUUAUCACUUCAAAGUAAUUAAAUUAUAUAUUUUGCUACAUAAAGUUAAUUUGUCACAAAAGUGUGUAUAUAUAUCAAGUAAAACAGUUGAGUGUUACAAUUCAAAAGCUUUUCUUAUUCGAACCUAAAACCAUUCAUAUAUAUCAUCAUAUGGCUUAUAACAAAUAUUUCUCGUACGAAAAUACUUAAUUAUUUGAUAUGAAAAAAACCUAAUUCGUCGUACAGCUUAAUUUACCAAAAAGAAAAACAAGUGUAUAUGCAAAUAUACCAAUGGUUCUGUAAAUGUGAGAGAGGGGUCGGUGUUCUUCAAAUUCCAAUGGUUAAUUUCCUCUGUACAAAUUAAGGGUUUUGACUUGCAAUUGUGUCAAGUAUGAAGUAGGAACACUCAUCGACAUCGGGGCCCGCCUAACCUUCCCCCAGUCCCCGGUGCGACUGGCUUCUACGCAAGCAGAGGGUUUCUAAUUUUGUUUCGAAUGGAACGCAGCGAUUGACUUUGCUGGGUGCAAACUUCAAAGCCCUUGCUUAUACCAGGUAAGAAAACAAAGAAGAAAUUACCAGGACUGGACAAUAUUGAAGCAGGAUCGAGCUAUAUAGAUGGCUAGAACAGACAGAUCAUAUAUGUAUGGUCGAUCAUGAUGGAUAUGUAUGGGAGAUCGAUGCAUGCUUGGUAUAUAAUGUGAGAUUCAUGGGGGUAUGCGAGGUAGGCAUGAAUGCAGUAAAUGGUUCUUGCCCUUGCAGCGCCUGCCUGCGUGUGGCUCAGUUUCAUUUAUUUCAGACGGAGAAGAUAUAUUGCAGCAGAGAGAGAGAGAGAGAGAGAGAGAGAGAGAGAGAGAGAGAGAGAGAGAGAGAGAGAGAGAGUAGUACGUACGUACGUACCGUACNNNNNNNNNNNNNNNNNNNNAUAAGAACUUGAAGCAGUGGAAGAUAUUUCAAAAAAAUAAAAAAAAAAACGAAUUGCUCUUCUAGAAGUCUAUCUGUUGUGUGACAAACAUUAUAAUCUACUUGUGUAAAUUGUAUUAGUAUCAUGAGUUCAAAUUUCAUUAGUAUUGGGGAUGCAUGUGAUCAUAAUAAAAAUUCUUUUUAACCAAAUUGAGUGUGUUCCAGUGCUCGAUAUGGUAUUAUGUAUAUGUUUUCAUUUUCUUACACGAGAUGAAUGAGUAUAGGUCUAAAUAUUUGAAUUUUUGUACCCAAUAACAAAAAGAAUCUCACUUGGUUAAUUAAAAAUCUAUCGAUCUCUACUGUUUUAGAAAAAAACUAUGAGAAAAUAUUUGACUAUAGAAGAAAAUGGCUCAAUUUCUUCAGACUAAAAGACAUUUCAUUCAAAUGUUUGAUAUAUUAAUGUUGUUUCAAUACAACCCUGCUUGUUUCAAUAUGUUCAAUAUAUCAUUCAAGACAUCAUAGGCCUCGUCUCUUCUUUCACUUCAGUUACUUUAAAGUUUUAACCACACUUCAAGAGAAGCAAACUUUGUGUCAAACGCUUUGGCUUCCUUAGGCCACAUGUAUACGAGUUUUCAACCUUUAAUUUUGAUCUAUUUGGUGCAAAUUGCUCAAACAAAUUCUUGUAUAAAGAGUAAAUAUAAAGAAAUAACAUUUAGACAUACUUCUGAAAGACUUGCUCACUUAAGGGACAGUUUUUAAGGAACUGUGAGGGACAAGUGAAUAUGACGACUGAGAUUAAAUGCAUAGUUUAAAGUUGUUAUUAAUUCUGCUUUUUAAUUGAACACAUGUAGUUGAGAUACAAUUGUCCCUCACAGUCCCUUAAAACUGUCCCUUAGAUGAGCAAACCUAAUAUAUACUUCCGAACCUUUAAAUUUUCAAUACUAUAUAUCGUUAUUAAUUGUAUACAAAUUUUAUAUUUCAUUUCCAAAAUCUGAAACCGGGGUUGAUGUUAGAUCUCUCUAGAUACAGCAUCAUGUACGAAUUAAGUUUUUGAUUUGGUGCUAAGGACACUAUUCUUUUGCAAUACAUCAUCCUCUUUGUGACCAAGAGAAACAUAGGGAGUUUUAUAUCAAUAGCAUGAUUACAUAGUAAAUGCUAACGAUAACAAUUUCCUGAGGUUAAUCACGUUUACAUUCACCUCAUCAACCUAAUCUAAGUAUAUUAACUCGGCGAAUUCAUAAUACAUAUGUGUCCAUGAUUAUACGAUGAUUGUUCUUGAACUGUAGUAGAUUUUACAUUUAUCUACGGUUGACAAUUAUCUAGUAUCCACUCAUACAUGUAUUUGAUAACGAAUAUCAAUAAUAAUAAUUUGUAUGUCAAUAAUCAAUAUAUUGGCUCCUUAUAAAAGAGCGAUCAUAUCACAUACGUUACGAUAUGAACGUGCAUGAACCUCAUAAUAUCAAAUUAAUGCGGUUGAUCUUUAUUUUGAUUUCGCUACUUCAUUUUUAUCCGGAAUCCAUUUUUACUAAUAGAAAGUUAAAUUGAAAUGUGAAUAUAUAGGAUCACUUUGGUGGUAAAAGAUUCAUAAACUAGAGCAAAUUAUAGAUUGGAGAAGAAGAAAACGUAGAGGUUUGGUAGCCGUCAUCCAUUGCACCACACACUUCUCCUAGGGGAAGAAUUAAACCUCCAUAAAAAUGCUCUCUCUCUCUCUCUUUCUCACUCCCUACCUCUCUCUCCUUGCAAUUACACCUCUCAAUCUCUCUCUCCCACCAUUAAAUGCCUUUGCACCCUCUCAAUACGCUCUGCAAUUACUCCCCGCUGCCAUACUUUUCUCCCUCUGCCUCCUCUUUCUCCUUCCUUUGAAUCCGAUCACUGCACUUUUGCCUUUUCUUCUUCUUCUUCUUCUUCUUCAUCCGUUUCUCUUAUUUUUCAACUUCAACUUCAAACCUAUAUAUUAAUCCUUACCAUAAAACAUUAACACACCAAAGCCGUACGCCGGAAAACCACUUCUGUGGCACCCAACAGUGGUUUCCCGGCUGCAAGUCAGAUCUGAACUACGUUCCCUGCCCAGAGCUUUGCAGGAAAGUACUCCAAAGAAGAAGAUCAUAUAACAGAUAGAGGUAUAUAUAUAUUUCAAAGUUUAUAUCAUUUCUUCAAUUUUAUUUUUACUGGUACCUUCAUGGCUGAUGGGGCUAAUUCAAGAAUAAGUUUCCAUUUUCAUACCUGCUGUAUUUUUGAUUUAUUUGUAAUAUAUUUUUCUAACAGAUUAUUUUGUUCAUUUUAGGUUACUGCAGCUUAUAAGGAUAUACUUGGGUGUGAAAAACAACGAGAUAUUCGUUGGCGUUUUGCAUCUCUAUCCAUUCGGUUCUGAUUGAAUUCUGGUCUGGCAAGAAAACCGUGUCCUAAAUUGUCAUCGACUCAACCCUAUAUAUUUGCUCUCCUCGGACACUCUCUCUACCUCACUGAGUACUAAACCAGAUAGGUUUUUGAGUGAGAGAUACUCUGGCCUUUGCAAAGACAAAACUAUUUUGUCAGCUCUCUGUCUCUUCUUGUUAACCUGUGAAAUUUCACAUUUUUCUCAAAACCACUGUCAGAGAAUCAACUCUAGCUCAAAGCUUUAAACGACCCUUCAUAUCAAUCUAGCUAGCCCUACACAAAAGAACCCCCCAGAAAUGCACUGUGUUUUAAGGUACUAGUCUAGGGUUUCUGGGUGUUGAAAUAUGCCCGCCGGUAUUAUGAUUCCAGCGAGAAAUAUGCCUUCGAUGAUGGGAAGCAAUGGAAAUCUUGGUGGGUAUGGAUCAUCUUCAGGACUUACUCUUGGUCAGGUCAGUGCUGUGCUUUUAGAUCUAAUUGUUUUAUCUAGAAAAAAAAAAAAAAAAAUCCGGGUACGUCUGAUCCAUUAUUUUCUCUUCUCCUUUUGGAUUUAAUUUUUCACUUUCAUCUUGAAACUUUGUUUUUUGACCACAGUACUUGAAACGAAUAACGUUGAUGGGUUUGACCUUUGGUAGACCAUAAUUUCCUUUUGAAGCAAAUCCGUCUCGAUAUAAGAAAAAAGUUGUAUAGAUGUUUUCCACACAACACAGAGAGCCACAGUGAGGGCACAAAGACAGAGAUCUUAGUAAAUUCAACGCGUCUUUUGUUUAUAUUUUAAAUAGCAUUUUAAUAUAAUGGAAAAAUAGUACUGUUUUUCCAGAACCAUUUUUUUGAGUGCCCAUUUUUCUGUUUUUUUUUAGAUUUCAAAACAAUAAAAAGACUUGCUUGAAGAAAAUCUUUAAGAGCUAGCUAUGGAUUUGUUCCAGCCAGCAAACAUGAUGGAAGCUGGAGGUCAUUUCGGAAACCCACUGGAGAUGAUAGCUACUCAGAACACAUCAGAAAGCGAGCUGAAUGCACGUUUAGGUGAUGAUUUCGACAGUGCUACAAAAUCUGGCAGCGAGAACCUGGAAGGAGGUGGCUCCGGCGACGAUGGACAAGACCCUCGCCCUAACAAGAAGAAGCGGUAUCACCGUCACACCCAGCAUCAGAUCCAAGAAAUGGAAGCGUAAUAAUUUUAACUCUGCGUUUUGUUAAUAAUUGAUUAAGCAGUUCAUUAUCAUUGUCUAAGAAUAUUAAUGACCUCUGAAUAUUUGCUUGGUUUUUUCUUUUGGAUUUUUAGUUUCUUCAAGGAGUGUCCACACCCUGAUGACAAGCAAAGGAAGGAACUGAGUCGAGAGUUAGGUUUGGAACCUUUACAGGUUAAAUUUUGGUUCCAAAACAAGCGCACCCAAAUGAAGGUAGAUAACUUUUGUCCUUUACCAUAAACAUAAAAUUAUUUCAUUUCCUUGCACAAUUUAAUUUCUGGUGUGAAAUUUAUCUUUUCUUUUUCAUUAUUCUUCCAAUUUAUAUUAUUGAUUUACUGUUGUUUGUUCUUGUCUUGCAGACGCAGCACGAGAGGCAUGAGAACACAAACCUUCGUAAUGAAAAUGAAAAGCUAAGAGCUGAUAACAUGAGAUAUCGAGAGGCACUGAGCAAUGCAUCAUGUCCUAAUUGCGGAGGCCCAACGGCUAUUGGAGAGAUGUCAUUCGAUGAACAUCAUUUGAGACUUGAAAAUGCCCGAUUAAGAGAAGAGGUACGUACGUUUAGAAUAUAAACCAGCUCACAAAGACAACCGUGCCAAUAUGCCAUGAACAAAAUUUUCACUGCAUCACACCGGUUCUUUGGUCUAACACCUCAAUAAGGAAAGAGGUUGUCCAGUAACAAAGUUGAAAAUUAGAGAAUUUGGAAUUUGAAUUUGAACCACAUUCUUUUUGAUUAGGGAUUAUUUUACCUAUUCUGUAUUUACAGAAUCAUAUUAUGCAUGCGUAUUGAUUUAAUGAUAAACUUAUAUAUCUCCUUUUCCUAAUCAAUUAACUACUUCUCUAUUCUUCCAGAUUGAUAGAAUAUCAGCAAUUGCUGCUAAAUACGUUGGCAAGCCAGUGGGGAACUAUCCUCAUAUGUCUUCACCAGUUCCACCUCACCGCAGUCCACUUGAUCUUGGAGUGGGAAACAUGGGAACCAGUCCUCACGGCUUCUUAUUAAACUCAGACAUGUAUACCUCUGGAGACAUUAUGCGGUCAAUCGGUGCACCAAGUGAGGCAGAUAAGCCCAUGAUUAUUGAGCUUGCAGUUCAAGCGAUGGAGGAGCUAAUUCGAAUGGCUCAAAUUGGCGAACCUUUGUGGAUGAAUAGCAUUGAUGGAUCAACCACUGUGCUCAAUGAGGAUGAGUAUAUUCGAACAUUUCCUCGAGGAAUUGUACCAAAGCAAUCUGGAUUCAAAUGUGAAGCUUCGCGGGAGAGUGCUGUUGUCAUUAUGAACCAUAAUAACCUUGUUGAAAUUCUCAUGGAUGUGGUAAGUUUGUUAAUUCAAUUAAACUACCUAUAUGUUUGGAUUAUGUUCUUAUCGUUGCAAGUGUUAUAUGUUGUAAAAUUUUGAUUUAUUCAUAUUCAUGUGUUGAAACAAUAUUCUAGAUGCAGGCUUAGGGUUUAGGAGCACGAUUGAUGUUCUUAGAUCGAUGCAUUGUUUGAACACGUAUUAUAUUUAUUAUUUGAUAAGAUCACUCCACGUGGCUUAACAAUAUUAGAAUUUAUUGUCGUAUCAAUUGUAAAAUUCUUGGAUCGAUAUAUAUUUGAAAAUCAAAUGAUGAAACACUUGUUCUUCUAUUUAGCAAAUAAUCAUAUGAUGAAAUACUUGUUCUUCUAUUUAGCAAUAUUCUAUAGUCAUAUUUAGAUUGAUCCAAAUCUAAAUAAUGAAAAUCUAGUGUUCAAACAAAGUUAAGAUACAAUCUUUUGAACAUACGAUGCUAGCAUGUUUUUCAUCAAGAACUCUCAGUAAUGAUGUUGACAGUAUGAUAGUUGAUAGCUUAGGGUAGGGGACGUAUCUGAGUACAUAGAAAACCUUAUAUAACUUGUGUUUUUUUUUUGUGUGUGUGUGUGUGUGUGUUUACUAUAUUUAGAAUCAAUGGUCAACUGUGUUUUCGGGGAUUGUAUCAAGAGCUAUGACACUGGAUGUGCUAUCAACUGGAGUAGCAGGAAAUUACAAUGGAGCAUUGCAAGUGGUAUGCAUAAUGCUGAAAUAGUUUUAUACAUUAUAUGAUUCAAACAGUUCUCGUUAAUGUAUGUGUACUGUAAUUUGGCAGAUGACAGCAGAAUUCCAAGUACCUUCUCCAUUGGUUCCAACUCGAGAGAGUUAUUUUGUGAGGUACUGUAAGCAGCAUGUCGAUGGCACUUGGGCAGUAGUUGAUGUCUCCUUGGACAACCAACGCGGCUAUACAUCUACUCUGAAAUCCUGUCAAAGAAGACCUUCUGGUUGUCUCAUCCAAGAAAUGCCAAAUGGAUACUCAAAGGUAGUUCCAUUAAGAUUAAACACUGAUCUGUACAUCAGUAUUUUUGUAUGAUAAUUCGCAUCAGAUUUCAUUACGUUUCAAACUCUGGUACCUGCAUUAGGUUACUUGGAUUGAGCAUGUUGAGGUGGAUGAAAGAGGUGUUCACAAUCUGUACAAGCAACUGGUUAACUCGGGGAAUGCAUUUGGUGCAAAACGAUGGGUGGCAACCUUGGAUCGCCAAUGUGAGCGUCUUGCCAGCGCCUUGGCGACAAACAUCCCUACUGGUGAUGUUGGUGGUAUGUAGUCCAUCACACUUAACUGAUAAGUGUAGUGAUAUGCCAUUGUUUAGAAGCUAGUUAUUUCGAACCCUGGUUUAAUUUAGAUUGAUGGUUUAUUUAAUCGACAUUAUUGUGUGGUUGAUUAGUGAUAACAACUCAAGAAGGGAGGAAGAGCAUGCUGAAGCUGGCCGAGAGAAUGGUUAUUAGUUUCUGUGCUGGAGUGAGUGCAUCUACCACUCAUACAUGGACCACAUUGUCUGGAACAGGGGCUGAUGAUGUUCGUGUGAUGACCCGAAAGAGUGUUGAUGAUCCAGGAAGGCCUCCGGGUAUUGUGCUUAGCGCUGCUACCUCAUUCUGGCUUCCUGUGCCUCCCAAAAAGGUGUUUGAGUUCCUUCGUGAUGAGAACUCCAGAAAUGAGGUACGUGAAUUACAGUUCAUUAAUGUUGGAGUUACCAAAUUUGUUUUCCGCCUUUUUACAAUAUGAAAUUCAUACAUUUUAGAAGCUUAGCAAUUGUUAUGUGGAUUUUGUGCAUCUGAUAUGUAUCAAAAACCAAAACUAAUUCAUGAAUAUUUUGAAUAACCUUCUUUAAUUGGAAGAAAUUUCAAAUUGGCCAGAAAAGAGAAGAUUAUUUUCCAUUCUAGAAAAAUAUUAUGGCUAUGUAUAUGAUUAAACAACUAAAUCUGGGAAAUGUUAUUUUGGAUAUGUUUGGCAAUUGCUAGGCAGAUUCAUGUAUCACUGACCAAAUGUAAGACAUGAGCCUUUUCAAUAACCUUCUUUACUUGGAAGAUUACAUUCCAACCUGACCAGAAGAUUAGAUUAUUUUACUUUCUAGAAAAGAUUACGGUCAUGUAUCUGAUAUAGACAACUAAAUCUGGGAAAUGUUAUUAGUAGUUCAUAUUGGCCUCAUAGCCUCAUAUGGUUAGUAUUCUGGUAUGUCAAGAAAGUUUUAACAUUGGAAAACAAGCAUUAGGAACCAUGCACAUUUUAAGUAACUGCGAGAAAGGAAGAAAAUCAUUUUCAUAUCCCACCUAACAUAGGAAUUUUCUGGGUGAAAAUUCAAUAUCCAAGAUAUAGAAACCCAUAUGCAUAUGCUGAAAUAUGACUAUAAAAGCGUAGUAGUCUACGAAUAAGUUCAAUUAACCAAUUAUGUUUCAUUAUCGUGUUUGAUGCAGUGGGAUAUCCUCUCCAACGGUGGCGUUGUGCAAGAAAUGGCGCACAUAGCCAACGGGCGUGACACCGGGAACUGCGUGUCACUUCUUCGUGUAAAUGUACCUUCAUAUCUUCCUUCUUAUUGUUGAUGUUAUUCAGUACAUUACUCUUAACUUCAUUGACCCUGAUGAAAUCAAAUUUUAUUUUGCAGAGUGCCAAUUCUAGUCAGAGCAACAUGCUCAUUCUGCAGGAAAGCUGCACUGACUCAACGGCAUCAUAUGUCAUCUAUGCCCCUGUGGACAUAGUUGCCAUGAAUGUCGUUCUGAAUGGCAGUGACCCGGACUAUGUUGCCCUGCUACCAUCUGGGUUCGCCAUACUCCCAGAUGGAACUAGCGGGAGCAACAGCGGGGAAGCUGAAUCUGGAGGGUCCUUGUUGACUGUUGCCUUCCAGAUCCUGGUGGAUUCAGUUCCCACCGCAAAGCUGUCCCUGGGGUCUGUGGCAACAGUCAACAACCUCAUAGCGUGCACAGUGGAGAGGAUCAAGGCCUCAUUGUCCUUGGACAACGAAGCCUGAUCAGCUCUUGCUGUUUUAACACAGUUUUUGUUUAUGUAGGUAAUAUAUCAUCUUACUUUUGCUAUCCUAUUAUUGUCUAUUUAAUGUGAAGCGACACUGAUCAUCGUUUGUAUUUUGCCGAAGUAUUUAGGGAGCUGAAGGGAAGGAAAGGAAAGAAGCAACGAUGGUGGUGAGGAAUUCAGCUUAAACCAGAAGAGGGGAGAAGUCAAGAGCGCACCCUACAUGAUCCUUUUCAAAUGAAGGGAUUAGAGUUAGAGGGGUUCGGGAAUUGACUUCCUCGAUGUCAAGGACAAAAAUUAAGCUACUAAACCUUAAUUAUUUCUGAGUUGUAAUUUUCUUUCUUUUCACCUUCGUUAACUUUGUACUCAGAAUUAUAGUCUUGGCUCAAUUAAGCGGGGUUUAAGCUCUUUUGAAAUUAAUAUUCCUUCCAUCAUGUUAUGUUUUUUUUCUUCAAAAGGAAAGGUAAUGAAAAUUUGGUUUUACCUGGGUUUCUUGUGGCUUUAUAUGUUAUCUACUUCUCUGUCUUGUUCCAAUGACAUAAGAUGAACAAUAAAUACCAGAGAUGCUUACACUUGAAUGAUGCUGGGUAGUUGAGCAGAUGAUGUCAGAGCAUGAUGUGAAUUCUGAGCAAUAUGGUUACAUUUAAUGUAUCAACUACAACCUGCCAUCAUAGUAAUGUCAUUUCUGUAUUCAAUUGCAAGCUUGCAAGUCAGAGGAAAAUAAUAAAAAUUCAUGUUCAAUUAAUUUACCCAAGGAAAAAUAAAGACAAAGUAAAAAGUUUUCACCAUGCUGAUGGCUGGUGUUUGUAAGCUAAUCCAUGACAUGGUUGAAGUACAAAUUCAAGGUACUAGGAGGGAUAUAAAUUCAAGGUACUUGUUACAAAGGAGGACAUGAAUACUUAUCACAAAGAGGGAAAAUGCAUGAAAGUGGUUGACAUUGAAAAUCUGUGAUAUAUCAUACUUCAAAGAAGCCCAGUACUUGCAGAUACAAAUAGGAAAUGAAUGAGAAUGAAAUUAAAAGGGAACAAUAAUGAGUAAAACUUACUAGGUAUAUGAACAUGUUAAUAGAAGCUGGCAUCAUAUGCAAGGAUCUAUCAGAUCUUAAUUUUAAAUUCCUUACAGAGAAACUGAUUACAAGAACAGCCUGGAAAAAAGUUUGCACUACUACAGCAUUAUCAGUGCUUCCCAUCCUGGUGUUAUUAUAUUCUCUCUUUUUUUUUUCCACCUUUUCUUUGGACUCGUCUCCUCAUUUGAUAGUAACAACUAACAAGAAUGUCAUAAGAAGUACCCUGGAAGAGCAUGGAUAUUUCAUCUCCCCAAAGCCGAUUCCAUGCCUCGUCUACAAGUAAUUUUGUAAAUUAUAAUUGCCAGCAAAGGUUACUGAUAAUUGCAGAUCUGAUGAGGAGCUCAAUAUGAGAUUCAUGUCAAUCAACAUAUUUAGAAAAGAGAUCUAAUUUUCUGUUUAUAAAUGCUACCUGUUCUAAAUUUCAAAUCUCAGAGGAAGAUAUGUGUAUCAGAGAAGGAUUUUUUAUGUUAAUAAGAAUGGAGAUGAAAGCAGUUACCCAGAGUAUUCAUAUACUGUACAAGUUCUUAAGAGUUGAGCAUUAAAGGAAGACAUGUAAAAUGGAAAGAAAUGAAACUGAUCAGAUAUUGGAUAUAUGGCACUACCAAUGAAUCCAUUUGUAAAAAUCUUCCAUUCAUUCAUAAGAAUAGUUUCAUUAAUAGAUUGAGGUCACAGAGCGAAUUGAUCAGAUUCUGGAUAGAUAGCACUACCAAUGAAUCGAAUUGUAAACAUAUUUCAUUCAUAAGAUCAGUUAAUCAAAAGAGUGAGGUCACCAACACAAUGCACAUUUCAAUCAGAAAAAUGACAAAUACGAAACUCUCAAAAUGACGAUAGAAUUACAAAGUCUGAGUUAGUGAGUUGUGUAUCUCAAGCCUUCUUUUUCCUGCCCAACAUAGGUCUCUUGCCGAUCAUUGAACUAGUCGUCCUGGAAGGUGUCACCAGCCCACGAAGUAUGGCCAAAACACCCAACCCCAGGAAAGGGAUGUACAUAAACAACAGCUUAUCAGAAGCCUUACCGGACUGCAUCAAUUCCGACAAUAUAGUCACCUGAAAUUUCACAAAAGCAAAGAAAUAUUAAACAAAAAGAAAGUUGCAGAGAUAGACAAUCCAAUAUGAAGCAGAACUUCAACAUUUCGGACUCCCAGAAAAUAGAAGAUCUCCACCCCUCAAAUCCCGAAUAUAAUAUCCUCAUCAUCAUAAGUAAUAUUAUGGAAAACUUGUCAAGUCUACAACUUCAACACAUUCCUUAACCGGCAGUAACAGUAUUGAUCUGUUUGUAAUCCAAUGCAUACUCAAAUGAUGAUUAAAACAUAAAUCUAACAUAUGCUGGAGUUCUAGCUAAUCUUGGCUAAAUGCACCAUCACAAUGAGCUGACAACUUUUACCCCAUUUUGUUGUUACAAUUGAACUGAUGCUAACAGCAAGUGAAACAAACAAUGUGUAAUUUCAGACCACAGUUUCUCACAUUUUAAAUAACAAGCGUCACCAAUGUGUAAUCUUUACAUCAUUUGCAUCAAUCCAAACAGCUCCAAAAUACCCAAACACUAAAAAAGAAAGUUUCCAACUUGCAAGAUCUAGAACAAAACUUAACUGGGUACAAGUAAAAAGUAAGAAAGAUGAAAACUUUACCAUGGAGGUGAAAACAGAGACGCCAUAGAUCAAGCAGGUGGUGUUAAACCAAGACUUGGAGGCCAAAAUUGCGUAGAGGUUGGCAAGAGCAAGAGGCCACUGAAACAGUAGCUCAAGCCAGACGAGUCCCACGAUGAAAUGAGGCUUCUCGGUAAAGAGAUAGUCGCCAUACUCACGCGCGUACCAGUUCUUGAGGUCAACCAAGACGCUUGGGAAGAGACUCUCAGACAGACACGUCUGCGCGUCGAUCAACGGCGCCGCCACCGCGAUUACGAUGAAGAAGGCGAAGAGUACGGCGUCCACGAGCUUUAACAGAGCACCCAUUUUUUAGGGUACGAAGGUAAUUGCUAUGGGCGUCUGUGUUUUCUCUUCUGGGGUUUCUGUGACACUGAGGAACUGAGGAAGGAAGAUGAUGCUAAAUAUUGGGUCUUUGGAAUUUCGACGACAAUCGUUUCGUUUGAUCUUUUUCAUAUAUAUAUAUAUAUACGCCUGGUUCGUUUUUUCUAUGUACAUACGGCCUUCUGUUUUCUUUUUUAUUUUUAUUUUUAUUUUUUCGUUUUUUUUAAUUUUGAGUUUGUAAACAAUGCACAAUUUCUAGCUGCGACUGUGAGUUCAUCAUCGGCGACAUGGCCAUUAUGAUGAAGUAGAGAAAGAGUAUGGCGUCUCUUGGCAUCAGAAAAGCACCCAUUUCUGACUUUGAAGAUAUAUAACAACUAUAAGUAGGCAAGACUGUGAUCGAUCGGAUCCUUGUUUAUUUUUAAGUCAGUCACAUAGAAAAAUUCUAUGACUAAAAAUUCAACCAACCAUCACCCCGAGAACUUCCUUUAAUCACAAGACAUGUUGUACCAUUCGGUACAACAGACAAACCCAGUCGCAUAAAGUUUGCGGAUCAAAUAAUUUUUAUUUGAUAACGUUGCAGGUUUUGCUUCAUAUAUCUCACCAAUUUCCUUUUAUAUUAUAUACAUGUUGAUCUUCUAGAUAAGUUGAUAUAUAAUAUUGCACAACAGUGGCAGACCGGCAGAAUUCCAGAAUCAUCAUACUUGUGUAGGUAAAAUGUAACUUCUUCCGGGUUAAUUGCCCCGAGAGUGGCUAGGUUUUGCAGCGAAAUUUACUUUUCUGCAAACAUGCUUCAGUUUCUUGACCUAAAAAAAACAUGCUUCAGUACGUGAAGUUUAAUUUAGAGAUUAGUUGGGUAUUCAGUAUACAGAAGCUAGCUAGGUUUUUAGUAACCAACAAAGAUACGUUUGGACCUCUAUUUUUUGCAACCUUUGCAGAUAAGUUACUGCUUAUAUAGGUGAACCCAUGACAGUUGAUGAAUAGUCUUCUUUCAGCUUUUCUUAACGACGCCAUAUAAGGAAAACAUCAUAGUGGAAUGGUUAGCUAGAAGUCUUUAAUUACUGAAUAUGCAUGGAUUAUAAAAAUCUCAAUAUAGUGCGUAACAAGUUUCAAAUCAAUGAGAAAUGACAGAAGUGUUCUCGAUCGCGAUCUGAUCUAAAUCCUUUUCUCUUUGUGACCUUUGCUUGAAGUAGUCGUUGUUGAUGGGCGGAGCAGCCCACGAAGCAUGGCCAAGAGACUGAACCCCAAAAAGGGGUAGUUCAAUAGCAACAACUUAUCCGAUGCCUUGCCAGAACCUAUGAGCUCUGUCAAUGCUGUGACCUGCAAUUUCCAUCAAGCAACAGAUGUAGGAACAAGCAAGUUAGACAUCAAACAGCAAUCGGUUUGUAACGAAGGAAAUACAUUAAAAAUAAUUUUACCAUGGUGGUGAACAUAGAGGCGCCAUAGGCCAAGUCCAAGCAAGUGGUGUUGUACCACGACUUUCCGGCCAGCAUUCCGUACAAGUUAGCAAGGGCAAGGGGCCAUUGGAAUACAAGCUCAACCAAAAUGAGACCAACAAAGAAAUGAGGCUUCUCCACAUAGCAAUAGUCGUUGAACCCGCCGACGUACCAAUUCUUGUACUCCACCAUCCACUCCGGAAAGAGGCUCAGAGGCAGAACUAACUGCGCGUCGACGAUCGGCGCCGUCGCCAUUAGGAGGAAGAAGAAAAGAAGUAUGGCGUCAAUUAGCAUCAGAAAAGCACCCAUUUCUUGCGCUCGUUCAGAAUCGGGUGCUUAAUUUGAUUGAGUUGAUUUGCUGUUUUUGUGCGGCACAAUGUGAUGGCAAACUGGGACUUGGAGAUGACAGCUUUAUGAAAGCUUAAGCAAAGAGAUAGAGAGAAUUCAGAGAAUCAAAGAAAAUAUCUUGCAUCUAUUAUCUUGUGUUUUUUGAGGAAGGGAAAGACUUCAGCUAUUAUACCUGUAGCUAUUAGAGAGAUACAGUACAGCUACUAAAAGGCUUCUAGAUAAACAGUAAAACUAGACUAAGUUUUACUGUUUUACGACAAUUACUCUUAACACCCUCUCUCAAGCUGAUGGGAGAGAAGCUACCAUCAGAUUGCAUUAACAAUGCAAAGAGCCAAAGACUUAAGCAAUACAGUGAUCAAAAAUAUUGGUUUCAACCCGGAUUAAUAAGCGGCAGUGACUGGCAUAGCUGCAUAGGAUAAGAGGCACGCCUACAAUUUAAUGUAGUUUGAUCCGAAGAAGUAGAUAAGAGUCGCCAAUUGCCUUGCACCGGUAAAGCUUCAAUUUCCUUAAACACUUCUUGCUGCCAUUUAGAGAGAACUGGAUUGGCAGUGCCAAUAUGCAAGGGAUGAGUUUGACUAACAUCAAGGAUAUAAGUUGGUUGCUAAGAAGAAUAUGUAUGCCUGUAUAAGCAUCCAGCUGCACUAUGACCUGACUUCAUGCAAAUUUGACACUGCAUAUAAGAUCCAGAGGGAACAACUUGUCGAGGAGCAGAUCUUUGAGAACAUACUUGAGCAAUAUGACACUUGCUAUUGCAUAUUUGACAGGCUUCGGGAAUGUUACUAAUUCCAUUUGAGAAAUUAUUGCCAUUGAGACUUCCAAACUUCUUAUUCCUCAACCCACUUGAAGUAUCGUAUAAGCUAGAAGUGCCAACAUGAGUGCUGUUGUGAAUUCUGUAGUUGUUCCACCCACUAUUCUGAUAACAAACUCUAGUUCUUCCUCUUGGGUCAAAACCCUUGCAAGCAUUAACAAUGGAGCUGAAAUACCCAGUUCACUGACCCACUUGAGUAGAAGGACGUGCACCAGAUUGUAAGAUAUUUCCAUUGUUAGUAGAGCUCAUUUUAUGUGAGGGGUCACAAGGUUGUUGUGGAGAAUCACUGCAAAGGCUCACCAUUUUGCAGAAUAUGACUAGUGUUUGGCUGAGGAAUUGUGCCAUUGCACAGAGCUUCACUUGUUGGAACAACACUUGAACCAAGAGGAUAAGCAAUAGAACCAACAUUCCCAACAAUCGAACCAGCAGAUAAAUUGGGAGUAGAUGUCACCAUAUGACCAUUAUUUGACAUAAGAGGUACCCCAAAGUUUCCAUUUUGCAUCAUGGCAUUAACAACAUCAGGACAUUGGCUCUCAAGAGAUAUACGCACGGGAGUAGAGUUGACAAAUUGAGUAACAAGUUUUGAAGAGCUGUUGGUAAGAGCAUUGCUGUUUGAAAUAACAGCAGCAUACUCCAUUUCGGAACUAUGUAAACAGGUACUAUUCAAAGAAUGAGACUGAACAUUACCUCUGGACGUAUCACUAAUUGCAGCCAUAGCAGUCUCCAAAGACAAUGAAAUAGACUUCAAAGUUUGUUCAAUCUCAUCUUCACCAAUCAACAAAAGAGACCUUGAAUCUUUCAUUGAAACAGAGGAGCUCAGUGCUUUGAUUCUUAUAACAGUUUUUAUGGUAGCAAACCUUGAAGGCAAACCAUUAAGAACUGAGACCACAAUAUCUUCAUCAUCCAUAUAAACUCCCAUUGUAGCAAGUUGAUCACAUAUUGACUUCACUCUAAAUAAGUACCUGUCAAUAGAGUCUGAGUCUUUUUUUAUUUUGUAUAAGGAGUUUUUGAGAUUCAUUAUGUUAUACCUUGAAUCAUCAACAUAUUUCUCUUUACGCCGACACCAAAUUUCUUUAGAAGACUUGCUUCCAAUAAUGAAGGAGAGAGCAUCAUUGGACAAAGUAGCAGCAAGUAUAGACAAAAUGGUAGAGUCAUUUUGCACCCAAUUCAUGUACUUCUUUGUCAUAUCAGUGGCAACCUCAUUUUCUUCCAUAUUUAUGUACUCUAGAGAACAAAGGAAUGAUCCGUCGAUAUAUCUCAUCAAGCCACAACCCUUUAACAAUAUUUCUACUAAAAACUUCCAUGUGACAUAGUUAGAUUUGUCUAAGCGGAUACGAAUGAGAUUGCAGAAAUUGGAAAGCAGACACUUGCUUAACUCAACACUGUUAUCCAUGAUGACAGGCAACACAGUAAUGUCUUGACUAAGUGAAAUGCCAUCACCACUAUAGAACUCCAAUGAGUAACUGAUGAACAACACUAUACUCCAACAAUGUCUAGCUUUAUGCAAUUUCUUUCGAAAUACUACCAAUGCAUUUCAGUUCACUGGUUUCAUAAGAUCAAGUAGAUGAUAAGAAGCCAAUGACAAGGACUGCGAGUGACCAAAGCUCUUCCAAAAAUUUCUAGUAUGACUAACUUGUAACAAAUGUCUAAGCAACUUGAAGUAGCAAAUUCAAAUCUUCACUAUAGCUAAAACUUCUUGCAAACAGAGUCGCUUCAACGAUCAACAAAUCCUAUUGCAUGUAAUCUAAGAAAAAGUUCAAUUGUAGCUUGUUUCACCAAUCUUUCAUCAAUCAACAACUAGAAGAAACACCAAAACAUAACAAAGAGAGCACUUGGAGUAAAAUCCCCAAAUUCUAGGGUUUCAAUUUCUGGCAUAUCUCAACAAACUUCACACUUUUCUAAUUCAGCAACUAAAACUUGUAGAAAUCUGUAAUCGAACAGAAAUUAUACAAAUACAAGACUUCGAAGCACAUCAACUACUUGUAAAUCUUAUCAAAUACUUCAAUCAACCUAUGAAUCUAGCUUUCUUCUUCUUCAAGCCAAACAGUAAAACUAGACUAAGUUUUACUGUUUUACGACAAUUACUCUUAACACUUUAUAGUCAAAGCUCUUUGAUCGAUCCGAUCUUUUGGAAACUAAGCUAGUCGUGCAAAGUGUGCGGUUCUUUUAUAUAUUGUAGCAUGUCACGGGGUGCUUCAUAUCCCACCAUGGCACUUGUUUAAUCAUCCAUCACACUCUCAUGCAUGUUUUCCACCCAUUUCUUAUUAGAUUAUACAUGUUAAUCUUCUGGAUGAUAAAAUAAUACGUGGUUCACAUCCAAAAUCAAUUGGCAAUGGAUGAAGAGGUCCAAAUCUUUAUAAACCUACAUGUUGAGAUUGGUGAUUCAUUCUUAUGCAACAAGGAACCAUGUGAUAGUUUGAUGCAGCAAAUAUUGACAUGGAUGAAUAGCUAGCUAUGCUAUAGCUACAAAGCGAUAAAUGGUUUGUGGAAUUGAAGGUAUAAGGAAGUCUUCUAUAUAUGGUGUGCUAGCAGAAAAGUGAAUAGGAAGGAAGAAAAAGGAGUUGCCUUUUUCACAUGAAUAGAUGUUGCCUAUAAAUUGGCUGCAUGGAAGCCAUUUGAAGUAUGCAAGCAAGUUUGCAUCGAAUAAGCAUCUGACAAGCAUAGAAGCAAGCUUGUGGGUUGUGCAUGAGAGUGAGAGAGAAAAAAGUGCUAAGAGGGAAAUUCUCUUAGGUGAGGUAUCGUGUUCUUGGGUAUUUUAUGAGUGAGGGUGUACAAGGGUUAGAGAUUUGGGUUAUGAGAUUUAACUCAUGUAUCUUGUACUAGUUUUACCCUCAUAGUGAAAGAGCAAUAUCUUGGGGUGACGUGGGCAUGAAAUUUGCCAAACCACGUUAAAUCUCGUGUCAACUGUUCUUUUCAUCUUUGUUUGUUAUUCAGCUUUAUUGUGGUGUUAUCGGGUGUCUGUUUUUGAAUCUCGGUUCAUUCGUGAGGUUAAAAUCCCAACACUGUAUGCAAGGUUUUAUCUUUUCGAUGUGAGAUUUAUAUCUCAACACUUUCCCGUACGUGUGACGAAUUUUCAAGCCUAACACAUGGACAACAUUUAGAGUGACGUGGAGUUCGUGUGACCAUUAAGCAUCACACGUGGACGUGGGUAACCCGCCUAUGAUACCAUGAUAAAGUAGUUUGUGAUUCACAUCUAAAAUCAAUUGACAAUGGAUGAAAAUAUUCAAACCCUUAUAAACUUACAUGCAAUGUUUCAUAUUCCUAAUAUAGGAUUUAUAUCUCAACACUAGAUAAGUAGAUAUCCAUUAAUUGAAGUAGAGUUGCAGAAUCCAGUCAGACUGCUCUAAACUAAACUCUAAAGUGAUUUUGGGCUCACGGUGGUUUAUAUAUAUGUAGUUGGGUCCAUUUAUUUAAAUCAUUCAUUGACAGAAAAAUGAAAAAUCCAAGAGAAAUAUUUUGGUGCGACAGCCGUGCCACGUGUCCGUGCGACCAGCUGACGGUCAUGCGACACGUGUUUCUUUUUUUUCACAGCAUCCCGCAGCAGCCGCUGCGUUCUCCUUCGACGAAGCUUCUUCUAUUUUUUCUUCACCCUCACCGGCUGAAACCAUCGCCAACCACGACGCAGAUUCUCCUCCGCUGCUCUCCCUCAUUUCCAGCCCCAAAUUCCGCGACCGCCACACCCUCCGAAACCCUACCCCUCCUCUCUCCGUCUUCUUCUUCCUCUCCACCUCUCCGGAUCCCUCUCCUCUCCCCUCCAUUCGCUCCCGGAGCUCCAACGAGCCAAGAUUCUCCAAAGAAAGGUAGAAGAAGCUUCUCCGGAGGAGAACGCAGCGGCUGCUGCGGGCUGUUGUGAAAAAAAAAAACACGUUUUGCACGACUAUCAGCCGGUCGCACGGACACGUGGCACGGCCUUUCGCACCGGAGAAUUUCUCAAAAUCCAAUAAGAACAUGCUAACAUGCACGUACGUUUACAUGCUUUAUACUUUAUAUUGUACAUGUCUUUACACACUCAUAUUAGACAAGUACUUAUAACACGAAACAAGUGAACACUUACUCCAUAUAGAGCACUUUGUUCAUUUAUUCUAGCGAUUUAUAUAGAAGUAUAGUAUAAGCACCGUAACCCAAACUCAAUUGAUUGAUCAACAAUUGAAAUUGGUUGGAGCGAGGUUUCCAAAUCCAUCAUAUGGGAGUUGAAAACCAAAAGGUGACCCGUGAAAUCGUGUAGUAAGAAGCUUUAACAAUUACUUGAACAGUACUAAUUCCCUUAGCGCCCCUAAACUGUUUGGUACCUCCUACGACCGCAACCUCGCUAGGUUCUCCGGAAACCCUCUCGAGUGUUCCUUGUGUCACUAACGUGCUGCCAUUAUACUCGUUGAACAUAAUAGAGGAAGUUUCAUAGUUGUGCCUUCCGUCUUUUGAUGCCACCACCAACAAGCCUUGGAUUUGGCCAACACUUUGCGAGUAUAGGCUUGGCUCUUCAACCAGAGGGAGAUCAGUAACGAAAAUUGUUGCAAAGGUGGUCCGGGACCAAAACUCUCCUUGAAUACCUGCAACCGGUUUCGCUGUGGCAUUGGGACCAUAUAAUAUACUAACGGUGUAGUAACGAAGCACAGUCUCGUUUCCAUAUACAGAUGGCUCAACAGGUGCAGAAGCUUGAGCCAAACAUAGAGUCAUAGGGAGAACGAGGUGAAACACUAGGGUUAUGAGAGAGAGAUGAGUAUUCAAAGCCAUUUGGAAAACCAGGAGGUUAUAUUUCAAGCUAGGAAGAUUUUCAGCAAAAAACUUGUAAUUAAAUUGAAGUGAUAAUGCUUUAAUUGUGAUAUUUCAAGUGGGUUAUGGCUCUUAUUUAUAGUAGGAACUAAGGGUGUAUCAGUAUGUGUAUAACUGUAUAUGAUAAGUGGAGAGUAGUUUAAGCAUCAAAGUAUACGAACAACUCUUUUACAAAAAGACUACAAUAGGUUAAAAGACGUCCAAGUAACUUCCAUUGGAAGAAAGAGUCUGAUACGAGUAGUUAGCGAAGACAUGAAGCAAGAGUAUUGGUUAAACUCUCAACAUAUAGUUUUGAUACUGACAUAUCAAAAGGUGUCACUUGGAUCUAUACAUUUUAGAAAAUAAUUUCUGCAAAUGAUUUGUUUAGGAUAUGCAAGGUUUUCUCAUACUGCAGGAGACAUGUUCAAGUAUAUUUUUAGUGAAGUAAAUCAAGUAAUAUGAUCAAGGUCGAUCAACCAAAAUGACAAGGGGCGCAAACGCAAUUGCAUGUCAUCGAAACUCGCUGACAGACUGAUUCUUGUACUCCGGCAUCCGCUCGCGAAAGAGGAUUAGAAGGCAGAACUAACUGCUCGUUGAUUGACCAUCUGUGACAUCGUCAUUGUAAUGAAGUGAGAAAGAGUGUGGCGAUCAAUUAGCAUCAGAAAAAGAACCAAUUUCUUUGGCUCGAUCGAUCAGAAUCAGGUGCUACUUUUGGUUCAGUUAACUUGCUUCUCUUGUGCCUCACCGUGAAUCUGUGAUGCCAAACUGGGACUUGGAGAUGAUAGCUAUACUGUUAAUUAAGGCUCUCUGAUCCAUCGUAUCCUUGGAAAUAUACUCGUGUAAAGUGUGCAGUUCAUGCAUGUUAUAGCAUGGUGUGGUUUAUAUCUCACCCCUUAUCUGAUCGUCCAUCACUCGCAUGCAUGUUUACAGUUAUUUCCUUUUAUAUUAUACAUGUUGGUGUUCUACUUACGUAGGUAAAAUGCAACUUCUUCCGGGUUAAACUGUUAAAUUUUAUAUCCCCUGUCUUCACUAUCUGACUCUGUUAUUCAUUAACAUCGCAUCUGCUAUGAUGAAGAAACUGAGGCAGAAGAAAGUGAGUGUGCACCACAGAUGACACCAAGCACUAGCUUCGCUGACACUUUUUUUUUGGCUCAAAAUUGGGCUUGAUUGGUUAAUUUUGUUGUUGUUUCCUAUCUGACUGGAAGGGAAAUUAUAUUAGGGAUUUAGGGAUCUUGGAGAUAGUAACUACUAACUACUGUACGUUCUCGGAAAGUUUUUUUUUUCCCCCGAAAAUAAGCAGAUUUGCUAUUAAUCAGACAACCAUAUAAAGUCAAGCUUAAUUAGAGAGCUCUGAAAACAACUCUAAAUUACAAUACCAUGCUUUUCUUAAUUAUUUUCUGCAAAGCAUGCUUCGGUACGUGAAGUUUAAUUUAGAGAUUAGUUGGGUAUUCAGUAGGAUACAUAUAUAAGCUGCAUGGCUAGGUUCUUAGUAACCAAUUUAAAGAUAUAUAUGUUUGGAGCUUUUAUUUUUUGCAACCUUAAUUAGCAGAUCAGUUGCAGCUAAUUAAUUAUAUAGGUGAUGAACCCAUGGCAGCUGGUGAAUAGGGAAUCAUUGUCAAGUUUUUACUGUCUUCUUUCAGCUUUUAUGAACGCCAUAUAUAGCGCGCCAUUGGUUUGAAACAACCAAUUUAGACAUCAAAUUAACAGCAAUCUGUUUGAAUGAAGGAAAUAAAUUAAAAAAUAAUUUUACCAUGGUGGCCGGUGAACAUAGAGGCGUCAUAUAUAGACCAAGCAAGUGGUAUUGUACCACGACUUUCCGGCCAGCAUCCCAUUCAAGUUGUCUAUUUAUUUAAAAUCAUUCGUUGACAGAAAAAUAAAAGUUCAUUAGGAACAUGCAACGUGCACGUACGUUUACAUACUUUAUUUGUACAUGUCCUUACACACUCAUAUUAGACAAGUACUUACAACACGAAACAAUUGAACAAUUACUCCAUAUAAGAGCACUUUGUUCAUUUAUUCUAGCAAUUUAUAUAGAAGUAUAGUAUAAGCACCCCAAUCCAAAUCAACUGAUUGAUCAACAAUUGAAAAUGGUUGGAGCGAGGUUUCCAAAUCCAUCAUAUGGGAAUUGAAAACCUAAAGGUGACUUGUGAAAUUCUGUAGUAAGAAGCUUGAACAAUCAAUUGAAGAAUAUUAAUUCCCCUAGCGCCCCUAAACUGUUUCGUACCUCCUACGACGGCAAUCUCGCUAGGUUCGCCGGAAACCCUGUCGAAUGUUCCUUGUGUCUCUAACGUGCUGCCAUUAUACUCACUGAAUAUAAAAGAGGAGGUUUGAUAAUUGUAGCUACCGUCUUUUGAUGCCACCACUGCCAGGCCUUGGACUCGGCCAACUUCUCGCGAGUAUAGGCUUGGCUCUGCAACCACUAGGAGAUCAGAAACGGAAAUAGUUGCAAAGGUGGACGGGGACCAAAACUGUCCUUGAAUACCCGCAACACGUCUCGAUGUGGCAUUAGGACCAUAUAAUAUUUCAAUGAGGUAGACAGUAAACUCAAUCUCGUUUCCAUAUCCAGAUUGUUCAACAGGUGCAGUAGCUUGAUGAGCCAAACAUACAGUCAUAGGUAGAACGAGGUGAAACACUAGGGUUACGAGAGAGAGAUGAGUCGUCAGACUUGGUAAAGCCAUUUGGAAAACCAGGAGGUUAUGAAGGCUAGGUAGAUUUCAGGGAAGAACUUGUAAGCUGAACUAGUAGUAAUGCUUUAUGAUAUUUCAAGUGGGUUAUGGUUCUUAUUUAUAGUACGAACCAAGGUGUAUCAGUAUGUGUAUAACUGUAUAUGAUAAAUGGUGAGUGUAGUUUAAGCAUCAUAGUCUACGAACAACUCUUUUACAAAAAACUACAAGAGGAUAAAAGAUGUCCAAGUAACUUCCAUCGGAGGCAAGAGUCUAAUGCGAGUAGCUAGCGAAGACAUGAAGCAAGAGUAUAUAUUGGUAAACUUUCAAUAUAUACUUUUGAUAGUUACAUAUCAAAAGGUGUCACUUGGAUUUAUACAUUUUAGAAACUAAUUUCUGCAAAUAAUUUGUUUUGGAUAUGUGAUGUUUAUUUAAUUAGAGCAUGUCCACCGGUGAGCAAAAAAUCCAACCCAGGUUAGAUCCAUAUAGGCAAAGCAACACAGCCCAAUUUUUUUUGCUUCCACCCAUAAAAUGAGAUAACUCAUUUUCUAACCUAGGACACUUUGUUGGGGAGAUAUCCAACCCAGGUGAGAGGAGAAGACUGACCCAGGCGAGAUUGAUCCACAUCAGCCCAGCCCACGCUCGUGGCUUGUGUCGGCUUGCGUCAGCAAUGAAGCCUCCACCAAGCGACGCGCCUAGAAGCUGCGUUUCACGCACGGACGAACUGCAGCGAAGGAAGACGCCUGUGUGAUGACGACAGGGAGACUGUGACGACGAACUGUGCGGAGGAGGCUGGAGUUGCGCUGCUUGCUGCUGUGCGUGCGGAGCGGCAUCGUGCGAAGGUGGAUGGUCGCCGUCGGCAGCCCAGAGAAGAAAUAUGGGUGCCCAAAGAAGAAAUACGGCAGCCCAGAGAAGAAAGUUUAAGGUUUUUUCUUUUUUUAUUUAUAAUUUUAUAGAAAAAAUUUGUAAAAAUAAAUAAAUUUAUACUGUGUGAAUUGAUAGCUAAUUUUACAUAUGCCUAGUUAAUUUAGAUUGUGUUUUUCAUUAGACAAUAUCAAAUAAGAGUAUUUUUUAAACUUGACUUGUUACUUAAAUGUCAUGAAAUAAAAACAUUAAUUUUAAUAUGUCAUAUAAUAUAUAUAAAUUACUAUUUAUUUAUACAUAAAACGAUUAAUUGCAUGUAAAAAUGUAAUUUAAAAUUCAAUAAACAGUCACUGCCACGUGACAGCAAUCUCACAUUUUAAACGGAUGGAAAUUGCUGCCCAGUCACAGUGACUCAGGUUACUGUAUUCAUUCUAACCUAACAGGUGAACUUGCUCUUAUAGAGAUGUGAAAUCCACACACUCUAAAUUGAAAUCUACACGUUUUUUCUUUUCUUUUUUGGUAACUUAAAUUUUGUCUUUUAGUGACUUAAUUUUUGUCUUUUUGUGAAUGUGUUAACCAAAAAAAGAAAAAGGGUGUGUGGAUUUCACAUCCCUGUUUAUAUUGCACAAGAGUUGACGAGACAUGUUCGAGCAUCUUUUAGUGAAGUAAAUCAAGUAAUAUGAUCAAAGUAUAUAUUGAAGAGGUCGAUAGCAAGGUAAGUCUAGCUACGAUAUCCAUUUGUUUGAAUCAAAAUAGAUAAAAAAGAGAAGUGAAAUCCACACACCUUAAAUUGUAAUCAACACACUCACUUUCCAUUUUUAGUAACUUAAAUUAUGUUUUUAUAUGAGAAUGAUUACUAAAAAUGAAAAAUAGGUGUGUCGAUUACAAUUUAGGAUGUAUGAAUUUCACAUCUCAAUAAAAAAAAAAAUAAAACAUCAAUUAAGAUUUAUUAACAUGCGUGCAUACAUCUUAUUUUGUCGAUGACUCCAUGUCUAGUUUAGACGAGUACUACUUAUACACGAAAUCAAGAACAAGUGAACAACUGCUCCAUAUAGGAGGACUUUGUUCAUUAAUUUAUUUAGCCAUUUAUAUACAUAAUUAUAGUAUUAUUUGUAUAAGCACCCCAUUCUAAAACCAAUUGAUUGUGGUUUCCCAAUCGGGGCCAAUCCAUCAUACAUAUGAUCAUUUGGGAAGUGAAAACUUGAAGAUGGCUUGAAAAAGUAAGAAGUCAUAUGUUUGAACAAUAGCAAUUCCACUAGCGCGCUUAAACUUUCCUGUACCUCCUACGAUAGAGAGCUCGCUAGGUUCCCUGGAAGCCCUAUCGAAUGUUCCUUGUGCCUGUAACGUGCUGCUAUUGUGCUCGUUGCUUGUGAAUAUAGCAGAGAGGGUGACAUAGUUGUACCUUCCAUCUAUUGAUGCCGCCACUACCAAGCGUUGGACUCGGCCAACGCUUUGCGAGUAUGGGUUUGGGUGUUUAAGCAACAUGUCAUCAACAACGAUGAUUGAUCCAAAGGUGCUCGGGGACCAAAGCUGUCCCGAAACACCUGCAACAGCUACCGCUGUGGCAUUCGGACCAGACCGGGUAGUAAUGGCGUAGUACUUCAGCUCGAAAUUCCUCUCAAACCGGGACUGCUCAAUAUGUGCAGCUUCGACCAAAAAUAUAGUCAUGAGCAGAACGAGGAGAAACACUAGACUGGUUCGAGAGAGAUAAGUAUUAGUGGUCGACCUUGGUAUAAAAUUGGAAGCCAUUUGAGAAACCGAGAGGUUACUAAGGCUAGGAAGAUUUUCAGUUUUUCAGAAUAAAUAACCUUGUAAACUGAACUAAUGCUUUGUGAUUUUACAAGUGAGAAAUGGCUCUUAAUAUACGUAGUAUGAAUUGAGAUAUUACGUGUACGUGUUUAAUGUAUAUUAUAAAUGGAGAUUAGUUUAAACAUCAAAGUCUACCAUGCCAACGGUUCUUUUACUAAAAGCAUCAAUAGGAUAAAAGAAGUCUAAGCUACGUCCACCAGAAUGCAAUGCAAGAGUGUAACAACACAGGUCGCCAGAGUCCAGAGAAUAGUACGUGUUGGUAACUCUUAACAUAGUAAUUUCGAUAGUGACAUAUCAAAAUGUGUCACUUGGUUUUAUACAUUUUAGAAAAUAAUUUCUAAAAUAAUUUUGUUUUGGAUAUCUGAUGUUUUAUCGUAUCACCAGACAAGUUUAAGUACGUAUCUUUUAGUGAAGUACAUCAUGUAAGAGUACUCAAACAAUACAACUGAAGAGAUGUACGUUUCCUUAACGGGAAACGUAUAUCUCUUAAGAAAACGUACAUCUCUAUAUAAAUGUCUUAAUGCAAAUUCUAAACUAGUAAGAUGAUAUAUGUCAUGUCAGAAACGGUCAGGAUAUGUGACAUUAUUAGACAUGCAGGGGGAUCCCAACAUUGAAAUAGUUAAGAUUACACAGUCUAUUUGCACGUCGUACAUAGAAGAAUUUUUCAUGUCCUCAAUUGAUCAUCGUUUACUCGUUUUAUUUUAUUUUAUAUAAUAGUUGGAAAAUAGAGAAAUAUCAGUUUGUGAGUUAUGGAUGAAAGAACUUAACGCUUUAAGGCAUGUAAUAGCAACACUGGCAUAUAAUGUUUGAAAGAGUUAGUUUUUCUUAAGGUUGACUGUAAGGAUGUAUCGAGGCUUCUGGAAUAAGUUAGGUUACGGUUGAACCUUUCGCGGUUCUUGUCCACUGCAAUAUCUGGUUUAGGUCGGGAGGAAAGUGAAAAAUUUAUAUCCACCACCAAAAACCCAAGGUUUUAACGUUGAUUUAUUUAUUAUAGAAAGUUUACCUCGAAAAAAAAACUAUAUUUUUUCCCACUAAUUGUGUGCAAAGGGGUUAACUAUGCAAAUUAAUCUCAUGUAUAUAAUGAGGUCUAGCAACUUGAUGUUGUUGAUCUACGUCUUGCACUUAUGAAGAUCAACCAAAUACUUAAUUGAAAGUUUUUAAAGGGUUCAAAAUUCUUAGAGACUACAACUACACCAUUAUAGUCUAUUGAUUUUGUCCGUGAAAAAUAAGAAAAUGAAAGAUAUAGGUUUUGUCGAAGAGAAAUAGAGAGUUUGAAACGUAUAUAAUAUAGAGAACCUUUUCAUUGACAGAAAAAGAAAUGUCCAUUACAAACAUGCAACAUGCACAUACGUUUACAUACUUUAUAUUGUGCAUGUCAUGGCUUUAAACACUCAUAUUAGACAUGUACUUACAACAUUGAAACAAGUGAUCAACAACUACUCCAUAUAUAAGAGCACUUUGUUCAUUUAUUCUAGCCAUUUAUAUACUAUAGAACUAUAGUAUAAGCACCCAAUCCAAGAUCAAUUGAUUGAUCAACAACUGAAAAUGAUGGAGAUUUCCAAAUCCAUCAUAAAAGGUGGUCAGUUGACGAGAAGUGAAAACUUAUAGGUGACUUGAAAAACUGUGUAGUUAUAAGCUUGAACAAGGGCUUGAAGAAUAAUAAUUCCCCUAGCACCCAUAAGCUGUUUUGUACCUCCUACGAUCAAGAGCUCGCUAGGUUCCCCGGAUAGCCUGUCGAAUGUUCCUCGUGUCUCUAACGUGCUGCCGUUAUACUCGCCGGUUGUGAACCUAUGAGAGGAGGUUUCAUAGUUGUACCUUCCGUCUUUAGAUGCCACCACCACCACGCCUUGGGCUCGGCCGACUCUACGCGAGUAUGGGCUUGGCUUUUCAACCAGUGGGUUAUCACCAACGAGAAUUGUUCCAAAGGUGGCCGGGGACCAAAACUCUCCGGAAACACCUGCAACCGGUUUCACUGUGGCAUUGCAACCAUAUAUUUCAACAAGGUAGAGAUUAAGCACAUAUUCAUAUCCAUAUUGCUCAACAGGUGCAGCAGCUUGAGCCAAACAUACAGUCAUAGGUAGAACGAGGUGAAACACUAGGCUUAUGAGAGAGAGAUGAGUCGUCAGACUUGGUAAAGCCAUUUGGAAAACCAGGAGGUUGAUAAGGCUAGGUAGAUUUUCAGGAAAGAACUUGUAAAUUGAACUAUUAACGCUUUGUGAAUUGUGAUAUUUCAAGUGGGUUAUGGUUCUUAUUUAUAGUAAGAACUAAGGGUGUAUCCGUACGUAUGUAACUGCAUAUGAUGAUUAGUUAAGGACAAAUUGAUAGUAGUUUAAGCAUCAGAAUCUACAAGUAACGUCUACUGGAAGCUAAAAGUGUAACACAGGCAGCUAGAGAAGAGUACGUGUUGGUAAACUCUUAACAUAGUAAUCUCUAUAGUGACAUAUCAAAAUGAGUCGCUUGGAUUUAUACAUGUUAGAAAACAAUUUCUGAAAUUAAUUUGUACAUUUUGG
rnacentral:lncRNA from 1 species